rnacentral:lncRNA from 1 species
UAAUAGAUUAACAGGUGAAAUUCCCAGAGAGAUUGGAAAUUUGAGUGAAAUCCGAUCACUAAACUUGUCGCACAACAAUUUGACUGGAUAUAUACCGUCAACGUUCUCAAAGCUCAAGCAAAUUGAGAGUUUGGACCUGUCUCACAACAACUUAAUUGGAAGAAUACCUGUUCAAUUGACGGAGUUGUACGCCUUAGCAAUCUUCAAUGUGUCAUACAACAACUUGUCAGGGAGUAUUCCGUCUCCGAAAUUUCAAUUUGGAACCUUCGACGAAAGCAGUUACGUGGCGAAUCCUUUCCUCUGCGGGUCUCCCCUGCAUAAAAAUUGUAGCAACCUUGAUUCACUCCCGACAGCAGCACCAAAGAGCUCAAACGAGGAAGAAGAAAGUGGUUUGAUGGACAAGUAUGUUUUCUGGGUGACCUUUUUUGUUUCUUACGUAAUUGUGUUACUGGUUAUUGUUCUCAUCCUGUACAUAAAUCCUUAUUGGCGACAAGCAUGGUUCUCUUUUGUUGAACACUGCAUCAAGACCUGCCAGUAUUUUAUUGAGGACAAUCUUCUAUGAUUUUCCAUCUUCAAAAGAAGCGGGUAGCCUUGUGCUUUGGUGGUUUACAUCUGUAUGUAAAUUUUUUCAUGUGUUUCUAUUUUUCAAAGUUUGAUUGGGUUAUCUGCUUUUAAGUUUUUAGAGGUAGAAUACAAUAGCUCUGUGAUGUAAUAAUUGCCAGUUUAGUAUAAGAAAACAAUAUAUAAAACUAUGCAUUUUCAGUUAAAACAUUUAAUAUUGCUUUAUAAAUUUUAGUGUUGUGAUAGUAUAAUGUUAAAUUCAAUAUAUGUUUCCUUUUCCAUGAUUACGUAAAAGCGAAAUAUACAAAUCAUAUUAUAUUAAUAUAAUCCACAUUCUUUAAAUCAUAUGCUCAAUUGAAACUUAUAUAUAUAUAUUAUCAAACAUGAAUGAUAUAAACAGUCUUCGAAAAAAGUAUGAUUUUCAUGUUUAGUUAUUAUUAUUUAAUAUUUAAUUGUUUUACUAUUAUUUGAUAUCAAUAAUAUUUAUAUGUUUGUGAAUGUUGUUUGUUAUUGUCUCGUGAAAUAUUAUGUUAAAGAUAAAAGAAGUACUAAGUAAUAGUUCUUUUUAGGUGAAAUUUUGACUCAAGUUUGAAUGGUGAGUUAUUUUAUCUAAUUACUUACGUUUGGAUAGCAUAAAGUAAUUAAAUGGCACUUUUGUAAUUACAAAGAUUGUACUUGAUAGAUGAAAGAACUAGGUAAAGGAAGAAAAUAACUAUCCAAACAGAAAGAAGCAGAGAGUGAAAUAAUAGAAUAAACUUCUUGUUGUUUAUUCAAAUUUGCCUACCUCUUAAUUCUUAAUGUACAGUAUAUAAAGACUUUCUGAAUUAAGUAACAACCUCACUAACUGACUAACUACUUCUAUUCUCUAAUAUUCAUCCAUAUUCUCUAUAGGCAAGACCCGUAGAAAACUCCAAAAACGAGUAAAACUCGAUGACGAAAUUGGCUUAGUGAGAACAUCAGCGACCUGAUCACACGCUGGAACUUCUCCAACAGCAACCGUGCCAUCAGCAACCUUUUCACGAACAAAAAAUAAAUCUAACUCAACAUGCUUAAACUUUGAAUGAAGAACAGGAUUUGCAGCAACUGCAACCGCCCCAGGACUGUCACACCAAAUUUGAGGAACACUAUUAGACUGAACAUGUAAUUCUUUAAGUAGCAACAAAAGCCACGUAACCUCACUAGUAACUGCAGCAAGACUUCGGUAUUCUGCCUCAGCAGUAGACCGAGCAACAACCUGUUGUUUCUUCGUACACCAUGACACAGGUGUAUGUCCGAAAUAAACACAGUAUCCAGUAGUAGACCUCCGGUCAUCAAAAUCUAAUCCCCAGUUGCAUCAGCAUAUCCAACUAAGGACAAACUAGUGGAUGGACGAAACACAAUUCCAAAAUCAAUCGUACCACCUAAAUACCUCAAAAUGCGCUUCAGGGCAGUCAUAUGAAUGGAAGUAGGACAAUGCAUAAAUUGACAUAUUCGAUUAACAGCAUAGGCAACAUCAGGCCGCGUAAGAGUGACAUACUGUAAUGCUCCUGCAAGACUCCUGUAUUCAGUCGGAUCCUGUAGCCGCUCACCACCAUCGCGAGUCAUAACAGAGGAACUAACCAUCGGUGUAUGAACACUCUUCGUAUUCUCCAUCGAACAACGUAUAAGAAUAUCACGUAUAUACUUCUUCUGACAAAGAUGAAGGCAACCUGACGAAGAACGAUUAACCUCUAUCCCAAGAAAAUAAUGAAGAUCACCCAUGUCCUUAAGCGAGAACUCACUAUUCAGCAAAUUAACAAACCACUCUAUGACAGAAGGCAUAUCUCCAGUAAUAAUAAUAUUAUCAACGUACACAAGCACAUAUAAUGUUGACGCUGGUACAACUCGAACAAACAAGGAAGCAUCAGACUUUGAAACUACAAACCCCACGGAGACUAGAAAUCCUUUUAGCCUUUCAAACCAGGCACGAGGAGCCUGACGAAGACCAUACAACGCUUUCUUCAAGCGACACACCAAAGGUCUGCCAUCUGAGCCAUAUUGAACAUAACCGGGAGGUUGAUGCAUAAAAACUUCAGUGUCAAGGUCACCAUUUAGAAACGCAUUAUUCACAUCCACUUGUCGAAGCGACCACCCCCUAGACACAGCAAUAGACAAAAUAACUCUGAUAGUAGCCGGUUUGACCACUGGACUAAACAUUUCCUUAAAAUCACAACCCGGAACUUGAGAGCAACCUUUUGUAACUAAUCGAGCCUUAUAUCGAGCAAUAGUGCCAUCAGAAUUCUUCUUGAUUCGGAACAACCAUUUGCACCCAAUGACCUUACGAUUAUAUGGAGCAGGAACGAGCUCCCAUGUGGAAUUACGCAUAAGAGCAUUAUACUCAUCUUGCGUAGCAGUGCGCCACUCAACAGUAGCCAGAGCUUCUUCAAUUGUAGUCGGUUCAACAGCUUCAACACUUAAAACCUUAGGCUUGUAAACCCCUGCUUUAGCGUGAGUAACCAUUGGGUGAGUAUUGCCCACAGCUGUCCUAUUAAUCUGACUAGACAGUCCCAUAUUAGACGAAGAGAGAGCAUUGGUAUCACUGGAGAAUCCUGAGCCAUGCUCUGAUGGAAGAUCACUCAACUCAGUUCCAUCAUUAGCUGAAUAAUCAUGAGCUGGAAGACUACCCAACCCAGUCCUAACAUCAGUUGAAGGAUCAUGAAACUGGGGCUGCUCCACACUAACAUCUAAUACAGGAUCAGUAGGCUGAGACGACACCCCUUGUACCGACGGUGUCAUCAUGCAUGGCUCAAGAGUCGAGGAUGAAGGUGGCCACACAAGAGGAACAACUGUCGAACUAGUCUGACCGGUUGUUGAUACAGACUUGUCUGAACUAGUCUCGGUAAACAAAAACCUCUGCUCAUCAAAGACCACAUGCCUUGAAAUUAUAACCUUACCAUCUGGUAAAAGACAUUGAUACCCCUUGUGACGAGGACUGUAGCCCAAAAAAGUUGACGGCUGAGACCGAAAUUCCAACUUACGACCUACAAACGGACGUAAGUAAGGAUAACAACAGCAACCAAACACUCGAAGAUGAUCAUAGGUCGGAUCACUUCCAUACAGUUCUUUAAACGGAGAACUAUCCUGAAGUACAACCGUGGGAAGUCGAUUUAUGAGAUGAACCGCACAACAAAACGCAUACCCCCAGUAUUCCAUAGGCAAAUUUGCAUGAGCCAACAACGUAAUCCCCAUUUCAACAAUGUGACGAUGUUUUCGCUCGGCUACUCCAUUUUGUUCUGAAGUAUACGGACAGGUCAGUCGAUGAAUGAUCCCCUGAGAUUCUAAGACAGACGUAAACCCACGAUAUUCACCUCCCCAAUCGCUCUGAAACUGCUUAAUAGACUUGCCAAACUGUGUCUUAAUCAACUGUUGAAACUGAGUAAAACAUUCAAGUGCUUGAGCUUUUUGACGUAAAAGAUAAACCCAAGUAAACCUGGUACACAUAUCAAUAAACGAAACAUAAUAUCUCUUAUCACCACAUGCAACAGGUGCAGGACCCCAAAGAUCAGACACAACCAAUUCAAAAGGACGAUAGCUAGUAGUCGAAUGGGAGAAAGGCAACUUAUGUGACCUGCCUUUUUGACACGCAGUACAUAUACCAUCCAGACCAAUUUUAUUUGAAACAACAUUACAUUUAUUUAGAAUAUUUUUGACCACAGAAGUCGACGGGUGGCCUAAACGAUUAUGCCAUAAAGUAAAUACAGAAGUAGUUGAAACUGUAUGUGGAACUUGAGAAUGAGCAACAAACGGAGUAGUCGUAGGCAACGUAGAAACCGCUGGGACAGAAAACUGAUAUAGACCAUCAUGAAUGCGGCCCGUCAGCAAUAUCUCCUGAGUCAUCGUAUCCUUAAUAACACAAUAGGUAGGGUGAAACUCAAAAAACACAUCAUUAUCACGAGCAAACUAUGAGACAGAUAAGAGAUUUUUCCGUAUACGUGGCACACAUAAAACAUUUGAUAACCGUAACGAUUUAUCUUGAGUAGGUAAAAUGGCCGUACCAAUUGAUGAAAUUAUCGUAGGAGUACCAUCACCCAUUAAAAGAGAUGACUUACCUGAGUAUGGCGUGACAUUACGUAAAGCUGACAUAUCACGACAGACAUGAUGACUCGCUCCCGAGUCAGGAUACCAAGACGUGGUGCCACUGCACACUGGAAUGUACGAAUCAUCAUUACCAGUACUAGAUGCAAGCUGAGCCGUAUUAACAUGAGAAUCUGAUACUGAAGGAUCAGAAUAAUUAGACGCAUGUAAAUCCCCUAGCCGUGGAAGCCCAAUACAUGGAUUAGAUUCGGUAUAGACCCGAGCACGCGGUUUAGUAAAUUUCAGAACCGGACCACCAACACCUAGUCCAUCACCAAUCGGUUCAGGCGAGCCGGGAUCAUCUUGAUCAAGUUGAACAAAAUUAGAGGAUGGUACAAUAUUCGGCCCAGCAUUAAACUGAACAUUCAGUCCAUGAGAAGAGUGUUGAACAUUCGGUCCAUCAUUAAACUGGACAUUUUGUCCAUGGGAUUUGUUUCCACUAGAACCGCGCCACUGUCCAUUUCCAGUAGUGAACCCGUGUAAAGUGUCUCCACUAUACCCUUGCCCAGCAUCAUGACCGAAUUUAGACAAGCUGGGCUUGUAGGCAUCAUUUUGUGCAUUGGACACAUGUGGCCCACGUGGUAAUGGCCUAUUUUGCAUGCCAGCACACACAUUUUGACUAACAUAUCUAUUUUGACCAGCAUGACUCCCUUGACCAUAAAAAAUUCUUUGACUAUUCUGAUGAGGAGCAACCAUCUGUUCAUCACCAUUUUGCACAAAAGUUCCAGAAUCACAACCUUCAACACCAGACAUUUCAUUUGAGUCUCGGUGAUACCGAUAAUAGCACUUUUGAGCCACAUGACCAAACCGACUACAGAUCUGGCAUUGAACACAAGAUCUGAUAAACCGGCCACGACCACGAACAGACGCACGACCUCCACGACCGGCCCCUUCUACCGAUGGCUCAUUUUCAACAAGAUUCGCGUUCAAACUGACCUCCUGCAACACUCGAUCUUGACGACUCUCACAAUCGACUAGCGCAUCCACCAGACGUUGCAACGGUAGAACUACAGGCGACAAACGAGUAGAGGAGAUAACCGCCUCAAACUCCGACGGCAAACCCGCAAGCACCACUUCGAUCUUUUCUUCAUCGGAGAUACGAGAGCCAGAAGCAUCUAGCAUACCACAUAAAUCUUUAAUCCGAGCAACAUAAGCCUUAAUCGAAAGAUUACCUUUCUUCAACGAGUGAAGUUCAUGCCGAAUCCUCGACUGCUUGGCGCCCGUAUCAACUGCAAAAAGAUUACCGACCAUGCUCCAUAUGUCGCACGCCGUGCAAGCAUCAUCAAAGGAGGAUUGAUGAGAGGAAGUUACAGUAGACAGAAGCCAGGACAUUAGCAGUUGAUCUUGCUGCGUAAAGACUUGAGCCGCCGGAUUUGGAGCACGAGAUCCACCGGGUAGAGCGAUGAAUCGCAACGGCGGAGCAACAGUGCCAUCUAAAAAACCUGCGAGUCCAUAGCCAUUAACAAUCAGCUUUACCUGUUUACGCCAUUGAAGGUAAGUACCUUCAUCGAGUUUGACCACUUCAUGUCGAGGAAAAACUGUUGUGACUCGAUCGGCAGCAAAUACACCGGAGCUAGGUUCACCAGACGCUGAAUCAGCGGAAGCCAUGAGAAGCAAUGACCAGAAUCACUUGGCGAAUGAUACCAUGAAAGAACUAGGUAAAGGAAGAAAAUAACUAUCCAAACAGAAAGAAGCAGAAAGUGAAAUAAUAGAAUAAACUUCUUGUUGUUUAUUCAAAUUUGCCUACCUCUUAAUUCUUAAUGUACAGUAUAUAAAGACUAUCUGAAUUGAGUAACAACCUCACUAACUGACUAACUACUUCUAUUCUCUAAUAAUAGACGUGUUUGAGUGACACAAUUCCCUAUGUCAUGUUUGUUAAUAUAAAUUGUAAUUACAUAGUUACAUUAUAAAAUUUUUGGUGUUAAAUUUCGCAAAAUUCUGAUAAAAUAGUGAGGUUAACUGAGAAGCGAAUUUAUUAUUUUUGGAGCUUGUUAUUAUUUUUGAAAUUUUUAGUUAUUAAUGGGUAAUGAUGUCGACUAAGAAUCGAAUUGGCCCAAGGGACUAAAUUGAAAGAGGAGUGAAAAGGGAAAGUUUUUAAGUACUAAUAAGCCCAAGGGCUUAAUGGCCAAUUGGCCAUAGUCUUUUAAAGCACUAAAAAUCACGUCCUUUCUAGCCCUUAUUUUCAACUUCUCUCUUUGGCCGUCUGUCUACACUUGCACCGUUGAAAUCCCUUCAAAUCCUCGCCACUUUGUGUCUAAAUACCAUCAUCGAUUGCCACCACUGAUAUCAGCUGCAAUUGCUCUAAUUCACUGCGGACAAUUGCCUUAAUUUGUAGAUGCUCAUUAUUCACAUUAAAGUUUAUUUCUCUAAUGGAAUUGAUGCUAUGGUUAGUCUUAUUUUCAAAGAUGAUUAAGUUUCAUUUGAUUAGAAUUAGUUGGAAUAUGUGCGGUUAACUUCUAAUUAAAAUUAUUUAGUUUAAGAUUCAUUAAUAAAUUAUUUUUACCGUGGUUUCUUUGAUUUAUUGCUGUAAUUUUUUGUUUACUUUUAUUUGUUGUCAAAGGGUAAAUUAUCUGAUACUUUUACAAUGAACUUAGAAUUAUUUUUGAUGAAUUCGAAGCGAAAAACUAGAUAAUUCGAUGAAAGUGAAGCUGGUUGUGAAUUAAUUGCUCCUAAGCUACAAACACUAAGAAAUUCAGUUUGUUACCUUUACGUUUUAAAAUAUCUUAAUGUUGUUAAAUUAUUAGCUUUGUUGUGAUUCUUGCAUGUAAAAUUUUACUUGUGUAGUUGUUUAUUAAAUUGUUUUUAAUGAUGGCUCCUAUUGUUAAAUUGAUAUUCUUUAUUAAUUGAUUAUUUUCCGAAAAUUAUUGUUAAAAGUACGAAUUUAAUAAUUGACUAAAUACUUGAUAAAGUUAGUUGGAAAUUCUUCGGAUAUAAUUAGCAUGUUGUAGAGUGUAGAGGUCUCCAUCAUUGUUUGUUGUUCAUUGUGUGGAUUGCCUUAAGCAUAUGGGAGUAUUGUCAUUGUUGCCUCUUUGCGCAUAUAGUGUGAUGGUAGGUCAUUGAUUAAGUUGCAUUUAUUACGCAAUGCAGUACUGUCAUUGUUGACGCUUGUGCCAUUUUCAUUGACCGUUUGGUGUUUGGUUGGACACUCUUUUGUCCGAAUGUCUUUCCUUCUUGUGUUACUUAGGCAAAAUAAUUAAAUGAACUUAAACAUUAAAUUGAAACACUAUCAUUAUUUAUUGAAUGUAUUGCUAAUGUUUCAUUGUUAUUUUAAAUUGCUACCUUGUGACUGACUUGUGAUUGUAUUGUGUCUUUGAAAAUUAUUUUAAUUAUACACUUUGGUAGUUUAAAAUGUAUUGGAUUACUACUAAGCUGUAAAAAGGCAUAGCACUUGGGUUUUUAAUUUCUUGUGCAAGUAAUAUUUGGAUCGCAUAGUUUGUGAUAUCGUGAUCGAGCAACAUCACCAAAGAGUUUAGCAUGUACUUAGGUGUUGUUAAAUUGGUCAACUUGUUUACUUUAGUUUUAUUUUAGAGCUUAUUGAUUGAUUGAGCAUUGUUAAAUUAUUUUAUUAUUUGACUUUACACUAAUGUUUAAAUUUUAUGAUUUUAUGUGAAAAUGAUUGAAUGAUUGAUUAUUUGGGUCGCUCAGGUGACCGUUGUGACACUUUCGAUCCAAUUGAACUUUUGAGUCGGGUUUGAGGUGUUACAAACAUAAUUUAUAUUUUUUAAAAAAUAUUAAUUAGUAUAAAAAUUAUUAGUAUGAUCAAAAAUAAUUUCUAAACAAAUUGUCAAAACCAUUUUUUUGUAAAACGGGGGUCGACUUUUAUUUUGAAAACGAAAACGAACACAGGAGUCGCCACCAAUCCUUUUUGAUGAGGUGUGAUCGGGUCACCUCGAAAAGUUUUUAAUAAACGAUUUGCUUUUAUUAAAAUAACGAUUUUUGGUCCACGAAAUAAAAAAAAAACGGGUUCGGGAGUCGGUUACGUACGAGGAAGGAUUAACACCCUCGUAAUGCCCAUAAUUGGUACCUAGUUGAUUAAUUAGUGUCUUAGUGUCGAAGAUUGAAAACUUUGAAGAGUUUUUAAAAAUACGAUCCUUAAAAAAAUCGAAUAACAUGGGUUGGAAUUUAGGAUUCUCUUGUUCCGAAGGAAUAUCACAUCCAGCACGUUAGGAUACAACACUUUAAACCCUCGAAACCAAGAUUACCUUAUGGUGUCCAAAACCCAUACUUUGAAAUUUUAAGAGGAUAUUUGACUAUUUGGUCGAACGAGAAAUCGAAAUCCAGCACGUUAGGGCACGUUUUCUCGAAUUUCCAAACGCAAAAUAUUGCCUUAUUUUUAAAAUUUUCUUUUUUACAAAUUUGGGUAAAAUUAAUGUAAUAGUUAAUAAGAUGUACUUUUAAUAUAUGCGAACAUGGUGUGAAGGUGAAAAAUUUUUUUUACGCAAUAUAUAGUACAAUAAUAAUGAAAUAACAUAAAAUAACCAUAUUAGUAGAAUAUUUAAAAAGUAAAUAAUAAAUAAUGGAAUACAAUAAUAAUGACGUAAUUAUAAUAAUAACACCAAAUAAUAAUAACAAUAAUCAUAUUAGUUACUAUUCUAAUACUAAAAAAAUAUAAAAAUGAAAUAAACACUAAUAAUGAUGAUGAUAAUAAUAAUAGUGAUAAUGAUAAUGAAAUGUAUAAAUAAAGGAAUAAAUAACAAUAUAAAUACUAAAUCAAGAAUAGUAAGGAAAUGGAUAAAUGAAUAUGUAUAAAUAAAUAAAACUGAACGAAAAAGAAUAAAUAAAUAAAUAAAAGCUUGAAAUUAAGCGAAUAAAGGAAUAAAUUGAGGUUAAAAUAAAAUUUUAAGUCUAGAUUAUAAUAAAAUGGAUGGAUAAACGUAAAAGGGACUGGAUCAAAUUUUGAAUGGAAUUUAAAGGUAUAAAUCGGAAUAAAAAAAUGACGUAAAGGACCACAUUGAAAAGCGCGAAUAACAUAGAGGGGCCAAAUGGGAAAAUAUUCCCGCCCUUCAAAACGCAUCACUUUACACGGGGCUAAAAUGCAAUAAAAGCAAAAUUCUAGGGCAAGAUCAAAAAAAGAACACAAAAAAAUUCAAAUUGAAGCGGGCCGAGGAAGCGGAAAGACUGAACAAGUAAAUAUCCCUUCCACUUAAAAAAACACGCGGAUCCUUAUCCUGGAGCGGGUUGGGUCAACCCAUUUCGCAUCAAAACGACGCCGUUUUGAUAAGUUAUAUAAACCAAAUUUUUACCAAAAGUUUUAUUUUGCCCAUUAUUUUAAAAAAAACUUUAAAAAUCUUUCAAAAUUUCUCUCAAGCCUUCCCGCGUCUGGCCAUAACUCCGACCAGUCGUCACCGUACCGUAACCUUAUCCUUUCGACCCUCCUAAAUCCAAAUCUGGGUUCAAAAUUCCCAAAAUAUUAACAAAAAUACCUCAAAAGCUCAAGAAACCUUUCGAUUUUCGGUCACCUAUCCUCAGAGGUGACUUCCUCAGCCAUCCACGGUGUUGAAAAACUCGAAUACAGGUUAGUUUGUUACUCCCUUUUCAUUUUGUUUUACUUUCGUAUGUGUAAAUAUGAUAAAAAUAAAAUAACAGUAGACCAAAAAUGAAACGAAGAUUUAGAAAAUAGCAGUAGAUGUAAACCUUUCGGGAUUUUUCUAAUUAUUUUGAGUUUUUCGAGUAUUCGAUCCCUUUUUUUAUUACAUUGAUUGAUGGGGCCUUUUAUAGCCGAUUUACAUGCUAUUUUUUGUUUGCUUUCGCUUUUGUUCUUGUUGAUUCUGUGUCUGUCUCUUUUUUGUUCUGUUUGCAGGUCUUGGCAAGGUCAACAGAUGUUGAAGGGAUAACCCCUGCCAUUUUCGUACAAGGCUGUAGACGCCUGUCAGGCUUCGGGCGACGAGUGCGCUAUAGGGGCACGAAGAGGGAGUGCGGCACACAUGGAGCACUAGGGUUUCUGUUUUCCUCUGAAAGCAGUUAGGUUGUGGGCUGAAUUGGGUUAGGUUUUCUUUUUUAUUUUGGGCCAUACCAGGCCUGGCAUGUAAUUAGGGUUUGGGUUUGUUAUUUGAGUUUUGGGCCCGGUCAAAAAUGGCCUAUUACAGCUGCCUAUCUUUGCUUAUUGUCGUGUAACGGGAAUGAAACAAAGACUUUAAAAGGGCCAAUUUUGCCCGGUCUUGCCGAGUCUUGACUCCUUUUAGUGUUUCUCUUUUCAAGUAGCUUCACUCUAUUCCACUGUGUCUUGUUGCUUCAAUACACUCCACUGUAACUUCAAAAAGAGAUACGACUUGUAGCUUCAAUCUACUCUGCCAUAAUUUCAGAAGGAUGAGAUUUAUGGUUUUAGUCUGCUCCACUAUAACGUCAGGGAGAUAAGACUUGUUGCUUCAACCUACUCUACUGCGACUUCAAGGAGAUAAGGUCUGUUAUGGUAGACUUAAUCUGACCUACUGCAACUUCAGAGGUAUAUGAUUCAUCGUUUUAAUCCGCUCCACUUCAACUUCAGGGAGAUAGGAUUAAUAGCUUCAAUCUACUCCACUACAACUUCAGAGAGAUAAGAUUUGUGGCUUUAAUCUGCUCCACUGCUCUACUGCAACUUCAGGGAGAUAAGGUUUGAUGUGAUCUGCUCUACUGCAACUUCAGGUUUCAAUCUGUUCCACUGCAGCUUUAAGGAAAUGAGAUUUAUAGUUUGUCUUCAAUCUACUCCACUACAACUUCAGGGAGAUAAGAUUGGUUUAUUUUUUAACCUGCUCCACUGCAACUUCAAGGAGAUAAGGUUUGAUGUGAUCUGCUCUACUGCAACUGCUCCACUACAACUUCAGGGAGAUAAGGUUUGAUGUGAUCUACUCUACUGCAACUUCAAAGAGAUAAGAUCUGUAAUUUAUAGCUUAAAUCUGUUCCACUACAACUUCAGGGAAAUGAGAUUUAUAGCCUGUCUUCAAUUUUCUCCUCUACAACUUUAGGGAGAUAAGAUUGGUUUAUUUUUUAACCUACUCCACUGCAACUUCAGAGAGAUAAGGUUUGUCAAGAUCUUCAAUCCAUCCCACUGCAACUUCAGAGGCAUAAAAUUUGCCGCUUCACUAAUCUAUUAUGCGGUGAACUUGACCUGUGGAAUCCAUUUCAUAGACCUAUUUAUGCCUAGUGAUUAGGAUGUCAUAAAUCAGAAUGAAUCAAAUGCUCCUAACUAGGUGUGUAUGAAUGAUAUUUGCAUGAAUGCAGAACAUCAUUUUUUGAGAAUAAUCCCUCUUUAAUGUUUGGGUUAUCAUUGCUCAUUGUUCAUCAAGGUUUUAUCGUUAAUGCAUUACCCUACCUUCUUGUUCAACUGGUGUCUUUAACAGAAAAUCCAAAGAAAUAGUCACAAUUUAGACUAUUCUUUUUCAAAUGUUUCCAACCCUCAGGUUUGGUUAGUUCUAAACAAUAAUCCUGUUUCGAGUCCUCGUAUCAUUUAGAAGCUUUCAGAGUAAUAUGCAGAACUUCUUUUGCUUGAAUAUUAUUGAUCCAUUAAUUAUUAUUUCAAUGAAAAAUGCUUGGAAAGAAUUAUCACAAUGGACAAGAUGGAAUUUCAUUAGGAGCAAAGCUCGAACUGAAUGAAUUAAUCAAGAUAACAAGUUUUUUCCAAAAUUACAAAAUGAGAAUCAAGACAACGUAUUUUGCCAAAAUAAAAAAUGAAUGAAAUGGAAUAGGUGCCUUAGAUAUCGUAGUAUGAACUUCUCUGCACAAAGCCUUUGGAGGACCACUUUAAACUUGAUAGAUGUCCAGGAGGUCCGCAGUAUUUCGUUGAUGUCCCAAGACGCAUAAUCUCUCUUUCUUGUUAAUUCAAGCAUAGUAAAAAUUGUCGCAUGCCCCACCUUUGAUCACAAUUUGAAUUGCCCUUUUUCCCCAGGUUUUCAAUUCAAAACCCCUUUGGUCUCAAAGUGCCCUUCAUGGGUUUUCGCCUUGGCCUCUCCUCUUUUGUUUUAGGCGAGGUACUUUUUCAUUGAAUUCGAAUUCACAGGAUUAGGCAGGAUUUUUCCAUCCAUCUCAGUCAAAAUUAACGCUCCUCCAGAAAAGGCCUUCUUUACUACAUAAAGUCCCUCACAGUUUGGCAUCCACUUUCCUCUAAAGUCUUUUUGUAUGGGAAGGAUCUUCUUCAGUACCAAAUCCCCUUCAUGAAAUUCCCUAGGACGAACCUUCUUAUUGUAAGCUCGUAUCAUUUGCUUCUGGUACAUUUGACCAUGACGGAUAGCUCUCAACCUCUUUUCUUCGAUCAAGUUUAGCUGAUCAUAUCAAGAUUGGAUCCAUUAUGCUUCGUCUAACAUUAGUUCUGAAAAAACUCGGAGAGAGGGAAUUUCAACCUCAAUUGGCAGUACUGCCUCCAUUCCAUAAACCAAAGAGAAAGGCGUUGUCUCGGUAGAGGUCCUGACAGAUGUUCGAUAAGCAUAGAGGGCAAAUGGUAACUUCUCAUGCCAAUCUCUAUAAGUCUCAGUCAUUUUUCCCACAAUCUUCUUGAUGUUUUUAUUGGCUGCCUCCACUGCGCCAUUCAUUUUCAAGCGAUAUGGCGAUGAAUUGUGGUGCUUGAUCUUGAAUUGACUACAGACCUCCGCUAUCGUGUUGUUGUUCAAAUUCAAAGCGUUGUCAGAUUUAAUCCUUUCGGGUAUCCCAUACCGACAUAUGAUCUCCUUUUUUAGAAAUUUACUGACGGUCGAUUUUGUGAUGUUGGCGUAAGAAGUAGCUUCUACCCACUUAGUAAAGUAGUCAAUUACUACGAAGAUGAAUCGAUGCAUGUUUGAAGCUUUUGGUGAUAUUGGUCCAAUGACGUCCAUGCCCCACAUGGAAAAAGGCCAUGGAGAAGUCAUGACAUGAAGAGGUGAAUGAGGCACAUGAAUUUUGUCCCCAUAAAUCUGGCAUUUAUGGCAUUUCUUAGCAUACUUGAUGCAGUCCCUUUUCAUGGUGGACCAAUAAUAUUCGAAUCUCAUGAUUUGCCUGGUCAUUGUAAAACCAUUAACGUGUGUUCCAUAGACACCAUCAUGAACCUCUUCUAAGAUUUGCUUAGCCUCAAUAGCGUCCACGCAUCUUAGCAACACUUGAUCAUUUCCUCUUUUAUAUAGGAUCUCUCCAUCCAAGACGUAGUCAUUAACCUGCCUUCUUAACGUCCCCUUGUCAUCCUCGCUUUCUUGGUUUGGGUAUUCCUGACUCUUCAUGUAUUGUAAUAUAUCGCGAUACCAAGGGUGAUCACCCUUUUCCUCUUCUUUGUCGACAUUGCAACAGUGGGCUGGUGCUUCAUAAAUGCUCAUUCUGAUGGGCCUCACAUCCUUUGUUUAUUUACUUUGAUCAUAGAAACCAAAGUAGCCAAAGCGUCGGCCAUCUGGUUUUCUUCUAGCGAAAGGUAAGAGAAGGUGAUGUCAUCAAACUCGUCAAUUAGCCCUAUAACCAGCUUUCGGUAAUUGACUAAUUUGCGAUAUCUUAUCUCCCACUCCCCUUUGAGCUGAAAAACCACCAGUACAGAGUCCCCAUAUACCUCUAACACUUUAAUCUUAUGUUCCAUGGCUGUACGAAUCCCCAUAAUACAUGCUUCGUACUCGGCCAUAUUAUUUGUGCAAUCAAAACCCAAUUUACAGGUGAAUGGAUAAUGAUCUCCGCUUAGGGAUACCAAAACUGCCCUAAUUCCGUUGCCUACAGCAUUUGAAGCCCCGUCGAAGUUUAAUUUCCAAGCACCGCUUUCUUGAGUGUAUUUUUCAACAGUUCCCACAUACAUCAGAUCCUUAUUUAGGAGAUCAAAGUUCAAAGGCUCAUAGUCUUCUAGAGCUCGACUAGCUAGAAAAUCUACUAUCGCGCUUCCUUUUAUAGCUUUUUGAUUCACAUAGACUAUGUCAAAUUCAGACAGUAGAAUUUGCCAUCUGGUCAUCCUUCCAUUUAGAGCGGUUUACUCCAUCAUGUAUUUCAGAGGGUCUAGUUUCAAGAUUAACCAAGUCGUAUGGUACAACAUGUAUUGUCGCAACCUCCGAGUAGUCCAGAUUAAGGCGCAACAUAAUUUUUUGAUUGGGGAGUAUCUUGUCUCACAUUCGGUGAACUUCUUACUGAGAUAGUAUAUUGCUUUUUCUUUUCUUCCCAACUCAUCAUGUUGGCCGAGCACGAAUCCGAUGGAGUUUUCAAAUACUGUUAAAUAUAGUAUCAGGGGCUUGUCUGGGCAAGGCGGUGUUAGUACUGGAGCGUUGGACAAGUAAUACUUGAUCUUGUCAAAGGUUUUCUGGCACUCCUCGUCCCAUAUGCCCGGAUUAUGUUUCUUAAAGAGACGGAAGAUAGGGUCACAUUUUUCAGUUAACUGUGAAAUAAACCGAGCAAUGUAGUUUAGUCUUCUUAGAAAACCCCGGACUUCUUUCUGAGUGCGUGGUGAAGGCAAUUCUUGUAUGGCCUUGACUUUGUCUGGGUCAAUCUCAAUUCCCCUUUCACUGACUAAAAGUCCUAGCAACUUUCCUGAUCUAGCCCCGAAAGUGCAUUUGGCUGGGUUAAGUUUUAGCUGGAACUUCAUUAACCUUAGGAACAGUUUUCUCAAUACUUGCACAUGUUCUCCUUCUGUCCUAAACUUUACAAUCAUGUCAUCAACACAGACUUCUAUCUCUUUAUGCAUUAUAUCAUAGAACAAAGUUACCAUGGCUCUUUGGUACGUUGCCCCUGCAUUCUUUAAUCCGAAUGGCAUCACCUUAUAGCAAAAUGUUCUCCACAUAGUUACAAAUGUGGUCUUAUCCAUGUCUUCAGGAUGCAUUUUUAUCUGAUUAUACCCCGAGAAGCCAUCCAUGAAGGAGAAAAGUGAGUAACCUGCUAUGUUGUCCACCAGAGUGUCGAUAUGGGGUAACGGAAUAUUGUCUUUUGGACUAGCUUUGUUCAAAUCUCUAUAAUCUACGCACAUCCGUACCUUCCCAUCUUUCUUAGGGACAGAGACUAUGUUGGCUACCCAAUCCGAGUACUUGACCACUUGUAAGAACCCCGAGUCGAACUGCUUCUUGACCUCUUCUUUUAUUUUUAACAAAACAUCAGGCCUUAUUCUUCGUAGCUUCUGUUGCACCAGUUUACAUUCUUCUUUUAUGGGCUGUCGGUGUACUACAAUAUCAGUACUUAGGCCAGGAAUGUCUUGAUAGGUCCAUGCAAAGACAUCUUUAAACUCUUGAAGUAAUCCAACGAGGUCUCGUUUUGUUUCCUCAGUAACGCAAGCGCCAAACUUUACUUCUUUCUCUUCUUCUAAACCCACUACUUCCACGGAUUCCUUAUAAGGUAAGAUUUGUUUCUCUUCUUGCUCCACCAUUCUUAACAAAUCAGGAGAUAAUACGCUGUCUUGGUCAUCUUCAAAACCCUGACGAUCAUCCGUACUCAUGUCUUGUUCAAAUAGGGACUUUGAGUCAGUAACAGCGUCGCUCACAUCAUUGAUAUCUGAAGACCUGUUAUUGGGAGAAAGGAAGGUCCAAAGAAAGAAGAAUCUAAGCAUAAUUGUUUACACAGUAUGAUUAUAAAUUGAAUGAAAAGAAUAGAAGAAUAUUUGCUCAAAAUGAGACUGAAUGAUGUGUUUUCAUUGAAAUAAGAUUUUGGACAUGUGUCUUUUACAAAAUAUUCUUAUUGCCCCCAGGCUUAGGGCAACAAGUGUUCUAGAUAUUACUCUGAAUUAGUUCUAAAUGUUAUAGGGAUCUCUUCUGCAGUCUAGUUGUCUAGAACACUUCCAGGUUCGUAAGGGCGGAUGCCUGAUACACUUCCUUCUUCGAGUUCUUUUUUGAAUAUGGCAUUGAUGUUCAGGUUUUCUAACAUUUCCUCCGUAGUAUCCCUUCUUGGUGUCCUUCGUUCAGGAUAAAUAGUUCCCCCUGAUAUAAAGGUCCUAGAUAUGUGGGGGAAGGUCAUAGGUUCCCAAUCGACUUCUUUUCCACUCAAACGCGCCUUCCUCUUCUCUUGUCUUUUUUCUAACUCUUUCCUUCUUUACUUCGCAUUUGGCUUAGAUCCUAAACCAAAGCGGUCUCGUUUAUCUUUUAUCAUUGGUACCUCUAUCCUUCAUUGAAGACAUCUUCCGAAUCCUCUCCCAGACACUGCUCCUUUUCCAAUCGUCAUUUGCAGUCCCAUCCUCGUAGUUUUGGAUAUGCUAGGCAUCGUGAUCUUAUUCCCCUCAACAACAAAAGUUGCGUUCACGAAUUCUAAGGAUCAAAAGGAACAUUCAAUCGCCUCAUCAUUCGUUUCUAAAUAUGGUGUGUCGCUGGUUACCGAUGCAAUAAUGUCUUCUUUAGCGCUUAUAGUAACUAGUCGGCCUUCUAUUACCAAUUUCAACUUCUGGUGCGAUGAUGAAGGCACUGCUCUAGCUGAAUGAAUCCAAGCUCUUCCCAACAAGUAAUUAUACGAAGGUUUGAUAUCCGUCACUAGGAAAUCUACCUUGUAUGUAUUCGGGCCAAUCAAGAGAGGUAUUUCUAUUCUUCUCGUUACUUUUCUUUCAGUGCCAUCAAAUGCUCUCACUAUAUUCUGGCAUGAUUUCAUGUGAGAGUUAUGCAUCGGUAACCUGUUUAAGGUGGAUAAGGGUAAGACAUUCAAGGCCGAUCCAUUAUCAAUUAACACCACCGGAAACGUGUAUCCCUUGCAGCGAGUGGUGAUAUUUAGGGCUUUGGUGGCUCCUCUCCCCCCCCCCCGAUGAUAUUUCAUUAUCAUUAAAGAAGAUGAAGUUGUCGGCACUUAUAUUGUUAACCAAGCAGUCUAACUUGUUCACCGAGAUAUCGUUAGCGACAUAAGUUUCAUUUAGUACUUUUAUCAACGCAUUACGAUGUGUCUCUGAACUUAGAAGCAACUUAAGCACCAAGAUGCAAGCUGGUUGCUUAUGUAGUUGUUCCACCACGCUAUACUCACUGUGCUUUAAGAAUUUUAGAAAUUCUCUAGCCUCAUUUUUAGUUACCGGCUUGUUAACAUGCGAUUCAAUUCUAAUCGUUUUUGCUUCCCCUCGCUCAACCGCUAAGGUUUUUCCUUUUGUGGUUUCCACUCUUGCAUUUGUCGAAUCGUAGCAUUUUUCGCUUCGUGUAUAGAAGCCUAUAUCAUCACCCUUUUUUGAAGUAUUUAUUGGGUUCUCUUCUCCCGGGAUCGUCACGUUGCACUCGUAAUUCCAAGAAACCCAUUUGCUAUUCUUAUAAAGAAAUUAUAUGGGUUUUUAGAUUAUGACCCUUGGCGCUAUUUCUAUUCCAGAUUCUGUGCUCCUUGGCCUUGAAAUAAUCACCACUGAGUGAUUAACCCUUUGGGCUUCCCCGUAGAUUCUUCCUCCGAGGUGUAAAUUUCCCCUUCUUCUAAUCCUUCAACCUUUUCAUAAAACUUCAACUCUUUGUUAUCCAUUAAGUUUUGCAUCAUGGUUCUGAACUCGGUGCAUUUUUAAGUGUCAUGGCCCUCUUCAGCAUGGAACUCGCAAUACUUCAUCGUCCCUUUGGGCCUCUCCGUUGAAUCUUGCUUGAUAAAACCUCCCUCUAUCAUUCGUUUCCAAACCCAUUUCAACGGGGUUUUUAUCUCUGCUACGUCAGCUUUAACUCUCCUUCCCCACUCUCGAUUAUUGCGUUUACCUCUUUAUCAGAAUGAUUGGUUAACGGAUUCCCUGCUACAUUUGGUUCUGGUGGGUCGUCAAACUUUACAAUCCCCAUCUUAAUGAAUCUUUCCACCAUCUUCUUAAACGCAGUGCAGUUCUCAAUCGAGUGUCCCGUUAUCCCUGCUUAGUAUUCACAUUGGGUAUUCACGUCGUACCAUUUAGGGUAUGAAGGUUGCAUGGGUUUCAGAUAAAAUGGAGACACGACGUGUGCAUCGAAUAGAUUCUAAUACAGUUCUCUAUACGUCAUUGAGAUACGUGUGAAUUGGGGUCUUUCUACAUUCGACCUUGGAUGGGAUUCCUGCCUUAAAAAGCCUUGAUGGCUAGUGGUUAUUGCUCUUGCUUGUCCCACCGUGAUUGGUUUAGAAUAGCCUUUGUUAAACAUACUUGCAUUGUUUAUCUCGUGCUCUUUCUUUCUUGGGGCUGACCUCUUGGCACUUUCCCCCGCUUCUAUCUUGCCGCAUAUUAUUGUAUUCUCUAUCAUUUCUCCAGACAUCACUAUGUCUGAAAAGCUUUUAGUGGCGCUGUCUAACAUGUGAUUGAUGAACAGAGCCUUCAAAGUAUUGAUGAAAAGCAUGGUUGUCUCUUUCUCCAGAAGUGGUGGUUAGACUUGCAUUGCUAUUUCUCUCCAUCUUUGGGCGUACUGUCUGAAGCUCUCACUAGGCUUCUUUUCCAUGUUCUGUAAUGUAAUUCGACCGGGUGCUAUAUCCUUCACAUGACUGUACUGCUUCAUAAAAGUCUGUGCCAAGUCCUUCCAUAAAUUGACUUUAGUCUGGCUCAAUUGGUUGUACCAUUUAGCCGCCGACCCGAUCAAGCUGUCUUGGAAAUAGUGCAUCAAUGUUGAUCAUUAUUGAUGUAUCCUGUUAUCCUUCGACAGAACAUAGUGAUAUGAGCUUCAGGACAGCUAGUCCCGUUAUACUUUUUAAACUUUGGCAUUUUGAACUUAGGUGGAAGCACCAGAUCAGGAACCAAACUCAAGCCUUUGGCGUCAAUUCCACAAUGGUAGUCGGCGUUCUCCAUGGCUCUAAAUUUCUCCUCUAUCCAUCUACACGAUCCUCAAGUUGUUUUGGCAAGUCCAUUCUUACCUUUUCUAUUUCUGCCACGUCAUCGAGAUCAGGGACCACGGGAUUGGUAGGGUUAUCCCCGGGAUUAGAACCCGAGCUUAUUGGAAAGUUCAUUGACACUAGGGCCCCAACCUGAUAUUGGGAUCUGAUAGUGACAGGUACCCUUCAUGGGUACACGUCCGGUUGCGCUUAGAUGUUAGUUAGGGUAAAACCUGGAGGAUAGGCAGGGUCUUCAUGAUCAUCCCCAGAAUUGACCACAGGGCUCUUCCCUUUAUCAUUUUCUCCAGCCAUUAACUGUGUUAACUAGCUCAAUAAAUUUCUUUGGGAUUCUUACAUGUCUUGUUGCAUUUUAGCUAGUUUUUCCUGCAUCUGAACUUGCAUCUCUUUUCACAAUUGUUCCAAUCUUUCUAAUAUCUGAUCCAUUACUUUUGUCUUGCGGCGGGUACCGUAGUGAUAUAUAGUUGGCUGAUUUUUGUUGGUUUCCAAGGUAACUGUCAUAAUUUUAAUUAAUUAGGGCUCUUUUUUGAAACUUUAAUGCAUAUGAUGAGAUGUAAUGCAAAUGAAUCAAAGCAAAAAGAGGCAUUGAUUCUAAUUCAAUUUCAUUAGAAAAACUCGAUUAGAAAACAAAUUUCUUUACAUAAAAUGGAUUACAUAUAUGGCUUCGCCUUUAUACUCAAAGCCUUAACCCUCUUAAGGAGCCAAGCUAACUCUCAACCUCGGCUUGAUUCUGAUUCAUAUUUUAAACUCAAUACAUCAGCCUGAACUGCUAAGGUUUGCAGAUGAUCAGCUACUUCCUGCACUUAAGUUACAACUUCACCCAUAAUGUAAUCUUUAUCUCUAAUCUGACUUUGGGAAUGAUGGAGCUGUUCUUGCCACUGUUCGUUACGCCUCUCAAGAAGUUCCACUCGUAAUUCAGAGUUUUGCAAUGCGUCUUCGAGCUUUUCUAUUUUCCCCUUCAAUUUUUCGAUCUUUCCUAAACUUGCUCUUAACUUGAUCAUUGAGUUGCGACUACGGUACAGGUGAAGCGACUUUUCUAACUAUACUACCCGAGCUUUUAAUCUCGCUUCUUCAUUUCAACAUUCUAACAAGUUUUUCUCUAAAGCUCUCUCUCGAGCUUGGGCGUCUUAAAAUUUCUUUUCCCACUGAUCAGCCAUGGUCUUUUCUUCCUUGAUCUCCUGUCGCCAUUACUCCGACGUUUUACCUAAACCGACAGUUCUUAUUGACAAACGCAGCUUCUUAUAAUCUAUUUUUAGACUAUCUAAAUCCUCUUCAGCCUUGUUCUUCCCUUUCCUUAAUUUUUCGAUUUUUAACUUGUGGAUAUCGACAUCUAGUCCCAAACGCAUCUUUUCCUCUUCUAGCUGCUCUAUCUUCUUUCCUAACUCUGAACUUCUUUUUUCAAAGUCCUGUUUGAUGAUCUCUAAUUCUGAUGGAACUUCUUGUAGAUGGUCCUCUAUAGAUCGAAUGCAUUCUUUUCUCGACCCGGAGAUGUUGUUAUUGACCCUCUUACUCCAACACCCAUAAUAUUCGAAAGUUGUCAUUGCUCUUACGGUAAAUCUUUUCAUCCGGUGAACUUGUUUCCAAGCGCUAAACAUUUCUCGAAUCUUUCUCUUGUAGUUAUCACCCUUAUAAGAAAACUCACACUGAGUCAGCCCUUAUGUUGUCGGUAUGAACUAUCUUGAUUUAUAUUGUCUUAAUACGAGCAAAGGGGUAUAUUCGACAGCUCUCCAAAUUCUAAGUAAAAGGACCAAGUCGAAGUUUUCACAUCGAUAUAGGAUAUCGUCGGGCACCAUCCAAUGAGCUUUCCAUUCAACAUCUUUCUCUUGAAGAGUUUGGAGAAUCACCAUCCAUUUCUCUUCUGUGAUGUCGUUUCAUCUUGGUGUAGCCACUAGUUCCUUUAAUGGGGAGUAGUUUUCUAAGAAUACCCAAUAGGAGACCUUUUUCCACUUUCCAAAAGUGUCUAUGGAACCACACCAAUAAUAGUUGCGCGCAUCCGAUGAACCUUCCUUCACCCGCUCUUCGACACGCAUUUAGAGAUCUAAAAGUUUCAGCCAAUAUUGCUGAGACCGGUGUGACCCCCUUGUCAAGCCUAUCAAACAGAUCUGAAACUGCUUCAUCCACAUGCCCUAAUGCCUUGGGGAAAAUAACUAAACCAUAAAUGCUCAAGACAAAGAUAUCAACUCACUUGGUGCAAAAAUCAUGAAAAACCAGCUUGAAUAAACCCUUAGGACGUUUUUGGCUGAUGAGAAUGCAGAAAAAUAAAGAGAAAUCUAGAUAAUUCCACUUUAGUCCUAACUUUUAAAGUAAAUUUUUGCAAUAUUCUAAUUUUACCCUUAAUUCUCCAAUUCUCCUUAUUUUUCUCAGCUUGUGCCGCCCAAAAUAUCUUCUUUUGGGCUUAUUUACAAUUUAUGUCCCUCCUUAUUUAACAAUGGAGCUAUUUAAUCCUUCUAGUAACUUUUACACCUUUUUUAAUUUAGUCCUUUUCACUUAAUUGACUGCCCAAACAUUAAAAUUUUCUAACGAAAUUUUAAUACCAUAUUACUAACAUUUCAUAAAUAUUUAUAAAAAUAUUUUUGACUUGGUUUUAUGAGAUCGAUGUCUCGAUACCUUGUUUUUACCCAAUUUCUUCAAUAAUUUCUUUUUCUAACUAACCACUAAAUCGGUAAAAUUUUUCUAUCGAUAUUUUCAUACGAUUUUCUAUCAUAUCAAUAUUCAUGCAAAAAUAUUAAAAUAAAUUUCUUUUAAAAUCGGAUUUUUGGUUAUGAAACCACUGUUUCGAUAACCUUGAAUUUAGGCCAUUACAACUCUCCCCCCUUAGGGAUUUUCGUCCUCAAAAAUCUUACCAGUAAAGAGGUUCGGGUAUUGUUUCCUCAUUGCCUCCUCUGAUUCCCAUGUCGCUUCCUUAAUCCCGUGCUUUUUCCAUAAUACUUUCACCAAAUUUAUCUUUUUAUUUCUAAGCUCAUUUAUUUCCCGUGCUAAUAUCUUAACCGGUUCUUCACUAUAAGUCAUAUCCGGCUGAAUCUCCACUUCUGUCAGAGAAAUAACAUGUGAAGGAUCUGAUCGAUACCGUCGUAGCAUAGACACAUGAAAAACAUUAUGAAUUCUAUCGAGUUCCGGUGGUAAUGCCAAUCGAUAAGCGACCGCGAGUUCCGGUGGUAAUGCCAAUCGAUAAGCGACCGGUCUAAUUCUUUCUAUAAUUUCAUAUGGCCCAAUAAAUCUUGGACUCAACUUACCCUUUUGACCGAAUUGGAGAACUUUUUUCCAAGGAGACACUUUUUUGGAAUACCUUAUCACCCACCUAAAAUUCAAUCUCUUUUCGUUUAAGAUCAGCAUAUGGCUUUUGACGAUCGAAAGCUGCUUUUAGACUAUCUCGAAUCAUCUUGACUUUUUCUUCUAUUUCCCGGAUCAAAUCAACCCCAUGUAUCUUCUUUUCACUAAGCUCUGUCCAAUAUAAUGGUGUUCUACAUUUUCUACCAUACAAAGCUUCAUACGGAGCCAUUUUAAUACUGGACUAAUAACUGUUAUUAUAAGCAAAUUCAAUCAAAGGUAGAUACCUCUCCCAAUUACCUUCUAACUCUAAUAUACAACAUCGGAGCAUAUCUUCCAAUACCUGAAUUACACGCUCAGAUUGGCCAUCUGUCUGAGGAUGAAAUGCAGUGCUGAAAUACAAUUGAGUACCCAAGGCUUCUUGCAAUUUGUCCCAGAAACGAGAUGUAAAUCGGGGAUCUAUAUCUGAUAUAAUAGAUAUUGGCACUCCAUGUAGCUUGACAAUCUCAGAUAUAUACAGUUCAGCCAAUUUAUCUAAAAAAUAAUCCAUAAGUACUGGGAUAAAAUGUGCUGAUUUUGUUAAUCGAUCAACGAUCACCCAAAUGGCAUCUUUCUUAUUCGGUGACAAUGGUAACCCAAAUACAAAAUUCAUAGUAAUUCUUUCCCACUUUUAUUCCGGUAUAGUGAUUGGCUGAAGUAACCCCGAAGGUACCUGAUGUUCAACUUUAACCUGCUGACAUAUUAGGCACUUUGAUACAAACUCAGAAAUAUCACGUUUCAUACCUGGCCACCAGUACAUCUUCUUCAAAUCAUUAUACAUUUUAUUACCUCCCAGAUGUACGGACAUAAUACCACUGUGUGCCUCGUGUAAAAUCUUCUGUACAAGCUCUGAAUUCUUCGGUACACAUACUCUGCCUCUGAAUAAUAAACAACCAUCAGUCCCAAUUUGAAAUUCUGAAUCAUUACCUGACUCACAUUGUACCCAUUUAGCCUGUAGCUUUUCAUCAUUUUUCCGAGCUUCAUAUAUUUGUUGUAGAAAUGUCGUUUAACUCUCAACUCAGCUAUGACUGAACCAUUAUCAACCAAAGACAAUCGGGUAUUCAUAGCUCGCAAAGCAAACAAAGAUUUUUGACUCAGAGCAUCAGCUACAACAUUAGCCUUACCCAGAUGGUAAUCAAUAACCAAAUCAUAGUCUUUUAUCAGUUCAAGCCACCUGCGCUGUCUCAAAUUCAAAUCUUUCUGUGUCAUCAAAUAUUUCAGGCUUUUAUGAUCAGUAUAAAUAUGACAUUUUUCACCAUACAAAUAAUACCGCCAUAUUUUCAAUGCAAAUACAAUAGCAGCAACUUAGAGAUCAUGUACCGGGUAAUUUCUUUCAUGUGGCUUAAGUUGUCUUGAAGCAUAGGCUAUUACUUUACCUUCUUGCAUCAAGACACAGCCUAAACCAUUUAAUGAUGCAUCACUAUAAAUAAUAAAUUCUUUACUCGGUUCAGGUUGUACCAACACAGGUGUUUUCGUCAACAAAUCUUUCAAUCGGUCAAAACUCUGCUGGCAUUUAUCAGUCCACUCAAAUUUAACAUCUUUCUGUAAUAAACGAGUUAUCGAAGAAGCUAUCAUAGAGAACCCCUGUACAAAUCUCCGAUAAUAACUGGCUAAACCCAAGAAACUUCUAACUUCAGAUACAUUCUUCGGUGGACUCCAAUUGACAAUAGCUGAGAUUUUACUCAAAUCUACCUUGAUGCCUUCUGCGGAUACAAUAUGUCCAAGAAAACCCACUUCUCGAAGCCAAAAUUCACAUUUACUGAAUUUAGCAUAUAGCUACUUCUCUCGCAGAAUUUGCAACACAAUUCUCAAAUGUUCUGCAUGCUCAUUUUCAUCUUGGGAAUAGACCAAGAUAUCAUCAAUAAAAACUACCACAAACCUGUCUAAGUACGGUCUAAAUAUCCGAUUCAUCAGGUCCAUAAAUACUGCAGGUGCAUUAGUCAGCCCAAACGGCAUAACAAGAAACUCAUAAUGCCCGUACCUGAUUCUAAAAGUUGUUUUCGAUACAUCUAACUCCUUUACCCGUAACUGAUAGUAGCCCAAUCGGAGAUCAAUCUUUAAAAAUACAGUGGCACCCUUCAACUGGUCAAACAGAUCGUCAAUCCGAGGCAAUGGGUACUUAUUCUUUAUAGUGACUUUAUUAAGUUGUCAGUAAUCAAUACAUAAUCUUAAGGACAUGUCCUUCUUUUUCAUAAAUAAAACUGGAGCACCCUAAAGUGAAUGACUUGGUCAGACAAAACCCCUGUCAACAAGUUCUUGCAACUGUGUCUUUAACUCCUUUAAUUCUGUAAGAGCCAUACGAUACGGAGCUAUAGAGAUUGGAGUAGUUCCCGGAAUCAGAUCUAUAGAAAAUUCCACUUCUCUUUCUGGUGGCAACCCUAGUAAUUCCUCUAGAAACACAUCAAAAAAUUCACAUACAAUUGGCACUGCCUGUAUAUUUAAUUGGCACUGCCUGUAUCUUUAACUCAGAUACCUUAGUGUUUAACACAUAUGCCAAAUAAGCAUCAUACCCUUUUCUGACACACCUCUGAGCUGUCAUAACCGAAAUCACAUUAGAUAAUUCUUCUGUCUGAUCAAAUUUAACCCGAAGUAAUUCUCUAUUCUAACACUUCAGCAUAAUAUAUUUCUGUCUACAAUUUACUACUGCAUCAUGCUGAGUUAGCCAAUCCAUACCCAAUAUCACAUUGAACUCAUCAAAAGGCAAUAACAUCAAGUCAACAGGAAAACAAAUACCUUUUACCAUCAGUGGACAAUUUUUACAAACUUUAUCCACCAUCAUAAACUGGCCCAGUAGGUUCGAGACUUUAACCACAAAUUCAGUAAGUUCAACAGAUAAAUUUUUAACAAAUACUAAUUUUGUGCAUAUGUAUGAAUGUGUAGAGCCAGGAUCAAUUAAUACAGUAAUAUCAGUAUCAAGUAAAGAAAAUGUACCAGUAAUAACAUCGGGUGCUGAGGCAUCUUCUCUAGCACGGAUGGCAUAUGUCCUAACAGGUGCUCGUGCCUCAGACCUGCCUGCAGUCUCUUUCGUAACUCCUCAGCUACCACUAACAUUACCAGAUGGUCGAGGUGGUCUACCCCUCGAAACUGGAUUACUCGGCUUCGAUGUAUGUUUAGCUUCUUUUUCACCCCUUUCUAGACAAUCUCUGAGGAAAUGAUCGGAAGAACCACAUCGAUAACAAGCCCCACUCUUUAAUCGACAUUCACCAAAAUGAGUUUUAUUACAGUACUGACAUCUCGGCUUAGGGGUACCAACACUACCAGCACUGGUCACUGAUGGAGUGGAAGGUCUUGGAUUAGUGCGUUGAAAACCUCGCUCUCUAAUCGAAUACCCACUGGCUGAGGUUGAACGAUCCUGGUAUUUCUUCAAUUUCUUUAAAGUAAAAAACUGGGAUUUUUCCAUAGAUGUUUUACUGAAAACCCGAGCUUCUCUUUCAGCUUGUUUCUUUUCUUUGCUCAAUUUUUUUGCUUUAUAAGCUCACUCUGCAAGGGUAGUAAACUCUCGAAUUUCAAGAAUUCCGAUCAAUAGCUUAAUUUUUUCAUCCAACCCUUCUUCAAAUCUUUUGCAUAUUCCAGCUUCUGAUUGUACCCAUUCCCAAGCAUAUUUACUCAAUCGGACAAAUUCUCUUUCAUACUCAGAUACUGAUCUGUUAUCCUGUUUCAGCUAAAAAAAUUCUUUUCUCUUCCGAUCGAGGAACCUCUGACUGAUAUAUUUCUUUCUGAACUCGGUCUAAAAGAAUUCUCAUUUAAUUUCUUCUUUUGGAACCACCGAAGCUUUAGUGUUUCACCAAUGAUAAGCUGUGUCUUUUAACAAUGAUACUGCACAUUUCAGACACUCUUCUGGCGUGCAAGAUAAUUCCUCCAAAACCCGAGUAGUAUUCUCUAACCAAAACUCAGCCCGUUUGGGAUCAUCAUCAACUGCAGCUCUGAAUUCUUCUGCCACAUAUUUUCUGAUUUUAUCAACCGGAGCUUUCCCUUUUUUGCUAGGUUCAAUACCUGUACCCUGUGAAAUCUCGGGAAUCGGUGGAGGAGGAGGAGGAGGAGGAGGAGCUUGAGCUUGCUGCACUAUAGGGUUAGUUUUUAUAUAUUGAGUAAAUCAUUCAUUCAUCAUUUGAUAGAAGGCAAUUUUAGCCUCUUCACUUUGGUCCCUUAUCUCGGACCUUCUACUACUAGUAGCUUCAACUUCUCUUUGUUCUGAAGCCGGAGCAUGACUCUCGGCUUCCUUGGGUUGAACUUGGUCGGCAGACAUUUACUAUAAGAAAAUCACAUUUCAAAUGGUCAGGAGAUAUCACACUAUCAAUAAGAAUUUAAAUCCCAUGUAUAGCUAAUCCAGUAUUUUCUACAUCGGUCCGAGAACUGACUAAAUCGUAGCUCUGAUACCAACAAAAUGUAACACCCCUUAACCAUAUCCGUCGUUGAAAUAGGGUACGAAGCAUUAUCAGAUUUUAUCGAAUUAAUUUUCUAUUAUUACGAGUUAAAUACUAUUCAUUUAUCGAAACAUGUCAUGACGUCCCUUGAAUGGGCCUCCGAAGCCCAAAACAUACAUCGAGACCAAACCGGGAUUAAAUCGAAACCAUAAGAAAUUUUUCGCAAAAUCCCAAAGUUUUUUUUUUAAAACUCAAUACAACCCCUUUAUAAAUAUCUAAUCUUCCCUGCAAUUUUAAACCAAGACCAAUCCAACACAACCAAUCCAUUUCAACAUACUUUCAAAAUAGAUUUAACAUAUUCAUAAGAUAACCUCAUCACAUACCAAAACCAAAAUUUGUUAGCCAUACCAAUGGCUAACCAUUCAUUCAUUUCACAUUAACAUUUACUUUACUAGCUUAUACAUGCCAUUGAUUUCUAAAAUAAAGUUUCUUUAUAUACCGAGAUCUUGAGGUUGAUAGUGUGAUGCGUCUCCGACCAAAUCCGACCUCCGAGCUCUUAACACUACAAAACAGGGGAAAAGGAAACAGGGUAAGCACUUUGUGCUUAGUAAGCUCAUGUAAUAAGAAUUAUACUUACCUAAUAUUUUCAAUACAAUACAAUACAAUACAAUAAACAUUCAUACAUCCAUUCAAUGCAUUAUUCCCCUAACAUGCACGAACUCAACAUUCAAGUUAGUUCAGUAAUUUCCAUGUAUCAAUAAUAUAUAUAUCACGAUUGAUAAGCUCAUCAAUUCCAUGAUUUCCAUUCCCUUGUUAUUUUUCCAUAUUUAUCCCGUUGAACUACUUGGAAUUUCGAUGGAUUUUCAGGGGUACACCUAAGUGUACAAAUCUGGGUUCGUCAAUUCAUAUUCAUGUGCGCACAUUUUCAUUUCAGAGAGCACACUCCCGUGAACCUCAUCCUUACAGCGGGAUUACCAGUCCAGGCUAAAUCCCCUGUAAUAUAAACUCAUAGAAUAUUGUCGGGAUUACCAGUCCAGGCUAAAUCCCCUGCAACGACAAUUACUCUAAUGAGCUUGGAUUUGAAUUACCAGUCCAAGCUAAAUUUAGACCCUAAUUUGGAAUACCCGUCCGGGCUAAAUUCAUUUUCCACAUAUUCUUUGAGAGGGCUGUAUCAGAAUAGGAUCACCCAUCCGGGCUAGAUCCUUUUUACCGUCAAUUCCUUUUCAGAGAUCCAUCGAAUUUUCCUUUCAUUCAACCGGGAUUUAUUUUCUCUUUUCAUCAAGAAUAUCAAUACUUCUUCAAUUAUCAUACAAUAAACAUCCAAAUCAUAUUCACAUCAAGAAAAAUAUAUUUCAAGCAUUUAAGAAUAUAAUUCAAGUUACACGAACUUACCUCGAUACUUGUUCGUAAAUAAAAAUCUACUAAUUCCAAACUUUUUCUUUUCCUCGAUCUAGCUUUGUAUUUGAAUUUUCUAGAUCUAAAUAAAUAAAUUUAAUCAUUAAUCUAAUACAUUUCAUGUUCAUAUGUAACAUUCUCUAUAAUUCCAUUAUUAUUUAUAGUUCAUUCAAAGCUGUCUCAUUGAGUCAUAGUCGCUAAAUUAUUUAUAUCUUGAGCUACGGAAUUCCAAAUUAAGAUCUGCUAAUUUUUCCCAAAACUAGACUCACAUAUCUUCUUACCAUAAAAUUUUCAGAAUUUUUAGUUCAGCCAAUAAGUACAGUUUAUUCUUUAAAGUUUCCCUUGUUUCACAGUUCAACAGUUUCGCCCCCUCUUCACUAAAAAUUAAUUAUCUCAUUGUACAGAAUUUGGAUGAUGUUUCCAUUUAUUUAUUCUAAAAAUAGACUCAUUAAGGAUUCUAAGCAUAUAAAUUAUAACUCAUAAUAAUUUUUUUACAAUUUUUAAUGAUUUUCCAAAGUCAGAACAGGGGAACCCGAAUUCAUUCUGACCUUGUCUCACAAAACCUAUUAUAUCUCAUUAUUUACAAUUCCAUUGACUACACUAUUUCUUCUAUAAGAAACUAGACUCAAUAAGCUUUAAUUCUAUAUUUUUUUCAUCCUCUAAUUCAAUUUACAAAAUUUAUGGUGAUUUUUCAAAGUUAACCUACGCAGCUGUCCAAACUGUUUUAAUGCAUGAUAUUAAUUACCAUUUUCCCCUAAGCUUUCAAUAAAUGAUAAUUUCAUCCUUACUCAAUUAACCUCUCAAUUGAGCUGAUUUUUCUCAAUUAACACAUUAUUCCAUCACUUUAAAGUACUUUAUAACCUUUGGAAAUCAGAAUUUUAGCACUAGACUUUAAUUCCAAACUUUUUCACAAUUAGGUCCUACAAAUCAAUUUUUAUUGAAAUUACCUAAUAAAAUCAUCUCAUAAACAAAUUAAAGCUUUAAUUUCAUGCUAUAUCAUCAUAUAUUUCCAGCACAUAUUCAUAGCAACUUUCAAUUUAGUAAUAGGACCUAGUUGUAAAAGUCUUAGGAACAUAAAAAUUACAAGAAAAAAAGCAAGGAUUAACUCACUUGGUGAAAAAAUCAUGAAAAACCAGCUUGAAUAAACCCUUAGGACAUUUUUGGCUGAUGAGAAUGCAGAAAAAUAAAGAGAAAUCUAGAUAAUUCCACUUUAGUCCUAACUUUUAAAGUGAAUUUUUGCAAUAUUCCAAUUUUACCCUUAAUUCUCCAAUUCUCCUGAUUUUUCUCAGCUUGUGCCGCCCAAAAUAUCUUCUUUUGGGCUUAUUUCAAUUUAUGUCCCUCCUCAUUUAACAAUUGAGCUAUUUAAUCCUUCUAGUAACUUUUACACCUUUUUCAAUUUAGUCCUUUUCACUUAAUUGACUGCCCAAACAUUAAAAUUUUCUAACAAAAUUUUAAUAUCAUAUUAAUAACAUUUCAUAAAUAUUUAUAAAAAUAUUUUUGACUCAGUUUUACGAGAUUGAGGUCUCGAUACCUUAUUUUUACCCAAUUUCUUCAAUAAUUUCUUUUUCUAACUAACCACUAAAUCGGUAAAAUUUUUCUAUCGAUAUUUUCAUACGAUUUUUCUAUCAUAUCAAUAUUCAUGCAAAAAUAUUAAAAUAAAUUUCUCUUUAAAUCAGAUUUGUGGUUACGAAACCACUGUUCCGAUAACCUUGAAUUUAGGCCAUUACAACUCCGACCAGUCGUCACCGCGCCGGCCGCCGGUCACCAAUGACGGCGCCGCCGUAUUCGGUGGCUGAAAAAAGGUAAAACCUCCAACCCUAUCCUUUCGACCCUCCUAAAUCCAAAUCUGGGUUCAAAAUUCCCAAAAUAUUAACAAAAACGCCCCAAAAGCUCAAGAAACCUUUCAGUUUUCGGCCACCUAUCCUCGAAGGUGACUUCCUCAGCCGUCCACGGCGUUGAAAAACCCAAAUACAGGUUAGUUUGUUACUCCAUUUUUCCUUUUGUUUUACUUUCGUAUGUGUAAAUAUGAUAAAAAUAAAAUAACAGUAGACCAAAAAUGAAACGAAGAUUUAGAAAAUAGCAGUAGAUGUAAACCUUUCGAGAUUUUUCUAUUGAUUUUGAGUUCUCUGAGUAUUCAAUCCCUUUUUUUAUUACAUUUAUUGAUGGGGCCUUUUAUAGCCGAUUUACAUGUUUUUUUUUCUUUCGCUUCUGUUCUUGUUGCUUCUGUGUUUGUCUAUUUUCUGUCCUGUUUGCAGGUCUUGGCAAGGUCAACAGACAUUGAAGGGAUAACCCCUGCCAUUUUGGUGCAAGGCCGUAGACGCCUGUCAGGCUUUGGGCGAUGAGUGCGCUGCAGGGGCACGAAGAGGGAGUGCGGCGCACAUGGAGCACUAGGGUUUCAGUUUUCCCCUGAAAGCAGUUUGGUUGUGGGCUGAAUUGGGUUAGGUUUUUUUAUUUUGGGCCAUACCAGGCUUGGCAUGUAAUUGGGGUUUGGGUUUGUUAUUGAGUUUUGGGCCCGGGCAAAAAUGGCCUAUUACACAAAUAAUAAAAAUUAAAAUCAAAUCAUCAUAUUUAUUAUAUUAGUCUAAAAAGCAACUGAUAAUAUAAUUGCUAAUAAAAGCUAAAAGAAAAAUCAACAUUGUAUGCAAUUUUAUCUAAUUAUUCUAGUGCAUAUUUGUUGCUUUAUUCCCUCUUCAAAAUUUAACAUAUGCUCCUUAUUAUCGUCUGUUGGUUUUUGAUCAAAUUCGUCAUCACCAAAAUUUGAAUUUGUAUCAUUAAGAUUAUCAAGAUUUCCUUCUUUCAUGUACUCUUUGAAGUAUGGAUCAUCUUGAUUCUACUUAUAAUUCAAGUUAUGAAAUAUGCAAUAUGCUAGUGUCAUGGGGUUAGACCUUUCAUCUCGCAAAUUGUGUGGCCUUAGACAAUUUCUUCGCUUCAAAUGUGUCUAAGUCAGCCUAACUUUCGCAAAGUGAGAAUUCUCGCAGAAUUCCUCUCUAAGGCAUUGAAAAUAUAGUGGAAGCAAUCUCAAAGACAAAAGAAAGCUAAAAAAAAACAUAAUAGCCACAAAAAAAGUAAAAGUACACCAAGUUAAAUGUUCUCAAUUAGUAUUUACUAAUAAAAAAAUGAAAUACAAUGGAUGAUUACAAAUUAGGGGAGGCUCUCUAUUUAUAGUUGAGUUCUCCCAAAACGGAAGAUAUAGAUUGAGUUACAUCGACGGAUGAGAUCGAAGCAUAUCUACAAUUAAGAGAUAAUCCCCAAGAUUACAAAAUUAAAUCUUAUCAUAUUACAAAUCUUCUAAGAUUUAUUUCCCUAUUUACCAAGGUAACCCUAAUUUUCCAUAAGUGCUUUGUUAGGCCACCAAGGCUUUAAGUAGAUGGGUUUCGUCACUUGUUCUUCAAAUUGGACCAAUUCAAGUGGGUUAAAUGAGGCCUAUUUUAUAUGUAGACCUCAAUAGGAUGCUCUUUGUGCCUUGGUCACGAGCUUUGAACCGUGGCCUGUGACACUAGUAUGAUCCAAUCUUUUUUUUUUAAAUGUUAUAUAAAUAUGAAAAAUAUUUUUUUUAGAAUAACAAAUGUCUUCUCAACUAAAAUUUGAAGUAGUGGUGGAUCCUAGGACAAAGUUUUGGGGUCAAAAAGAUCUUAGGAGUUUAAUAAGGAUUUUUUUUAAAAAAAUUUGGGAACUAAUUAAAUUUUUUUGAGAUUGAUGAGAAUUUUCAAAAUUUUGAGGGGGUGUGAUUAAAAUUUUCUAACAAUUUCAAGAGAGAAAUGAACAAAAAAAAAAAAUUUCUUCCUUUUCUUCUAUGUUGCAUCCAUUGAAAUGAGCAAAAAGGAAUAAAUCAAUUUUGAUUUUAGGGUUCCAAAUCUUAAAUGAAAGUAAGAGUUUGAAAACACAAAAUAUUAAUUUCCUUACUACAGGUUGAAAUUACGUGGAAUUAUUAUAAUUAGGUACCAAAAUGAAAAAGAAACCAUACCAAUAUUUCGUUAACAAAUUAAUAAAGAGUGGUUAAAAGAUAACCAAAUGAUAAUAUUAAUGAUGAAAGUGAAAGUUUUUUCGUAGUUCGAUGAUCAAAAUAAGAAAUGCUAAUAAUUAAGUUUGGAAGUAAUAAUAUUUAUAUGAUAAUAAUAAAUUUCAAAAGAAAAUUAUUUUUAAAAAAAUUGUAAUUAUAACAAUUUAAAUAUAUAUAAAAAAAGCAUCCAACAAAUAUAUCGAAAUAUUGCAAUAAAAGGAUGAAGAAAUCAUAAUAUAACCAUACAUGAAUUAGAAAUCAUUUUAUUUCAAAUAUAAAUGAAAUUUGAUAAUGAAAUAAAUUAAAUUAAACAAAUUAUAAAGUAAGAUAUGAAUAUAUAUAUAUAUAAGUUGUGAAAAAUUUUAAAAUAAAAUAAAAAAUUGUUCUAGAAAUCAUUGACUCUCACGUUCCACCCUCUUUUAUUUAUUAAUUAAUUAUAUUUUUUACUCUUCCACGGUCCUUUAUUUUUUGAAAGGAAAUCUCAUUUGGCUUGACACAAAAGUCAUACAUAAUAUUUGUUGUAUAUAGACUUAUUUCAAAUGUUUGAAUUUUCCAAAAACACACACACACAAAGUCGAUGUGGAAUUAAAAUUUUGGUGCCAAGGUCCACUACAUUUUCCACAACCACUAUAAUUAGACUAGAAUUAUCUCUCCGCGUACACUUGGGUUUAAAAUUUUUAAUUAAAAUUUAUUAUAAUCUUAACAUAGAAAUUAAAUUUGUGAUUAUUUUUAUAAUAGAAUAUAAAGUCUUAAAUUAUAAUGACAACAUAGUUGAGAAAAAUAUUUUAAUUUUAAAAAUGUAUAAAAACUGUUAAUUUUUUUAUUUAUUUUGGGACUAUUUGACAAAAAAACGUAAAUUUAAGGGCUAAAAAAGGUAAAAUAAAUAAAAAUAUAUGGAGACCUAAAAUGAUUUUUUUUAAAAAUAAAACUUUCAUAUUGUUAGUUUAAUGACUAAUGUUAUAAUUUAACCUUUAUUUUUGAAAGGGAAUCUCACUUAAAACGAUCCCACCACUUAGACUACAGUGGCGAAACUAGGACUGGUAAGGGCCCCUUAAAAUGAAAAUUUUUUCAUAUAGUCCCUUUAAAAUUUUUAAAAUUUUAAAUUAGUAAAGGUAAAAUUGUACUUUGGUCUCAUUUAAAAAUAUAAAAAUUUGAUUAAUAAACCUUUAUAUUAAUAUGUACAAAUAAUUUAUAAAUUAAAAAAUUAUCUUUUUAAAUAUAUAAAGUAAAUUUAUAAAUUAAAAAAUUUAUAAAAGAUGGAAUUACUUAAUAUAUUUAAUUUUCCUUUAAAUGAAACAAAUUAUUUGUUGACUUAUUACAUUUAUUCCGUAUGAUUUAAUUUUAAAUUUUAUUUUUUAAUCUUCACAGAAUUAUUAGAUACUUUAAGCAACUUAGAGAAGCUUGACACGAAUCGUAAUGAGGUGAAGGAAUUUGUGCCCAUAAAGAAUAAAAAUAUAUGCAUCAACUAAAUAAUAUAAAUUAUUUAAAAAUAAAACACUUUUCAUUAUUUGAUAGAUUCAUUGAUUACCAAAUAUACGAUAUUUCAAAAAAAAAACAAUUAAAGAAAUCCAGCACUUGAAAGUGCUGAUAGAGCAAUAAUUUGAAGCAGUUAAGAAACUUGUAGGAAGGGUAUAGAAAGAAGGUUGGAGGCUUGACGCCAAAAGUCACCAUAGUGGUCUGCUUAGAUCGUUUGGGGCGACUGAAUUUUCCACAUUGAAAACGAAGCCACUAUUGCUACGAAGACCCUUGAAUUUUCCACAAAGAAUUUAUCCCAUAAAUAGAAUUUAUCAUUACAUUAUAUCAAAUUAUGAAUAAUUCAGAGAUUUGCACAUGUACCUUUUUAUUUUAUUUUAUUUUUUCUUUUUUAUUAUUAAAUUCUUUUGAAGCAAAUAAAGAUAAAUUUAUUAUUUUAAAAUUAAUUAAUUAAAAUACUCAUAUUUUUAAAAUGUUAUCAUGGAAGGAGACUCUUUCAUUGUCAAAAUCCAAACAAAAGGAGGAAGAUUUCAUAGAUGGACAACUAGAACUAAACCUGUUUAAUUAUAAGUCGGAUCAGGCCUGCUCAAAAAGUGAGAGGGUUUGAGUAAAAUUAUAACCUUAAAAAAUGGGUUUAGACAAAAAAAUAAUGUCUGUUUAAAAACGGAUCAGACUUCAGGUAAGGCAUUUUUCACCCGAGUCCAAUCCGAAUUCACAAAAUGACAAAAAAAUCUACUAUUUUUUGUUAUUUUAAUUCUAUUUUCUUGUUAUUUUCUUCUUAUUUUGUUACCAUUUCACUAUUAUGUUAUUACUAUUUUGUUGUUAUUGUUUGGAUAUUAUAUAACACUUGUUUUAUUGUUAAUUUUGUUAUUCUUUUAGAGGCAUUUGUUUGUUAAGUUGCAUCUAUCUUAGUGUUAUUUAAGUAUACGUAUUUUUUAAAAUUUAUUUUUACUUUGUUGGAAAAUAUUUAAUUUAAUGUUUUUAGUAUUUUUGAUGUAUUAUAUAUAUUUAAAAAUUAUAUAAAAAUAAUAUAAAAAAUUAAUAUGGGCAGGUUGGGCCCGGGCCUAAAUUUUUGUUUGGGCCCAGUCGAACCCAACCCAUGAGCAUCUCUAUGGAGAAGCAAGAAAUGAAACUUUAUUGAUAAGUGUCAAAAGUAACAUAUUUUAGUCUCAUCCUUAAUAUUUUUUUUAGGUGAUUAUGUGACAUUAAUUGUGAAAUAUAUAUUUCUAAUCUUUUAUAUUCAUGUUUUGAUACUUAAUAAGGCGCUUGAAAAUAAUAUGAGUGAUAAAUAGUGGAAAUUAGAACUUUGAAGUAUUCCAGACGCUACGCACAUGCAUCAAAUUUUCACACAAACAAUUUAUGAUUUUUAAGUUUUUUUAGCAUUCUAACAACAUAUAAAUAAGGAAAUAAGAAGGGAGGAAGACAACCACGAAAUUACCUUCAGAACAUUAUUAAAGCCUAUUAAAUUAAAUUUUCUAACUCCUUUUGAAUUUGUAUUAGCAAAUUCAAAUAUAUUUACUCCAAAAUUAAAUUCGUCGUUUUUCUCUUCUAUUUUAUUUUAAUUUCUAACAUCUUAUUAAGUCUUUACAAUCUUGUUAUUAUUUUUCAAUCCAUAAUUUGUUAUUGAUGGGUGUCGAUUCCACCAAUAUAAACCUACGCCUAAUUUGCAAAUUUAAGCAGUAUAGGAAGUAGAGUUGAUCCCUUAGAGACUGGGUUUACUGCAAAUUAUUGCUCUCUUGACCAGAUUUAUAUCGGGGCAGUUGUCGUGCUCAAGAAGUUCGGGGGGAUAAAAUUUGAAACCUGAAAUAAAUAAAUAAAAUGCGUAAAAAGUAAAAGUUGAAAAUAAAAUAAUAAAAAGCAGUUAAAUAAAUCUGAAGAAAAAUGAAUUAAACUAAGCUCAGCUUUAGGCACGGGUUUUUCUCGUCUUUGAACUGAUCCUCGAAAUUAGAUGAACUCCUCUUUUCCAAUAAACUAGUUAUAGCUACCAAGGACGCCUCGGACACCAACUCUUCCUUGUGUAAAUUAGUUAAGAAACGUCCAAUAACUAACCCUUACCGAUCGAACAACCAACGAAAUGUUCAUGAUUUAGAACUCCGGCAGCUUUGCGUUCUAGAAGAUUCUAGCUCGAACCAAUGCCCUCAACCGCGUGGGACAUUUAAAUCUGGUUACUACUUCCCUUAACGGAACCAAACAGCAAUCCCCACUUGGCACGCCAAUGUGUUCACAGAAAACCGAUUAGACAAUCGAUCCUUUCGAAAUUCCAACUGUACGUCUAACCACACUAACUCAAACGACGUCUUUUUUGACUUAGUGUUGAUUUGACUUUGUGAGUUGACGAAGUCAUACUCUUAAUCCGGAGAAAUAAUAAGUACUGGAAUUUAGGAGUCAAAUUGCUCGGGUUCGUAACUCACGGAUCUUAACGAAGUUAACACCGGCCUAAAGCUGAAAUGGAUACUUAAUAAAAAAAUUGGUAAUUAAAAACUUGAUUAAUGACUUGAUUCAAGACUUGAUUCCUAAAUGAACAAUGUAGCCCCCUAUUUAUACUAGUGGCUUUGCUAAAUUAAGAGCCACUAGCCAUAGAGAAUCAAGGAAAUAAAAUAUUCCAUCAUAUAAAAAUCCCUACAUAAUCUCCCACUAAUUAAGUCAACAAAAAUUUCAGCUAAUUAUAUCUUGGAAAAUUUUUGCUUUGGCCCGCCUUCUUUGCUCUUUUCUUCAAUCUAGCCCAAUUGCUUCUCCUUUUUCUCUUUUGACCCCAAAUUGUACACCUGUGUAAAAUUUAAGUUAAACAUGGAAAAAUUAGUGGUGCACUCUCGUAAAUUAACCAAUUUAAUUACAUAAAAUAUGUAAUUUUAGCAUUUAAUCAAAUCCCUCUACUUAUUUAAUGCUAGUCCUCGAGCAUUAUGCAUGUAUCUACAAAAGGAAAAAUUUCUUCUAAAAUAGGACUUGACUCCCAUGGUUUGCACAAUUCAACAAUUUAAUCCUAGCACAUUAACAUCUCAAAUAACCUAGCCUAAGAAGGAAGUAAAUAUAUUUCAGAAUUUAUUAGAGCUUGAUAGACUUACCUUUCAUUUUAUUAUUUUUGUACUUGGGACAUUUUCGAAUUUUUUGACGCGAGACAUGAUGACAACCCAAGCACCAUGUUCCGGUUACUUGAUUCGGAUGUCUCUAAGCGGGAUAUUUCACCCUACUCGUGAUAGCUUGUUAGCGGAGUGAGUGCAAAGAAAUUGGACAGCCACAUGAACCUUUUUACGUGAGAUGUGAUGACAACCCAAGCACCACGUUCCGGUUACUUAGCCCGAUGUACAACCCCAAUUUUUCACUCUUAACAUUCGUAUCAGAGGAGUAUUAUUAUUCAUUUUUUCUUUUUUUUUUCCUUUUUUUUAAGACAAGAAGACAGAAAAUUGACAUGUGAUAUAAGGUAGGCAGUCAAGCAAACUCAUAAUUCGUAAAAAUUUCUUACCCACUAAGUCUAGGUUAUUGAAAAGUUUAUGUGUAAAGAACUAAAUGGCUAAAUAGGUCAAACCAUAAGUGUUCCAUCCCAAUUUAUCAAAAGAAAAAAUUUUACCUUUCACGGAAAACAUGCAAAAACAGCGACAAUGGAUAAGCAAAAUAGAACCAAUAUAUGUUCCUUUCCCCCUACUUGUUUUACAUUGUCCCUAAUGUAAUUUGAAUUGAAUUAAAUGAUAAAAAGUAAAGGUAAGUAGGGAAAGGAAAAAGAAACUCCCCAUGUAUUUCAACGUCAUGGAGGGUUGCCUCGUAGGUGUGUCCACGGUGUUAAAUAGUGGGUAGGUGGAUUGGGCCUUGGCUGAAAUUAAAAGAAUUUUAUGGGCUGACAUGGGAGAUUUAAUUUUGUCUUGGAAUGUCUCCCAAGUCUUCCCUUAGACAGAACUGAUCCUCGACAUGCAUUUUCAUUUUCCGUUUACCAAAAAUUUUAUUUGCAUAAAGGGAAAAAUUUGGGUUGCCUCCCAACAGCGCUUUGUUUAACGUCGUUAGCUCGCCGAUCUGUUAUUCAAAUUCUGGGCUCCCCAAGAACAAUUGUAAGUGUUGCCAGUCCCCAGCAACAGCGCCAAAACUGAUGGGUGUCGAUUCCACCAAUAUAAUCCUACGCGUAAUUUGCAAAUUUAAGCAGUAUAGGGACUAGGGUCGAUCCCUCAGAGACUGAGUUUACUGCAAAUUGUUGCUCUCUUGACCAGAUUUAUGUCAGGGCAGUUGUCGUGCCCAAGAAGUUCGGGGGGAUAAAAUUUGAAACCUGAAAUAAAUAAAUAAAAUGCGUAAAAAGUAAAAGCUGAAAAUAAAAUAAUAAAAAGCUGUAACACCCCUUACCCGAGACUGUUGCUGGAGUCGAGCACGAGGCAUUACCUGACUUACUUACUAAUUCGGAGCAUAAAAUUUGCUUUUAAAAUUAAUUCAUUCACAAUCAAUCCAUAUGUCCCUAAAAGAACUCUCGAGACCCCAAAAUCAUGUAAUAAAAAUGGUUCGGGUCCAAACCGGGAACAUUUAUAAUUUUCCGAAUACUUAAUCAAAUUAAAACAAUUUAUUUCACUAUUCACAAUAAAACUGUCCACCUGCGCAGCAGUCACUUAUUUAAUUAUAACUCGAGUUACGAAACUCAAAAUUUAGAUUCGUAAAUUUUCCCUGAAACUAGAAUCAUAUAUCUUUUUCACUGUCCAGCCAAUUAGUACAGUUUAUUCUUUAAAUUCUCCCCUGUUUCACUGCUCGACAGCUCUGACCCCUCUUCACUAAAAAUUAAUUAUCUUAUUGUACAGAAUUCAGAUAAUAUUAUCGUUUGUUUCUAUUGAAAAUAAAAUCACUAAGGAAUCUAGGCAUAUAAAUUAUAACUCAUAAUUCCUUCUAUACAAUUUUUAAUGAAUUUUUAAAGUCAGAACAGGGGACUUCAGAAACCAUUCUGACCCUGUCUCACUAAAAUUCAAAUAUCUCAUAAUAUAUAACACUUUUUCUACUCUAUUUCUUUCAUGUGAAAAUAGACUCAUUCAGAUUUAAUUUCCUAUCUCACUCAGGUUCUAAUUCAAUUUAUUCUAUUUUUGGUGAUUUUUCAAAAUCACGUCACUGCUGCUGUCUAAAAACUGUUUCAUUGCAAAUUUUUACUCUCUUUUUUGGUGAUUUUUCAAAAUCUGAAGAAAAAUGAAUUAAACUAAGCUCAGCUUUAGGCACGGGUUUUUCUCGUCUUUGAACCGAUCCUCGAAAUUAGAUGAACUCCUCUUUUCCAAUAAGCUAGUUAUAGCUACCAAGGACUCCUCGGACACCAACUCUUCCUUGUGUAAAUUAGUUAUGGAACGUCCAAUAACUAACACUUACCGGUCGAACAACCAACGAAACGUUCGUGAUUUAGAACUCCGGCAGCUUUGCAUUCUAGAAGAGUCUAGCUCGAACCAAUGCCCUCAACCGCGUGGGACAUUUAAAUCCGGUUACUACUUCCCUUGACGGAACCAAACAGCAAUCCCCACUUGGCACACCAAUGUGUUCACAGAAAACCGAUUAGACAAUCGAUCCUUUCAAAAUUCCAACUAUACGUGUAACCACACUAACUCAAACGACGUUUUUUUUUACUUAGUGUUGAUUUGACUUUGUGAGUUGACGAAGUCAUACUCUUAAUCUGGAGAAAUAAUAAGUACUGGAAUUUAGGAGUCAAAUUGCUCGGGUUCGUAACUCACGGAUCUUGACGAAGUUAACACCGGCCUAAAGCUGAAAUGGAUACUUAAUAAAAAAGAUUGGUAAUUAAAAACUUGAUUAAUGACUUGAUUCAAGACUUGAUUCCUAAAUGAACAAUGUAGCCCCCUAUUUAUACUAGUGGCUUUGCUAAAUUAAGAGCCACUAGCCAUAGAGAAUCAAGGAAAUAAAAUAUCCGAUCAUAUAAAAAUCCCUACAUAAUCUCCCACUAAUUAAGUCAACAAAAAUUUUAGCUAAUUAUAUCUUGGAAAAUUCUGCUUUGGCCUGCCUUCUUUGCUCCUUUCUUUCUUCAAUCUAACCCAAUUGCUUCUCCUUUUUCUCUUUUGACCCCAAAUUGUACACCUGUGUAAAAUUUAAGUUAAACAUGGAAAAAUCAGUGGUGCACUCUCGUAAAUUAACCAAUUUAAUUACAUAAAAUAUGUAAUUUUAGCAUUUAAUUAGUUAUUUAUUAGUUUAGAUUUUUUUCUAUGUUGAAUAUAUUUUAGUAAAUAAUAUUUCAUAUUUAACUCUAAAUUUGUUUUUUUAAUAAUAUACACUAGUUAUUCAAUAUAAAUUAAUGUAUCUAAUAAAAUAUAUUUUAAAAUCUAUAUUUUAAAUAUUUUAAGAUUAGAAACCUAAUUUAAAUUUAUUCAAAAGGACAUUUUAAUUAUUAAGUAAUUUAAUUUUAUAAAUAAUUAUAUAUAUCUAUUUGAACAACAAAUACAUAGUAUAUUUAAAAUAUAAUUAAUUAAUUAAAAAUAUUAUUUUCUAUCAUUGUUUUUAUGUAUCUACUUAAAUUUAAAACUAAAAGGAUGUAUGAUAAUGAAUAAGAAAAAUAAUCAAUUAUUUUAUUGAAAAUAAUUCAACUCUAAUUUAAGAUUAAAUAAAGACAGAUGAAGGCUAUUAUAUUAGAAUUAACUUUUUUUUAGUUUUUAUAUAAUUGGAAUUUACUAAUAUGAAGUAAAAAAAAUGCAUUUUAAUAUUGUAACAUUCAUUUACUUUAUAUCAACAAAAUGUUCAACCUUGAAAACAUUAGUUAUGAUUUUUUUUUUGAUAUAUUUACUCAAAUGAUAAAAAUAUUAAUUGAUGUAAAUAAAUAAAAAAUGAUGCAUUUGCAUUUGGUAAGAUUUAAUUAAACAAUAAAAUGUUUUUUUUAUUCUCAUUGAAUAAUUUACUUAUAAAAAUAAUUGUUUCAAAACAUGAAUAUCAGAUCAUAUCUAAUUACCUACAAUAUGAAAUGAGAAAAUUCAUAAAUUUAUUUACUUCAAUUGAAUAAAUUCAAAAAAAAAAUAAACUAAAUAUUCUUAUAUAAAACAUUUACUUUAUAAUUUUUUAAUAAAUUUCAUAUAAUUAUUUGUAAUUAAAUCUAAUAUAAAUAAAAAGACAAACCCGCAGAGCGGGGUUAUAUCCCUAGUAUAGUAAUAAAAUCAAUGCAAUGGGACCCAACUUUUGGAAGAAGAGAGGAUUUCAAGUUGUCUAUAUAGGCUUUGGUUGAUUGAAAUGCAGGAAGGUAUCAAGUGAGUGGUUUGUUGAUUUAGAGAAGAUGGAGGCUAAAUCGUUGUGGGUACUACUCGCUACACUUGUGUUUAUCAUACAAGGGUGGCCACAGACUGAGGGGUGCUUGGAGCUGGAGAGAAUUGCUCUCUUCCAACUCAAAUCUAAUUUCUUCAAUCACCCUUCAUAUUUGAAGGACUGGGUAGAUGUGAAGGGUUCGAAUUGUUGUCAGUGGGAAAGAAUUGAGUGCAACAUCACCAGUAACCGAGUAAUUGGUCUCUAUCUUUAUUCUGUACGUCAAAGUGAUACAUAUGGGUAUCUCAAUAUCUCUUUAUUUCUUCCAUUUGAAGAAUUAAAGAAUCUUUAUUUGAGUGACAAUAAAAUUACAGGUCUUGUGAAUAACCAAGGUUUAUUGCUUUUCUUCUCUCCAAUGACUGAUUCAUCUUUAAAAUUUGAUUUAAUGUUUUCUAAUUAAUUCGUUUAUUUUACAGAUGAGAAAGUGCAAUCGAUGAUGAAUCUGGAAGUGCUUGAUUUGUCUCGUAAUCUCUUGAAGAACAAUGAUGUGGCAUUUCUUAAGGGGUUAGCUAGUUUAAAGUCCUUGAAUAUGGGAGGAAACCAAUUGGAAGGGUCAAUAGGUAUUACAGGUAUGUAAAAUUUCGUAAAAUAAAAAUAACAAGCUAUACGUAAAUUACAAUUUCAUGAAUCUUUUUAACUAUUAAAAAAUUAUAUCCAAAUAUAUUUCCUUCAUAUAGGUAGUAAAAUAAAGGCAUAAUGAUUUUUUUGACCUUCCAACUUUAUAAAAAAAAAUCAUUUUUAGUCCUUAAUUAAAUUUUUUGUCUAUUUUAGUCUUUACACAUGUUUUUUUUUUCAAAUCACGCCAAAAUAGAUGGUUGGUAAUGUGGCAAACAUGUGGAUUUCCAUGUAACUGACAGAUCAUUUAAUUAAAUUUUUUUAAAAUUUAAGUUUUUUUAAAUUUCUAUUUUUUAAUAGUUUUAAUGAUGUUUAAUUUUUAAAAAUACUUUUUAUAUUUUUUUGAAUUUUUCAGUUUAAAAAAAAAUUAAAUGCUGACGUGUUAUCCACAUGACAAUCCAUGUGUAUGUAAUGUCAACAAAGUUUUAAAAUGUUAAUUUUUUUAUUCACUUUAAGAUAAUUUGACAAAAAAAUACAAGUUUAAGGAUUAAAAACAUGAAAAAUUAAAUGGAAGCAUAAAAUAAUUUUUUUUUAUAAAGUUGAAAGGUUAAAUAAGUUAUUAUGCUUAAAAUAGAAUGUAUUUGAUGACUUUUUUUUAUCAAGGAAAGUAGUUGGAUUUCAUGAACCAAAAUUACUUAAUCUUUGUCAUAUGACUUUGUUUGAGUGACAAAAAAGAUAUUUGAUUGAUUUGAAUAGUAUUGAAUAACUUGACAAAGCUAAAGGAGUUGGAUUUGAGUGGCAAUAAAAUUGAGAGCCUGAAAUCUCCUCACGGUAUGUGUUGAUUUACUUUACUUUCUCAUAUUCUCGCAUAUACAUUCCAAUAUCUCAUUUAAAAUUCUAUUAGUAAUAAAUUUGCUUAUCUAAAUGCUUUGUAGAGGGGCUAGUUAAUUUGACUAAUUUAGAAGAACUUAAUAUGGAUUACAACUACUUCAAAAACAACUCAUUGGCAUAGCUUAGUGGGUUUUCCAAUCUAAAGUUAUUGAGUAUAAGCGAAAACCAGCUUAAAGGAUCAAUAAAUAUUAAAUGUGGAAUUACUUAAUAUAUUUAAUCUUCCUUUAAACAAAGCAAACUAUUUGUUGAAUUAUUGUCUUUAUUAUGUGUGAUUUAAUUUUAAAUUUAAUUUGUCUAUUUUUAUAGAAUUAUUAGAUGCUCUGAGCAAUUUAGAGUCACUGAGAAAAAUAUUUUAAUUUUAAAAAAUGUAUAAAAUUUAUAUAUUAUCUCUUGAAUAAUUUAAAUUAUAAUGAUAUUUUUAAUAUAUUAAAAUUAAUAUAUUAUCACUUUUACUAUUAUAUAAAAAAUUAUAUUAACAUAUAAAAAUCAUUUAUAAAUUAAAAAUUUAUCUCUCUAAUAUAUUAAGUAAUUUAUAAAUUAAAAAAUUUAUAAAAAUUUUGAUGUUGAGAGACUUGGUAAGUGUCCAUAUAUUUUACUUUAUCAAAUUGCUACAUUUAUUAUACUAAUAUCUAAAUGCUUUGUAGAUACAAUUUAAAUCUCAUUAAUUAAUUUUUUAUUAAUAUAUUAUAGUUUUUUAAUUUAAAAAUUCAAUCUAAAUAUUAAAUGUUGUUAUAAGUGUAUAACAAUCACUUAUCUAUAACAUCCAAUAGUGGUUAUACAAAAGUUGACUAUAAGUGAAUUUUUGUGACUAACAAAAAAUGUAUUGAAUUUAUUUGGAUAGUAUUGAAUAAUCUGACAAAGCUAAAGCAGUUGGAUUUGAGUGACAAUAAAAUUUGAGAGCCUCCAAUCAUCUCAUGGUAUGUGUUGAUAUAUUUUACUUUAUCAUAUUCUUACAUAUACAUACCAAUAUCUUAUUUAAUAUUCCAUUAGUAAUAAAUUUGUUUAUCUCAAUGCUUUGUAGAUGGUGAGAGGCCACUUAAUGUAACCAAUUUAGAAGAGCUUAAUUUGGAUUCCAACUCCUUCACAAACAGCUUAUUGGCACAGCUUAGUGGGUUUUCCAAUUUAAAGUCACUAGAUAUAGGGUAUAACCAGCUUAAAGGAUCAAUAAAUAUUAAAGGUGGAAUUACUUAAUAUAUUUAAUCUUCCUUUAAAUGAAAUAAACUACUUGUUGAGUUAUUGCAUUUAUUCUAUGUGAUUUAAUUUUAAAUUUUGUUUGUCAAUUUUUACAGAAUUAUUAGAUGCUUUAGGAAACUUAGAGGAGUUAGACAUGAGCGGGAAUGAGGUGAAGGAAAUUGUGCCCAUAAAGAAUAAAGGUAUAUGUAUCAACUAAAGGAAAUCUUACUAAUUGUUUUCCAUUAGAUAUCAAGUGAACUGAUUCCAACCACUAAUUUGACUCUUAGACAAUGGAAGUUUGGGAAAGCUAAAGGUUGCUACAUUAAACCGUGUGUUCACCGAUGGAACUGCUUCUCUAAUACAACUUCUAGAGACAUUCUCAUCUGUUAAUACAUUAUAUUUGAGUGACAAUUACUUCAACGACACCUUUUCUACUCAAGGUAUAAUAUAUAUGUAUGUGAAUAUAUAGUUUUAUAGUUUGGUUCCAUUUAAAAAUAUUAUUUACUUAACGUCAAUCAUCUAAAUAACUCUUAUAAAUUUGUAAAGAUAAAUUGCAUGUGUCGAGCAAAAUUGAGGAAUUAGUACUAGAUCAAUCAUCUCUCAACAACAACAUUCUUCAAAGUAUUGGUGCAUUGGCUUCUCUUAAAAUUGUCUUUGAGUGGUUGUGGGCUGUCUGGGACAUUACCUACCCAAGGUAAAUUAAUAAUUAUGACAUAAUUAUUUAGACAAGCUCUUGAUUAAUUAUUUUUUAUCCUCCUAGAAUAUUUAAAUAAUUUGUACAAAUUUAUUUUACAGGAUGGUGUGAUUUACGGAAAUUUGAGGUGUUGGAUCUUAGUGAAAAUGCUCUUAAAGGAACCCUCCCUUCAUGUUUGGCUAACUUGUCAUCACUUCAUUAUUUGGAUAUUUCCGGUAAUCAAUUCGUCGGGAAAGGUGCCUCCACUGCCUUAGCCAAUCUCAAUUUGCUUAAAUUCAUUUCUCUUUCACGAAACCUUUUCGAAGUUCCUUCCAUUUUCAUAUCUUUUGCCAACCAUUCACACCUCAAAGUACUCUCCAGCAAUCAAAACAAGUUAGUCGAAGAGCCUACCAUUCCAACAUGGGUCCCAAAGUUCCAACUAAAAGCCUUCCGUUUGUCAAAUUGCACAACAAAGGAACUCCACAUUGAACUUUCGAAAUUCCUCUAUUACCAAAAUAACCUGAGUAUUAUUGAUCUUUCAUAUAAUAAUUUUGAAGGAAAGGUUCCUUUUUGGUUGUUAGAGAACAAUACAAGAAUGGAAGCAUUUUUAAUGACGGGUAACUCUUUUAUGAGUCAUCUCAAUCUUCCAUCUCAUCCGAAUCCAAACAUAUCCUUUGUUGAUAUAUCUGACAACAAAAUACAAGGUCCAAUUCCAACAAACAUUUGUUCAAUCUUUCCACAACUAAAUGGGUUAAACCUAUCAGGCAAUUCCCUUCAAGGUAAUAUUCCUCCUUGUCUGGGUAGUUUGACCACUUGGAAUUUAUUAUUAGAUCUGUCACAUAAUCAGCUAUCUGGAGGAAUACCAGAAAUGUUAGCUCAAAGUGACUCGUUGAGGUUUCUUAGGCUAUCAAAUAAUCAUCUAAGUGGAAAGAUAACCCCAACGAUCUUUUGCUCAACUUCAUUACGAUUGCUAUAUUUAGAUGGCAAUAACUUUGAUGGAAAUAUACCUAGCAUUGUUAUCUCAACUUUCCUUUCAUAUUCCCUUGUUGAUAUGGAUUUAAGUAACCACAAUUUGUCCGGAGAGCUCCCAAGAUGGAUAUGGAAAGUGUCAAAUUUAAAUGCAUUGUCAGUAUCCAACAAUCAGCUCAAGGGUCUCAUUCCGAUGGAAUUGUGCUAUUUGGAUUCCCUUAAAAUUUUAGACCUUUCAGAAAAUAAAUUUUCUGGCCUAAUACCAUCUUGCUUCGAUGCACAAUCUAUCAUGCAUCUCCAUUUGAGCAAAAAUAGAUUAAGUGGCACCUUGACAAAUGCAUUCUUUAAUAGCUCUUCCUUGGUGACUUUAGAUCUUAGUGAAAAUCAGCUGAGUGGAGAAAUUCCAUACCAGAUUGGAACUCUUUCUGCUUUGAGUGUUCUACUUCUAAAAGCCAAUUAUUUUAUUGGAGAAAUUCCCAUUGAGAUAUGUAAAUUGUAUUCUUUAAGUAUCAUUGAUCUUUCUCAAAACAAGCUUUUUGGUCUGAUACCUUCUUGUUUGAGUCGUUUAACUCUUGAUCCAAAUGAUGAAAAAUCUUCAACAAAGACCUAUGUGGAGGGCUCUGGAGGAAUCUUUGAGCCGGGUAAUUACUUUGGAGUGACUGAAUUUGAAUUUUUCACUUUAAGAGGAUACUGAUGAAGUUGGUUCAGCAUGCAGCAAACUCAACAGCAUGCAGGCCAUGAAGACCAAGUCGUGCAGGAGCUGCUGGAACGAGCUGAACUAUUCCUAUUUUGUUCAUCUAGUAAUCUUAAGUUAAUGUAUUGUACUUUAGUUCAUUUAGAACUAUGUUAGGUUUAUGAUUGAUGUAAUUUUGAUGACAAUUGAGCUGUUAAGUCAGCUUUGUUUAAGUGUGUAAGCUUAGUUUUUCAAGUUUCAAUGUAUUAGUGGUAGUAUGUGAUGAUUAGGUAUCAUUAUGCAGAUUUUGACAAGCAAAUUGCUUGGUUUAUGUAUUGGCAUUAUGCCAUUGUUCAAUAUAUGGAUGAAAUCAGCUUUGUUCAUCAAUAUUCUCUCAAAUUUCCUCAGCUUAUUUUCUUCUUUCUUCAACUCGAAAUUGUUUGUUUGCUCAGCAAGAUUCGAGGCUUGCUCGACAAGAUACUUGCUGAGUCUGUUUGAUUCUGCUGUUGCACCAACAAUUGGUAUCUAGAGCUUAUUUCUUAAGGGACCUGUUAUACAAAUCCAUGGCUUCAUCAAGCUUUUCACCAGCUGCACCUCAAGUCUUCAAUGGGGAAGGCUAUCACAUAUGGGUGGUCAAAAUGAAGACCUACCUGCAGGCUUUCGAUCUGUGGGAGGUGGUCAACUCUGAUGUUGAACCAGAGCCACUUAGAGCUAAUCCAACGGUGGCUCAGAUCAGGCAGCAUGCUGAUGAAAGGACCAAGAGGCACAAGGCUAUGUCUUGCAUCCAAAACUCAGUGUCUGAUGUGAUUUUCACAAGGAUUAUGGCCUGUGAAUCACCAAAACAGGCCUGGGACAAGUUGCAGGAAGAGUUUCAAGGGACUGAGAGGACAAGGCAACAACAGUUGUUAAACUUGAGGAGAGAUUUCGAGAAUUUGAAGAUGAAGGAAGAAGAAACUGUCAAGCAAUAUUCUGACAGGAUUAUGGCUGUGGUUAACAGCAUCAGGCUCCUUGGAGAGCAGUUCAAUGAAGCUAGGAUAGUGGAGAAGGUUAUAGCAACUCUGCCUGAGAGGUAUGAGGCAAAAAUCUCAUCUCUCGAGGACUCAAGGGACCUGUCCACCAUCUCCCUGACAGAGUUGAUCAAUGCUCUAUAUGCUCAAGAGCAGAGGAGAGCAAGCAGACUGGAGGAGCACCAAGAAGGUGCCUUUCAGGCAAGAACAAAUACUACCUACAAAGGCAAGAAGGCCUGGAGAGACAAGCCAAAGGAUAAUGCUGCAAGAAGAGAAGGUCAGACUUGCAAGCACUGCAGAAAGGCUAGUCAUUCAGAAGAAAAAUGCUGGUUUAAUCCAGAUGCUGUGUGUCAGCAUUGUAAGAAAAAGGGUCAUGUUGAGAGAGUCUGUAAGAGCAAGGCCAAAUCAAGGCGCAAUCAGUCUCAACAGAUGAAAGCUGAGGCUCGAGUAGCUAAAGAGGACAGUGACCAAGAGGAGCAAGUCUUUACUGUGUCAUGCUCAGCUGCUCAGGAAAGGUCCUCAUCUGGUUGGCUCCUAGACAGUGGAUGCACCAACCACAUGACACCUGAUGCUGCAAUCUUUAAGUCUUUAGACAGAAGCUGCAGAACUAAAGUCAAGAUAGGAAAUGGUCAUUUUAUUCAAGCUGAAGGCAAGGGUGAUGUUCUGAUAUGCACCCUUACAGGUACCAAAGUGAUUUCAAAUAUGCUGUUGGUGCCUGAAAUUGACAGAAACCUGCUCAGCAUAGCUCAGUUGCUGGAAAAAGGUUACUCAGUUGUGUUUAAAGACCACCAAUGCCAAAUCAGUGAUCCAAGUGGAUCCAAACUGAUGGCAGUCCCUAUGGCUGAUAAGAGCUUUGUGGUUGACUGGACAAAAAAGUCAGACAUUGCCUACACAGCCACUUCAGAUGAAUCCAAGCUGUGGCAUCAAAGACUGGGACAUGCCAACUUCAGAUCGAUGGCCCGAAUGAUCAGAGAAGACCUGGCUGAAAACUUCAUCAACUCAGUAGACCAUGAUGAUGUAUGUGAAGUAUGUCAGCUAGGAAAGCAGGCCAGACUCCCAUUUCCCUCGAAUCAAGCCUGAAGAGCCUCUGAAAAACUCCAACUGGUGCAUACUGAUGUGUGUGGACCUAUGAAGACUGAGUCAUUGAGUGGAAACAGGUAUUUCAUACUGUUCAUUGAUGAUUUCUCGAGAUAUUGCUGGAUUUACUUCUUAAAACAGAAAUCAGAGGUGGCCACUGUGUUUUGGAAGUUCAAAACUGCUGCUGAGACUAAAACAGGCUGCAGGGUGAAGACCAUAAGGUCUGAUAAUGGGACUGAGUACACCUCAGCUCAGUUCCAAGCCUUCUGUGAUAAGGCAGGCAUCAAACAUCAACUUACCAACACAUAUACACCUCAGCAGAAUGGGGUAAGUGAAAGGAAGAAUAGGAGUUUGAUGGAUAUGGCCAGGUGCUUGAUGAUUCAGAAGAAUCUGCCUAAAGCACUAUGGGCAGAAGCAGUUAACACUGCAACAUACAUUCAAAAUAGACUUCCAACCAGGGCUUUGGAUCAAAAGACCCCAUUCGAGGCCUGGUUUAGCUUCAAGCCAUCACUGGCUCAUCUGAAGGUCUUUGGAUGCAUCUGUUAUGCACAUGUACCUGCUGUUAAAAGGGACAAAUUGUCUGAAAGGGCUCGACCUGGUGUUUUGGUGGGCUAUAGCACUGUUAAGAAGGGCUAUAGGAUUUUAGAUCCUUCAACAAACAAAGUGUCAGUAAGCAGGGAUGUGGUAUUUGAUGAGAGGUCAUGUUGGAACUGGGAAAGACAUGAACCUGAAGAAGUUUUUGAAGAACUUGCAACAGACCAAGCUGAGCCAGACCAAGAUGUCCCUGAAAUGGAUAUUGAUGAUGAACCAGUCAGAGGAACAAGGCCAUUGGCUGAAAUUUAUGAAAGGGCUCAUGUAGCCAUAGCUGAACCAAGCAACUUUGAAGAGGCUGAGGCUCAGAAAGGGUGGAAGCAGGCAAUGGCUGAGGAGAUCAGCAUGAUUGAGAAGAACCACACCUGGAAAUUGGUUGAAAGGCCAGUCAAAAGGAAAGUGAUUGGGGUGAAAUGGGUGUACAAAGCCAAGCAGAAUGCUGAUGGUACCUUGAACAAGCUGAAAGCAAGGCUAGUUGUCAAGGGGUUCAGUCAGAGGUAUGGCUUGGACUACCUGGAGACCUUUGCACCAGUGGCCAGGCUCGACACCAUCAGACUGCUGAUUGCCUUAGCAGCACAGCUUGAAUGGAAGAUCCAUCAACUUGAUGUGAAAUCAGCUUUUCUGAAUGGUUUCUUAGAUGAAGACAUCUAUGUUGAACAACCACAAGGGUUUGAAAUAGCUGGCAGAGAGCAUAUGGUCUACAAACUGAAGAAGGCCCUAUAUGGAUUAAAGCAGGCUCCAAGGGCCUGGUAUAGCAGAAUUGAUGGCUACUUGACUGAUCUAGGAUUCGAUCGAAGCAAGAGUGAGCCAACACUGUAUGUCAAGAAACAAGGGACACAAAUACAACUCAUUGUGUCCCUGUAUGUUGAUGAUCUUCUGGUGACAGGAGGAGAUCGAGUAGUGCUGGCUGAUUUUAAGACCAAGAUGCAGGAAGUGUUUGAAAUGUCUGAUCUUGGGGAGAUGUCAUACUUUCUUGGAAUGGAGGUGUCUCAAGUACAGAAUGAGAUAUUUCUAAGCCAGAGAAGCUUUGCCACAAAGAUUCUGACCAAGUUCUCCAUGCAAAACAGCAAGGCAACUAAAACACCUGUUGCUGUUGGAGAAAAACUAUCGAGCCAAGGUGAUUUUAAGAAAGUUUCUGAAACAACCUACAGGAGUCUAGUUGGUUGCUUGCUAUACUUGACUGCCACUAGACCAGACAUUAUGUAUGCUGUAGGAUUGCUCUCAAGGUUCUUGCAUUGCUGCAAUGAGAAGCAUUUCCAAGCUGCAAAGAGAGUGCUGAGAUAUGUCAAAGGCACUUUAAACUAUGGUUUGAAGUACAGCAAAGAAGGAAAUCUGAAGCUGGUUGGCUACACUGAUAGUGACUGGGCUGGCUCAAUAGAUGACAUGAAAAGCACCUCAGGGUAUGCUUUUAACCUUGGUUCAGCCAUGUUUUGUUGGAGCUCAAAGAAGCAAAGUCUAGUAGCUCAAUCUACUGCUGAAGCAGAGUAUGUGGCAACAGCAAGUGCUGUCAACCAAGCCAUAUGGCUAAGAAAAAUAUUGGCUGACUUGAAUGUGCAUCAAGAGGAAGCUACUGAGAUCUUCUGUGACAACCAAUCUGCAGUAGCAAUUGCUAAAAAUCCAGUGUUCCAUGGAAGAACAAAACAUUUCAGCAUCAAGUUGCAUGUUGUUCGAGAAAUGGAGCAAGCUCAGGAAGUAAAGCUGAUCUACUGUAAUUCAGAAGAUCAACUUGCUGACAUUUUAACCAAAGCUCUUAGUGUCACAAGGUUUGAAUAUCUAAGAAAGAAGCUAGGUGUUUGCUCCAUGCAAACCAAGGAGGAGUGAUGAAGUUGGUUCAGCAUGCAGCAAACUCAACAGCAUGCAGGCCAUGAAGACCAAGUCGUGCAAGAGCUGCUGGAACGAGCUGAACUAUUCCUAUUUUGCUCAUCUAGUAAUCUUAAGUUAAUGUAUUGUACUUUAGUUCAUUUAGAACUAUGUUAGGUUUAUGAUUGAUGUAAUUUUGAUGACAAUUGAGCUGUUAAGUCAGCUUUGUUUAAGUGUGUAAGCUUAGUUUUUCAAGUUUCAAUGUAUUAGUGGUAGUAGGUGAUGAUUAGGUAUCAUUAUGCAGAUUUUGACAAGCAAAUUGCUUGGUUUAUGUAUUGGCAUUAUGCCAUUGUUCAAUAUAUGAAUGAAAUCAGCUUUGUUCAUCAAUAUUCUCUCAAAUUUCCUCAGCUUAUUUUCUUCUUUCUUCAACUCGAAAUUGUUUGUUUGCUCAGCAAGAUUCGAGGCUUGCUCGACAAGAUACUUGCUGAGUCUGUUUGAUUCUGCUGUUGCACCAACAGAUACGAGUCAUUAGAUGUAGAUUUCGAAAUUGAGAAUCAAAUGGAAGAAAAGGUGGAUUAUACAACAAAAAGAGCAUCUUACACAUACAAGGGAAACAUUCUUAAAUACAUAUCGGGAAUUGAUUUAUCAUGUAAUAGAUUAACAGGUGAAAUUCCCAGAGAGAUUGGAAAUUUGAGUGAAAUCCGAUCACUAAACUUGUCGCACAACAAUUUGACUGGACAUAUACCGUCAACGUUCUCAAAGCUCAAGCAAAUUGAGAGUUUGGACCUGUCUCACAACAACUUAAUUGGAAGAAUCCCUGUUCAAUUGACGAAGUUGUACGCCUUAGCAAUCUUCAAUGUGUCAUACAACAACUUGUCAGGGAGUAUUCCGUCUCCAAAAGCUCAAUUUGGAACCUUCGACGAAAGCAGUUACGUGGCGAAUCCUUUCCUCUGCGGGUCUCCCCUGCAUAAAAAUUGUAGCGACCUUGAUUCACCCCCGACAGCAGCACCAAAGAGCUCAAACGAGGAAGAAGAAAGUGGUUUGAUGGACAAGUAUGUUUUCUGGGUGACCUUUUUUGUUUCUUACGUGAUUGUGUUACUGGUUAUUGUUCUCAUCCUGUAUAUAAAUCCUCAUUGGCGACAAGCAUGGUUUUCUUUUGUUGAACACUGCAUCAAGACCUGCCAAUAUUUUAUUGAGGACAAUCUUUUGUGAUUUUCCAUCUUCAAAAGGAGUGGGUAGCCUUGUACUCUGGUGGUUUACAUUUGUAUGUAAUUUUCAUCACUCUUUUUUUUUUUCAAAGUUUGAUUGGAUUAUCUGCUAGCUUCUAAGUUUUUAGAGCUAGAAUGCAAUAUAUCUGUUAUGUAAAGCAAUAUAUAAUGUAAUACCCAAUUUUAGACUGGGCUCACAAAAAAAAUAAUAAACCUAAAAUAAUAAAAUAAAGUCUAAGUCCAGUACAAAAUUAUAUCAUUUGGCCCGAUCGGAAUUGCCCAUUACUUGAAAAGGUUGAAAGUCCAUCUAUAAGCUUAUGGAAACAUAUUCUUCAAAGAUAUGCAAUCUUAGAUAUGAUAUGCAAUCUUAGAAGAUAUAAUUUUGUAAUAUUAGAGAUUUAAUUUGUAGAUACCCUUUAAUCUUAGCCGUUGAUGUAAUUGAUCUGUACCGUUGGAUUUGGGGAGGCUCAACUAUAAAUAGAGGCCUCUCCCUUCAUUAUAAAAAAAAGGGGGUAAUAAUAAUUCUUAAGAGUAUUCACUCAAAUUUCUCUCUCUCUUGCAUUCUUAUUUUCUUUGGCUUGUUCUUAUUUUGUUGAUUUGUGUAUAAUUUAUUUAUUGAUUUGUAUAUUGUUGAUUUCAAAUCUCUUUUUCCCUUAUUAUUCAUUUUCAAAUUCAUUAUUUUCAAAAUUGUUUACAUUUUAUUUUACCUUAUAUUUUUUAUUUUAUACUCUUUGUUUUAAAUUCAUUGGUCUUUGAUUAUUGAUGUUAUUUGAUCAUCUAUUUGUUAUUUUAGUUUUUUUAUUAUUAAAUUAAUUAUUUUAAUAUUAUUAAACUAUUAUGUGGCAUCAUUAAUCUUGUAUCAUAUAUAGUAUACAUAUACUUGUAUAUAUUUUAUACAUAGGUUUUUUAUUUUUAUUUCCUAACUUUUAUAUACAUAUAUAUAUACUUUUAUGUUUUAGUUUCAAUUUUUUUUUACUUUGAUAAAUAUGUAUAUACGUAUGUUUUCUUAUAUUAUUCUUCAUAAUUUUUUUAUUUUUUUGAUUAAUUAAUUUCAAUAUAUGUAAUUAUUUUUUUUAAAUUAUCCUUUUUUAUAAUCUAUAUAUAUGUAUAUAAUUAUUAUAUAUAUAUAUAUGUACAUGUAUAUAUUUAUUUUUUAAUGAAUAUUUUCAUAUUUAUAUGUAUAUAUUUGUGUUUUUUUUAAAUGAUUAAAUGCUUACUUAUUUUUUAAAACACGCCUAUUUUUUAUUAUUUUAUAUAUAUACGUAUAAUUAUAUAUAUUUUUUAUUUUCAUAAAUACAUUAUAUAUUUUGUUAUAUAAAUUCUAUAACUCUAGAUUUCAUAUGUAAAUCCAUGUGCAUAUUUUUUUAUUCUUCAUAGGUUCAAUGUAUAUAUUAUGCAUUUUCUUUUCUUUAUAUGUUUUUUGCUUAUUUCAUUCAUUUGUUUAUCAAUUUAUCUUUUUAUAUUUUUUAUUUUGCUCAUUUAUUUGAUAUUUUGCAUGUCAUUAUUUAUUUAUUUAUUUAUUUAUUCAUAUUAUUUCUAUAUAAUUGUUGUAUUUACUAUUGAUAUUUGUUAAAGAGGCAUUUAUUCAUACAUUCAAUAUAACAUUACAUCAUCCUUUUACUCAAAUUUAAAAAUGGAACUUUUCAAAAUAGAGAUAAUACUCGUAUUUAGGAUUUUCAAGAAAAUUGAGCCCUAACGUAUUGGGUUCCGAUUUUCUUCGUUAAAUCUAACAAUCGAGAUUUACUCUUUGAUCAAAAAUAAAAUGGCUUGUUGUUGGGAAUUUAAUGUGUUGUAUCCUAACGCAUUGGAUGUGACGUAUUGAUUUCUCGAGACAAAGAUUUUUAAAAAAUAUAUAUAUAUAUUAAUAAAGGAAAUAUUCAAUGUUUGGGAUGUUGAGAAAUUGUGCCCUAACGUAUUGGGCUGCGGUUUCGUCAUAAAUCUUAAACAAUUGAAUAUUCUUUUAAAUUUUAUCACACAAAUCUUUGGACAAACUCAUUUUGAAAAAAUAAAAUAUCGUGCCCUAAUGUAUUGGGUGUGAUAUUUUCUGUUUCAAAAUGAGGGCGUCUUAAUAAAUAAUUUAAUUUAAUUAAGGAUCGUAUUUUUCAACUCUCGACAUUAAGACAUUAAUUAAUCAACUUGGUACCAAUUUUUGGGCGUUACGGGGGUGCUAAUCCUUCCUCGUACGUAACUGACUUCCAAACCCGUUUUUCUAAAACUCGUAGACCAAAGUCGUUUUAGGUGGUCCAAUCACACCUUAAUAAAAGAUUGGUGGCGACUCCAAUUUUCAUCGACAACUAAUUUUUAUUUUUUUUUAAAUAAAAAAGGUUUCGACAGAUAAAGUUAUGCAUUUUUAAUUAAAACAUUUAAUAAUGUUUUAUAAUUUUUAGUGUACUGAUAAUAUGAUGUUAAAUUCAACAUAUUGUAGCAUAUAUAUAUUAAUAUAACCUAUAUUCAUCUAUACAAAUUUUUUAGUCAACCAAACCAUUGAUGUGGUGGCAAAAACUUCACAUUGUUUUCAAGUCUUCAUUGACAUUAGGUUGAGGUUUCAAACCCUAGCGUAAAAGAGGGGGGAGAGGGGUUGUCUGAACCAAAACUUCAUUUCAACAGAUAUCCUUUACCCACUAAAUCAUAUGCUCAACUGAAACUUUUAUAUAUAUAUAUAUAUCAAACAUGAAUGAUAUAAAUAGUCUUUAAAUUUUUAAAUGAUAUAAAUAUAUAUAUAUUUUUAAAAUGAACAAAAUUAUAAUAAUUAAUAUGUAGUUUCACUAUUUUAUUUAAACUCAAAAUAAUAAUAUUUAAAAAUUGAGUUUACGUGAUAUUUAUUUACUUUAAAAUUAAUAAAAUGUAAAUAUAAACUUUAUUUUAUUUUAUUUAUAUUCAAAUUUAAUAAAUGUUUAUCUAAUUUAUUUAAAUUUAAAUAAAUUAAAUAAAUGAGCACACAAUUAUUUUAGAGAAAGUGACUCUUUUUUAAUGAUGAGAUGUUAGAAGAUUUACCAUAUGUGUAAUGUGGAGACAAUAACCCUAAUAUGUAACUUUUGCACAAUAACCUUAAUUUAUAAUUAGUGAAUCAUCAAUUAAAAAUUAAUUACUUGAGUAUAUACACUUGUCCAACCAUAUUUUAUUUAAUAAGUGUCAUGGAUCAUGGGUCAAACAAGUGUCACAAUAAUCAGAGUAAUACCUGCAAAAAUUGAAUCCAAAUAAACAUAUCCAUAAAUUGUUAAUGAAACUUUGUUCGCAGCGAGAACGUUAGUUAAGGUUGGACGAAUUUAUAUGUUUUUUGUCUUUUUGUUAAAAUAAGUAUAAAACAUAUAAAAAAAUACAUUAUGAAUGUUCAUUUUUUUAAUAGUUCAAAAAAAUAUAUUAUAUAUAAUAUAUAUUACUGUUUUGCCUUGCUCCUCAAAGAAAAUGGAAACAAUCGUAAGCUUAUGGCAUCAUUAGAAACACCAUUAAUCUUGAUGUGUCGCAAAUCUCUAGAAAGUUAGCCAAAUGAGCAUUCAGAUCUUUAUCUUGCAACCUAUCAAACUGAAUAUAUUGUUGUACCAUCUGAAUUGUGUUCGACUUUAGCUCAAAAUUGUUUAUAGCAAUAGUCAAUCUGACAAUACUCGAUUCAACCCCAAUCAGAAUAGACUUAGCAUAAUCAUACAUAGUCUGAAGAGUAGGAGCUGCAGGAAGCUAUUGAUUAUUUUUAUGAUCAUCCAUCUCCACAGUAAUAUCCUUUUCCUCUCGAUCAUUUACUAAAAUCUAUUUAUCUUGCCUUUUUCUUUUCUAACCUCUCUAAGAUUUCUGCGAGCAGUCUUUUCAACUUCACUAUAAAAAAUUAAUGGUUCUGACGAGUUUCCUCUAGUCCUAAACCAACAUAACCUAUCAUAAUCAAACAAACGAAAAAUUAGAAUGUAAAAAUUACAUUAAAAACAAAAAUAUCAAAAUAAAAAUAAAAAUAAAAAUAGCUAAAUUAAUAGAAAUAAACUUUUCCUAAUAUUUUAGUCCCCCGGCAAUGGCGCUAAAAACAUGAUGCAGUCCUAAACCAACUAAAAAUCUGACUAAGGCAAGUGUACCUAUCAAUUAAUUGUAUAGUUACGAUGAACAAAUAAACCGUUCCCACGAAGAGUAAAAGUACUAGUAAUUACUGUCUUUCUAUUAUUUAAUCGAUAAAUUCGAGUAAUUGAUUAAAACUAAAAUUAUUUAAAUUAAUUAACUAUGAAUGUGACAAAUAAUAAAUCAGGAAAAUAACUGAAUAAUAACCAAGAAGCAAAACAAUACCUAGGAAAGAAUUCACCUAGAUUUGAUCUGUCAUUAUCAAUCUAAAUUCCACAAUUUCUUUACUUAGGAUCUUGAUUCAUAGAAAUCCCUAAAUCAUGCUAAUAUCUCUCUUCAAGAAUAAGAGCAACUAACUUUAGGUUGAUUAAUUGAAAUUUCUUUCUAAUUAAAACCCCUAUUAUCGUAUUAAAUCGCUUUAUGGAUUCCCCCAUUACAUUUGACUCUAAUCCGAUAGAUUUAUGUCAUCCUAUUUCUAAGAUUGCAUGCAACUCCACUCAAUUACGCUAGAUCUAUUCUUAAACAAGGUCUAUUUCUCCUCUGAUUUAAGCACAACAAACAUGGAUCAACAAUCUAGAAAUAUUAAACCAAGAGUAAAACACACAUAAUUGAGAGCAAGAUCUAAGUAUUUAUUGUGUAAAAAUAGAAAUCAAAUAAUAUAAUUCAUCCUAAGGUUCAUCUCUCUAGGUAUUUGGAAAAUUAGUUCAUGCUUGCAAAUAAAAACAUCCCAAAGACAAUAUUACCGAAAGAAAUAAAGAAGCUCAUGAUAAUCUCCUAAGAAAUCAACUGCUUGUCUUCAAUCUUGACUAAAAUUUGCUUCAGAAUCGGCUUCAAUGGUGUUUUUCGAGUUGUUUUAUUGAGUAUUCUAUGACGGCUCUCUCCCCUCUUCUUAUAUUUGUCAUAUAUAGGUCUUAGAAUACCCGAAAAACCUAAACAAAAGUGUUUUUCUGUAGGUUUGGAAUGUGACUCGUGAUUUCCACGCAGUCUCCCACAUGACCGUGUAGAAGCCCAUGUGGCCACACGGUCGUGUGUCCAGCCCGUGUGGCUCCUGAAACUUAUUCCAAUUUUCGCUUAUUUUUCGCUCCUUUUGCUCUCAAAUGCUACUAAGUAUAGAAACAUGAAUUUAAAGGAUUAGGAGCAUAAAAUUCAUCAUUUUAAAUCGAAUAAUAAUCCAAAAAUACAUUAAGAAUGAGGCUAAAACAUGUUACUUUUGGCAUUUAUUAAUUUUGCCAACACCCAAAAUAGUUGCUUAAAGGUACAAAUUUAAACAACCCAAAAAAAGGGUCAGUGUAAUCCAAAAACCGUUGUGUUGGGCUUUUCAUAUGACAACACUUUUAUAUAGUUGGGAAAUGUAUAACAAAAGUUGGCAUAGUGUUGGAUAAAACUGAUUCUUAUUUAAACGUUGCUUUAGGCAUGCAUGUCCCAACCUUUAUACAAAGAGUUGGCCAAAGCGUAUGUCGACCAGACUAUCCUAACACUUAGGAAAGUGUCAGCUUAGUGUUGGACAAACUCGAAUCUUAUUUAAGUGUUGCCUUAGGAAUGCAUAUCUCAAACCUUAUACAAAGAUUUGGCCAAAGCGUAUGCCGGCAAGUCUAUUUAUUAGCUCAAUAGAUCAAAUAGAAAUUGCUAAGAGGGGUGAAGUAGCAUUUAAAAAAAUGUGAAAGCUAGAAAGAAAAUUGAAAGAUGAACACAAUAAUUUAGAAUGGUUUAGCCUCAAUUGCCUACUCCACUACCUUAACUUUCCACAACUAAGGAUUUUUCCCAAAUUCGCUAAAUUGAUAACCUUUAAGGAUAAGGUUUAACCUUACAACUCUCUUAAAAUUUUUGUAACACCCCAAACCCAAUCUAGACGUUAUGGCCGAAUCUAGCUUUGUCACAUGGAAUGGGAUUUGAAACAUCUUUGUUUCGAUGAAAACAUUUUAUGUUAUUAUCUUUAGUAAACCUUUGUUAGAACUUAGGAAGUCGUCUUUAUUCAUUUAAAACAUUUGUUUUGAAACAUACCUCGUUGCGGAAGCUUUAAUAAAAUAGUCUAAGUGAUCAUGCGUUUAGAAAAUACUUUUAACUUUUUAAAAACUGAAUUUCCUAUGAACAGUAGGUAUAAAUCCAUAAAGUAAAAUAAAUAAAUAAAAACCAAAAUUUAAAACCAAAGUCCCAGAGGUUUCUUAAAUUACAACCCAAAUAAUCAAUAAUAAUCAAAUCAUAAAUCGUAAAUUGAAAACCAUGAAGUCCAAAUAUUUCUGUGGUCACCGCUAAGUCCUCCGUCGCACCGAUCCGUCUAGGUCUGGGGAUUACCUGUACACAUUAAACAAAAAAAACGGAGUUUACGUAAACUCAUGUGUAAUCUCGUAGAAACAAACAAACAAUCAGUAUUCACAGUGCAUAGUUGAACAGUCUUGGGCCUUAGCCUAUCUCAGUACAGUGUUAAAAAUGCAGUAGGUCUUUAGCCCAUCACAGUAUCAGUAGCAAUAACAAUUAUGCAGUAGCAAAAUCCUACCCAACCAGCCUCUACAUACCAUCUCCAUCCAACCCUACACUCCAUGUGGGGAUAUAAUCAACCCACCCAUCCCUUUUUAAUAUAACCCAUGCUAACUAAAUAUUCAUUUAUGUUUUUAGUAUUUACUUAUAUGUUCAUUCAAAGCUGUCUACUUGAGUCAUUGUCACUAAAUUAUUUAUAUAUUUAGCUACAGAAUUCCAAAUUAAGAUCCACUUGAUGUUUUCAAAACUAGACUCAAAUACCUUUCUACCAUAAAAUUUUCAGAAUUUAUAGCCUAUCAAAUAACUACAGUAAAAUCUUCAAAAUUAUCCCUAUUCUAUUGUUUGACAGCUUCAACCUUUCCUUACUAAAAAUUAUUUAUCUCUGAAUACGAAAUUUGGAUGAUGUUUCCAUUUGUUUCUCUUGAAAGUAGACUCAUUAAGGAUUUAAAUGUAUAAAUUUAAGCCCCUAAUUAAUUUUUUACAAUUUUUGAUGAUUUUCCAAAUUUAAAAUAGGAGAACCCUAAAUCAUUCUGACCUUGUCUCACAAAAUUCAUUAUAUCUCCUAAUUUAAAAUUCCAUUGCUUACAUUGUUUCUUCCGUGAAAAACUAGACUUAAUAAAAUUUCAUAUUUUAUUCAACCUUUAACUCAAUUUCCACUAGUUUUGAUGAUUUUUCAAAGUUAGACUACUGCUGCUGUCUAAAACUAUUUUAGUGAAAAAUGUUGAUUUCCAAGUUUAUAAUACCCUUAUUUCCUUUCUCUACAAUUUUUUGCAUCAUUUUCUCUUAUUUCUCGACAGUAAGCAAUUUUGGCUUUUCACUGAAUCCCAUUUUCUGCAUUUUGGGUACACAUCUAGUUUCGUUUGAUGCUAAAACAGUCCCCAAGCACUAUAAAGCCUAUAAUUGAACAAAUAACACUAAUUUAAUCUUACAUAGUGAUCCCAAAUUGAACUCGUAUCGAGGUUUUAAUCCAUAAGCGACUAAACCUUACCUUCAACUGAUGAACAAUAAUUCCUACACAAACUAAGACUCCGAUUGGUGAUUACGACCCUUGAAUCCUCCCUUAAUUGGCACAAACAAAACACUUUAGAAGAAAGUUAAAAAACAAAGACAAAUCACUUAUCUAAAACUUACCAAACGAUCAUAGACAAACGUGGAACGACACGAGGCAGAGUGGGAAAAGAAAAAUCAAGAAGAUGAAGGGUGAAAGAGAGCAGAAAUUCGACAGCAAUGAAGAGAAAAACGGCAAGAGGGUGGAGGGGUUUGGGGAAAGUAAAAAAAAAAAGAAAAAAAAAUGAAAAAAAUAUUUGAUAAUCACCCCAAUCCCUUAUUUCUCUCCAUCAAACUCCCCAAUAAAUCAACUACUCAGAUUUUUAGUCAAUCUCAAACUCUCCUAGACAUACGAGCAAAACUAAUACCCACGCCAAGAUUCGAACAUAGGACCUCCUUCACACCAACACUCCACUUAUCCACUAGACCAGCAAGCCAAUUCUAUUAAUUAUUUGCCAACUUUUACUUAAAAGCCUACUGACCAAAUAUAGAGCUUAUUCAUAAAAAGGCCAAAAUUUGCCCAAGUCCUGACUUGAACUUGUGACCUCCUAAACACACCCAGAACACAUAAUCACUAAAGCAGACAGAUAUUUUGUGUCACACAUUCACAAUACCCAAAAUUAAAAUUUUGGGGUGUUACAAUUUCUAUCUCAAAUCUUAAGACACAAACCUUCGCAAGGAAAUACAAAUAAGCAAAUAAAGAAAUAAUCCUUACAAAAUCAAAGUGUUUGUAAAUUAAGCUCAAAUAAAAUGAAAUACACUUGAGCAAAAGAAUAGGAGUAAAGCUCACAAGUGUAUGAAAAAGAAAUAUGGAAAUAGUAAACUCAAAGGUUGUUUGAUUGAUGAUUUUUUUGCUUGAAAGUGAUUUCUUGUUGUUGUAGAAACUUAAGAAGUUAGUAUUUAUACCCCCUAAUUGAUUUCCAACCAUUGAGGUUGUUGGUGACAUGAAUAAAACCAUUGGGAUGUAAAAAUCAGAGCAUUUAAUUCACCUGCAACAUCGAGUCUUGAUACUAUAUAAAAGGGUUUCGAUAAUUUUUGCUAUAAAUGCUAAAUUCAAUGAUCGUUGGAGUUUUGUUAUCGAUACCAAAAAAAAAGUUUAUCGAUACUUGUAAAAAGGUAUUGAUACUGUAUCGAUACUUUGUAAGUUUUGUAAGAAACAAAAUGCUAUUUUAGUAUCGUUUUUAAGAAGGGGUAUUGUAAUAGCCCAAUUUCAAUGAAAUCAGAACAGUGGUUUCGAGACCACAAAUUUGAGAUUAGAAGAAAAUUUAUUUUAAUAUUAUCGUAUGUCUGUAUUAUGAUAGAAAUAUUACAUGAAAAAUUUGAUAAGAAAAUUUUAUCGAUUGAGUGCUUAAUUGUGAAAAGGACUCAUAAAAUGCACAAGUUGAAUUCUAGCAGCUAAAAGGAUUAAAUAGCUAUGGGGUUCAAAAUGUAAGGUCCUUAUAUGGUAAUUAGACCAUAAAUUAAAAGUUAGUAGAUAUUUUGAGAUGACUCAUCCAUAGAAAUUUUAGAAAAAGGUAAGGACUAAAUUGGAAAUUAAAUUAAUUUAAUUAAUUAAAAGAUGAUAAAAGAAAUAUCAUCUUAUUUUAUGUCAUCUUCUUCCUCAAAAUGCAUGGAAACCCUAAGAGAGACAAAGGAAACUAACCAAGCUUGAUUAGGUAUGUUUUCUUGUAACACCCCCACCCCUUAUUCGUCGCCGGAACAGGGUUACAGGGCAUUACUGGACAUUUCAAAUCAAAUACGAGUAAUCACAUAUUUGUUUAACAUAAACAUCACAAAUUAAUCAAAAUGUCCUUUUUAUGAGCCCUCGAGGCCCAAAACAUGAAUUAGAAACAAAUCGGGAGUCAGAGAAUUUUUUGUGAAAUUUCAAAAUUUUUCCUAAGUGUAGGGCUCACACGUCUGUGCAGUUUAGAGAUACGCCCGUAUGAUCCUAAACACGCCCGUGCUUCAGGUCGUGUCCUACCUCGUGUAAUUCUCUGACUUAGAUCACACGGCCAGCCACACGCCCAUGUACAUAGUCCGUGUGCUUAACACGGCUGAGACACACGCCCGUGUCUCUGUGAUGCGGAAACCCAGAUCUAAACACAAGAAGAGAAACACAAAUUAGAAAUAAAAACGAGAAUAAGUAAAAAUUAGUUAAAUAAUAAUAAAAGAAAACAAAUAAAAGAAAAGAUUAAGGAUAGAUUUGCCCUAUAGAACCCUUGGUUAACUUGUAACCAAAAACUUCAAUGAUUGAGCGGCUCCCUACGAAACCCCUAGAAGAAGAACCUCUAGAAACACCGAUGAACGGGAAAGAAAUUUGAAUAUUUGUAACUCUGAAAUACCCUCGAAAGUAACAAACUCCAAACUAAAUAGCAAGAGAAGAAUCACUCUACUCUCAAAAAUUUGCCUCACACAAAUUUGGAAGAAAACAAAAUACUCUUCUUUUUUUAUUAAUCCCCUCAAUGUGUAGAAAGCAAGCCUAUUUAUAGGCAAAUUACAAGAGUAAUUGAAUCCUAAUUAAAACUCUUUCAAGAGUAAUUGAAUCCUAAAAACUCUUUAAAGAGUAAUUGAAUCCUAAUAAAACUCUUUAAAAUUAUCUAAGAAAAUAAAUAAAUAAUAAUCUAACUAAUAAAAUUACUUAACUCAUAAGUGAUGUGUUCCAACCAAUGAGAAUUAAGUAAAUAAUAAUAAUAAUAAGAUACAUAAAAGAUUAAUCCACCAAUUUAUGGGCUUUCACUAUUCCAAGAUUGGUCCAGUGAAUUGCAUUCCCGUAUUUGUCAACGUCACGAACAUGAUGAAUUAAAUUUGUAGUAACAAAGUCUUGGACAAAAGCAUUCAUCUUUGAUUUUAAUUGUCGUGCCUUGCUUCGAGUGAUUGGACCACUAGGAAAAACAACCCUUUGAGUGUCACCUCCUUAACUCGUAUCAUUCUCCCCUUCUUCAAGAAGAUUCGUCCUCGAAUCUGAACCUAUAUCAAAUUCAAAAGGAGAAAGAUCAGAAACAUUGAAAGUAGCACUAACAUUAUACUCACCUGGAAGAUCAAUGCGAUAAACAUUGUCAUUUAUUUUCUCGAGUACUUGGAAUGGUCCAUCUCCUCGUGCAUCAAGUUUAUUCUUUCUCUUAGAAGGAAAUCGUUCCUUCCUCAUAUGCACCCAUACUCAAUCUCCAGGUUCAAAUAAGACUUGCUUUCGCCCUUUAUUAGCUCGAUGUGCAUUGCACUCAUUCUUUUUCUCAAUGGCUUUACGAGCCUUCUCAUGAAUCUCUUUCACUAAAUCAGCUUUCCUUUCACCAUCUAAAUUAGCAAUCUCAUUCAAAGGUAAAGGAAGCAAAUCUAAAACAGUAAGUGGAUUAAAGCCAUAUACAAUCUCAAAAGGAGUAAAACCUGUGGAAGAAUGAACAGAACGAUUAUAAGCAAACUCAACAUAGGGUAUCCAUUCUUCCCAAGAUUUAACAUUCUUACCUAUUAUGGCUCUAAGCAAAGAUCCCAAAACUCGAUUUACCACCUCAGUUUGACCAUCAGUUUGAGGGUGGCAUGUAGUAGAGUAAAGUAGUUUAGUACCUAACUUACCCCAUAACACCUUCCAAAAGUGACUAAGAAAUUUUGCAUCUCUAUCGGAAACGAUAGUCCUUGGGAUUCCAUGUAAUCUCACAACUUCACGGAAAAAUAGAUCGGCAACAUGGGUUACAUCAUCAGUCUUAUGGCAUGGAAUGAAAUGAGCCAUUUUAGAAAAUUGAUCCACAACCACAAAGAUGCUAUCUCGACCACGCUUUGUCCUUGGUAAAACUAUUACAAAAUCCAUUGAAAUGUCAGUCCAAGGUGAACUAGGAACAGGAAGAGGAGUAUAUAGACCAUGAGGCAUCACAGUGGAUUUAGCUUGUUUACAAGUAAUGCAAGUAGAGCAAAUUUUCUCAACAAGUUUUUGCAUGUUAGGCCAAUAAAAAUGCUCAUGUAAAACAUCAUAAGUCUUAGUGACUCCAAAAUGACCCACAAGACCACCACUAUGAGCCUCUCGAACCAACAAUUCUCGCAUUGAACACUUUGGUAAGCAUAGUCUAUUAUUUCAAAAAAGAUAGCCAUCAUGCUUAUAAAAUUUGUGAAAUGCACCAUGUUCACAUGCGUCAUAAAUGCUUGCAAAAUCAGAAUCAGUGGCAUAUAAAUCUUUGAGAUACUCAAAACCUAAUAACUUAGUAUGCAAAGUACUAAGUAAAGUGUACCUCCUUGAUAGAGCAUCAGCCACAAUAUUAUCUUUACCUUUCUUAUACCUUAUAACAUAAGGAAAAGAUUCAAUGAAUUCAACCCACCUCGCAUGUCGCUUGUUCAACUUACCUUGUCCCUUUAAGUGCUUAAGUGAUUCAUGGUCAGUGUGAAUCACAAACUCCUUUGGUAAAAGGUAAUGUUGCCAAACUUCUAAUGCCCUUACCAAGGCAUACAACUCUUUAUCAUAGGUCGAAUAGUUCAAAUGUGCUCCACCAAGUUUCUCACUAAAGUAGGCUAGUGGUUUACUAUCUUGCAUGAGGACAACACCUAUACCUACACCAGAAGCAUCACAUUCAAUCUCAAAGGUCUUUUCAAAAUUAGGUAAAACAAGAAUAGGAGCAUUACACAAUUUAUCUUUAAGUUCAUUAAAUGCUAAUUCUUGCUUAUCUGUCCAAUGAAAAGAUACAUUCUUUUUAAUAAGUGCAGUCAAAGGCGAAGCAAUUGCGGAAAAGUUACGAACAAACCUGCGGUAGAAACCAGCUAACCCAAGGAAAGACCUUACCUCAGAAACAGUUUUAGGGAUAGGCCAUUCUUUAAUUGCCUUUACCUUCUCCUCAUCCACAUGGAUUCUUGUAGAACUUAUCACAAAACCCAAAAAAACAAGCUUAUCCAUACAAAAGGUGCAUUUUUCAAGAUUAGCAAAGAGUCGUUCAUGCCUUAACACAUCCAAUACUAAUUUAAUAUGCCCAACAUGAUCAUUCAAAGUUUUGCUAUAAAUCAAUAUGUCAUCAAAAUACACAACGAUAAAUUUUCCUAAAAAAGGUCUAAGUAUGUGGUUUAUUAAUCUCAUGAAUGUGCUAGGAGCAUUAGUUAAGCCAAAUGGCAUGACUAACCACUCAUACAGGCCAUACUUAGUCUUAAAAGCAGUUUUCCAUUCAUCACCUUGUUUCAUUCUUAUUUGAUGGUAACCACUUUUUAAGUCAAUUUUAGAGAAAAUGCAUGCACCAUUAAGCUCAUCCAACAUAUCAUCUAAUCGAGGAAUUGGAUAUCGAUACUUUAUCGUAAUCUUGUUGACAGCACGACAAUCAACACACAUUCUCCAAGAACCAUCUUUUCUUGGGACGAGAAGUAUAGGGACCGCACAAGGGCUUAGACUCUCAUGAAUCAACCCUUUCUCUAAGAGAUCUUCAAAUUGCCUUUGCAACUCUUUAGUUUCUUCAGGAUUGCUUCGAUAGACUGGUCUAUUCGGAAUACUCGAACCAGGCACAAAGUCAAUUUGAUGUUCAAUCCCUCGUAAAGGAGGUAAUCCUUUAGGCAUUUCAGAAGGAAAUACAUCCUCAAAAUCCUGCAAAAGAUCAACAAAACAACUAGGCAAAUGUGUAUUAGGGUUAGUCAAAACAAAGUUUUCCCUAAACCUAAUAAUUACAAAUGUUUGUUUUGUACAAAGAGCAAAUUUGAUAUCUCGAAACCUAGCGAAUAAACUCACUUUCUCAUCUCAUGACUUGUGUGUGCAAUCACUCACCAAUGUUGGGCCUUUAAGUUGGCUUUUAACACUAAGGGCCUCUUUACUCUCAGCAUUUUUCAAUGAUUUUACCUCACUUCCCUUACCCAUCUCACUAGCAAGUUUGAGUUGAUCAUUAUAGACUUCUUGAGGAGGAAGUGGAGCCAAAGUAAACUUCUUUCCAAGGAACACAAAGGUAUAUUGGUUAAGGAAACCAUCAUGAUUUACUCGUCGAUCAAACUGCCAUGGCCGUCCAAGUAAUAUGUGCCCAGCUUGCAUUGGAACAACAUCACACAAAACUUUAUCAGAGUAUCUACCAAUGGAAAAUGAAACUAAGCAUUGUUUAGAUACUUUUACCUCCCCACUAUUAUUCAGCCAUUGCAAGCGGUAUGGCCUUGGAUGCUUCACACAAGGUAGGCCAAGUUUCUCAACAAGGGAAGAACUUACCACAUUGGUGCAACUUCCACUAUCGAUGAUCAAUGAACUAGGUUGUCCACCAAUCAAACAUCUUGUGUGGAAAAUGUUAUCUCUUUGUUCGCGCGCUUCCUCUUUAAACUGGACAUUUAAAGCCCUCCGAGCAACAAGUGCUUUCUCACCAUACUCUAAAUAUUCUUCAUACUCAUCAUGAGCAUGCACAUCAUCAACAUCUUCUAAAGGAGGCAUCUCAUCUUCGUUAUCAGACUCAAAAUCAACCUCGCCAUCUUCUCGAAUCACCAAUGACUUUUUAUUAGGGCAUUCUCGAGCAUAGUGACCCCUUCCUUGGCAUUUGAAGCAGGUAAUAUCUUUUUGCUGCUUAAUGGCACUAGGAGAAGUAGAAGAAGAAGAUGGAGCUUGAUUAGUAGAAGUAGAACUUUUAAAUGAAUUAGGCAUACCUCUAUCUUUGGAGUAAGUUCUAGGCUCAUUUGGCUUGAACCGUGCAUCUCUCCCAUUCCACAAUCUAUCAUCUUGUUUUUGCCAAUUUCCUCUCCAAGUAGGAUUAAAAACUGAACUAGAACCCCUCGGUGUCCCUUUCUUUCGUCAUUGCUUUUCAAUGGUGAGUGCGGUUUGAAGCAUCUCUUCAACAUCCAUGUAGUGUUGUAACUCAAGUCGAUUUGCAAUCUCAGGCUUUAGGCCGGCAAGGAAUCUAGCCAUAGUCACCUCAGCCUCUUCAACAAGAUUGGCUCUAAUCUGAAUAGUCUCCAUCUCUUUGUAGUAGUCAUCCACAGAUCUAUCUCCUUGAACAAGAUGUUGGAGUCUUUGAUGGAGUUCUCGAUAAUAGUAUGGUGGAACAAACCGUUUUCGUAAGAUGCGCUUCAUUUCAACCCAAGUAGUAACAGGUUGCUCUCUAUAAAGAAUUCUGCUUUUACAUAAUUGAUUCCACCAUGUUAGUGCAUAAUUAAUGAACUCAGCGACAGCGUAUGUUACCUUUUUUCUCAUCAGAGUAAUUGUAACAAGCAAAGACUGCUUCCAUCUUUUCCUCUCAAUCAAGGUAAGCAUCAGGAUCAUUCUUCCCUGAAAAAGAAGGAAAUUUUGGUUUGGGGGUGUCAUUGUUUCGCUCCAACCUUUCUCUAGGUACAUACUCGGACUCAAAGUCAUCAUCAAAAACAUGGUCCUCCCUUCGUUUAAAAGUUUGAUCUCGUGAAUUUGAUCGGCUUAUAAAGGCUUCGUUCAACUUCUUGUAAUUAUCGGCAAUGUAUCUCUCUUGAGUUGUAAGUUUUGUAUCAAGAUACUCCCUUUGCUCUUGUAACAUCUGGGUCAUGCGAUGUUCGACUUGAGUUUGCAACUUUUUCAUCUCUUUUUGUAACAACUCGACCAAAGGAUCAUUCUCUCUUUUUAGCUCAUCCUCUUCAUUUUUACUAGUUUGGGAUCUAGUGAGCGGAAUGGUAUCUGUGAAAGAUCAAACAAACAGGAACAAGAAAAAAAAUAAUAAUAACCUCACUCGUUAGCUCUCAAAAGAAUAACUCUCUGAAUGAUUCAAAACCUGUAAAUAUGUUUGGAGAGGGUUACUAAUCAAGAUCAAAUAACGGAGGUGCAAACUUCAAAGAAACAAUGAAGACCCUAAUUGCUCUAAGAGGCCAAUAAACUUGACAAGGCAAUUUGUAAUGGAGGCUACACGGAUGAAGAAAUUUGUGAGUGCCUUUAAUAUCUGCUAACACAAGAAGAAACAAAGUGUUAGAAAGCGUAAGAGAAACAAAAAAAACGUAGACCUACAACGAUCCCUAACUCUAGAGUCAAAGAAAAGCUUUAAUAAGAAGAAAACUUAAGAAAAACUCUACCCAAAUUUUUAAAAAAAAAAUCGAAAACGUUUGGUGUCUUAAGAUUUUCAAAAAUUGAAGCUUUAAUUAUACUUGAGUCAAGAAAAGAAGAAGGAAAAGAAAUUCAAUUUUGGGAAAAAUAAAAAUAAUAACAAUAAUAGGAAAAGAAGAAACUUACGUAUGAAAGGUAGUCAACUUUUUUUUUGCUCUUUUUACUUUUUUUGUGCUGUUUUUUUUUUUAAAGAAUAAGAGGAGAAUAAACACAAACUUCAAAAAAAAAAGAAUUGACGAAACUGAUGAAAAGUGUUUUUGGUAUUUUGACUCGUUUCGGAUUUGAUUUUAGCUUAAAAAAUAACACCGAAUAACCUGAAACUGAUACCAACUGAUGCGGAAACUCGGAUCUAGACACAAGAAGAGAAACACAAAUUAGAAGUAAAAACGAGAAUAAGUAAAAAUUAGUUAAAUAAUAAUAAAAGAAAACAAAUAAAAGAAAAGAUUAAUGAUAGAUUUACCCUAUGGAACCCUUGGUUAACUUGUAACCAAAAACUCCAAUGAUUGAGCAGCUCCCUACAAAACCCCUAGAAGAAGAACCUCUAGAAACAGCGAUGAACGGGAAAGAAAUUUGAAUAUUUGUAACUCUGAAAUACCCUCGAAAGUAACAAACUCCAAACUAAAUAGCAAGAGAAGAAUCACUCUACUCUCAAAAAUUUGCCUCACACAAAUUUGGAAGAAAAAUACUCUUCUUUUUUUAUUAAUCCCCUCAAUGUGUAGAAAGCAAGCCUAUUUAUAGGCAAAUUACAAGAGUAAUUGAAUCCUAAUUAAAACUCUUUCAAGAGUAAUUGAAUCCUAAAAACUCUUUAAAGAGUAAUUGAAUCCUAAUAAAACUCUUUAAAAUUAUCUAAGAAAAUAAAUAAAUAAUAACCUAACUAAUAAAAUUACUUAACUCAUAAGUGAUGUGUCCCAACCAAUGAGAAUUAAGUAAAUAAUAAUAAGAUACAUAAAAGAUUAAUCCACCAAUUUAUGGGCUUUCACUAUUCCAAGAUUGGUCUAGUGAAUUGCAUUCCCGUAUUUGUCAACGUCACGAACAUGAUGAAUUAAAUUUGUAGUAACAAAGUCUUGGACAAAAGCAUUCAUCUUUGAUUUUAAUUGUCGUGCCUUGCUUCGAGUGAUUGGACCACUAGGAAAAACAACCCUUUGAGUGUCACCUCCUUGGCUCGUAUCACUCUGCCCGUGUGCAAUUUCUUAGGCAUUCUAUUUUGAAUUUUUAAGGUGCAAGGGACACACAGCCUAACCACACGCCCAUGUGUAAGCUGUGUGUCUCACACGUUCUAGUCACACGCCUGUAUGGUAGGCCGUGUAGACUCAAAAUAAGCAUUUUACAUCAAGUUUACCAACCUUGCAAAUCUUGAACAACAAGCAACUCAAUAAUCAAUCUUUCAACCAAUCCAAAACACAUUCAAAUACUUUUAAUACAUGCCAAAUUCAUUUAUUUAAGAACCUAACCAGUGUACUAACAUAGAUACUUUACAAAUAACAUCCAAAUCAAUCUAAUUAACUUCAUUCUAACCAAAUCUAAUUUCAUACCAAAACAUACUACUUAUAAUCUUAAUAUAGCACAUAAACUUAUAUAUAUAAGUCUCCAAUAACAUUUUGUAACAUAAUUUACAAACACUUCUCUAAAUAACAAACACAAACAUCCUAGGUACAUGCCAUUUACCAAAAAGAAAUGUACUUCACCACUUUGAGUUCCGAAACAGCUUUGGAUGCUGAUUGAAUGGUCUGACUUUAACCUAACCUAUGCACAGAAACAAACCGUACACUGAGUAUGAACUCAGUGGUAUUUCUAUAAUCCAAAUACUUUUAAAAUUAUGAUAAUAUAACAUGUAUAUUUAAUUAUAUAUUAACAAUAGUCAUUCAGUAAACAAUUCAUAAACAAAUAAUUUAUAACAUUUUCAUUUCCAAUUAUUUGUUAUUCCAAACACCUUUUCACAUUGCCAAUACAUAUAUCCGAUCAAUUGCUAUCCCAGAUAGCUUUUCACAAUGUCAAUACAUAUCUCGUUUGCAUUUUCACAUUCAAUAUUCCAAUAAUCACUUGAUGAACUUAUGGUUCAUACUUUUUCAUUUACACAUCACAAAUCAAUAUCUAAAUCCAAUUCAUAUUCAAAACCAUUCAAUAACAUUCAUAUCAUCAAUUCAUUAAUUACCCCUAUUAACAUGACUCGAACUUUGGCGGAUACACGGAUCUAACCAAAACACACCAGUUUAGCACCUAGUGCCUCAUCGGAUAAUUCGAAGCAAUAAGUUGACACCCAGUGUCUCAUCGGCCAUGCCGAAGUAAUUUGGUACCAGUACCUCAUCGAAUUUAUCUGAAGCAAUAGUUUGACACCCAGUGUUUCAUCAACUCAUGGUCGAAGUAUCCCUAAACUCUUCCAAUCCGAUGGCAUGCCAAGUAUAUCCAACUCAGCCCAAUACAGUUAAUAGGGUUUCCAAUUCACUUCCAAACACAACCAAUAUUCAAUAAUCAAUUGUCUCAAUAUUUACAUUUCAAUAUCAAUGCAUAUUUCAAACAAUCACAAAUUCUCAUAAUUCAACUCAAUUCAAUACCAAUCCUCACCUCAAUUCUACUUACCAUAAAUAUAAAAUAAUAAUAAACACAACAAUUAAUUAUCAGCUUUGGAUUAUAGAAAUACAAACAAUAAUUCUCGAGUCACUUCUGGUUAACCUUGUCUUUUCCUUUCUUAGUCGAGGUCUCCGGCUUGAUGUUAGCUACGGAAGUAAAAUAAUUAAAAUUCAUCAAUACAACACAAUUUAAUAUUGAAUAUUUCAACUUAUACACAACUUAUGCCUAAAUUCUAAUUUAGUCUUUAAAUCAAACUAACUCUUUUUCUUACAAAACUAAUUCCAUAUCUCAAUUCAAUUUCCACUUUAAUCUAAUUUCAACUUCUUAAUUUCAUCAUAAAACCCUAAUUUUGAAAUUCUUUCAAUUUAGUCCCUAUUACUCAAAACUUAUAAUUUAAUUUACAAUUCAAUCAUUCUUCUCAAUUCUAUCAAUUUAACCUCUAUUUCUUCAAUUUAUUCAACAUGAAGUACAUCUAAAAAUCCACUAAAUUUCAAAUUUUCAACAUAAAUCAAGUAGUAUUUUGUUCUAGGAUUCUCGAAACAUCAAAAUUAUAAGAAAAAAAGGCUAAAUUGCCUUACCAAAUUAACUUUGAAUCCUUAGAACCCUAAUUUCCCUUUUCUUUUUCUUUCUCUCUUUUCUCCCCUGUUUUCGUUUCAAUUCUAUUUUUUGUUUCCUUUAUUUAUUUGUUUAAUUAUUAUAAUAAUAUAAUAAUAUAAUAUUAAUAUAAUAUAUUUACUUAAAUAAUAAGUAAAUAAUAAUUAUUAAUAUAUGUAUAUUAUUUACACACAUGGAAUUUAUUUUUACCAUACACUUGUUAACACUUGUUAACUUUUGGCUUAAUUUCUUAUUUAGUCCCUCGGCUUUUCUCCAUUCUAUAAUUAAACUUUCACACUUUAUUCAUUUUAGUCCUUAUACCUAAUUAACCUUAAUUUAAGCUAAUUCACCUAACUAAAACCUAAUUUACCACACAACUAACUUUGUAAAUAUUUUUAAUAAAUAUUUAUGAAUCCAUUUUACGAAAAUGGAUACCCGAAAAUACACUUUCUAAUAACCGUAAAUUUCUGGUCGUUACAUUUCUUGUCCCAUUUUUAAUGAUUUUUAUAUUUUUUAGAUCUAGAUAGCCUAAUAUAUCCAUUUUAGAGAUUAAUUUGAAAAGUUAACAAAGUAUGGAAAUUUUGUCAUGGAUGAAUAUGCUGGAAAAUUGAAAUUUAUGGUAGAAUAUGAAAGAUUGUUGAUAGAUAAACAACUUUUACAAAGUGAAUUUUAAUGAAAACAUGAUUUAGGGACUAAAUUGAAAAGUAGUAAAAUUCAUAGAAAAAUUAUAAAUUUUUGUGAAUUGCGUGUGUUGUAAAAGUUAUGUUAAAAAAUUGGUUAGGCUUGGAACAAGGAUUAAAUUGCAUGAAUUUUAUUUCCAAGCCUAGGGACAAAAUUGGAAUUUAUGUAAAGUUUAGGGGCAAAAUGAUAAUUUUGUCUAGAGAGUAAAAUAAAUUCAAUUAAAUAUGAAAUGUGAAAAUUAAUGAUUAAAUUCAUUUAUAUCGAUCCGGAUAAUUCAAACUCGAAGCCUGAUCAGGGAAAGUAAAAGUUUAGAAUUAGUAGAUUUUUCGAAUACGAACCAUUAUCGAGGUAAGUUCAUAUGACUUAAUUUAAUAUAUAAAUAUGAUUGUAUUGAAUAUUGCUUUUGUAUUGAAUUUGAUAUUUGUCUAUGUGAAUUAAAUCAAUGGUAUAUAUAUACAAGACAUGAUUAUAUACUUGAAAAGGAUUAAAUCUGUUUGAAUAUUUGAUAUCGAUGGACAUAUGUGAUUUCCUUAUUGAAUGAGGUCCUGCAUUUAUUGCUGAAGGGAUUUAGCUCGGACGAGUAAUCCUAAUGACCUCAUUUUAGACGGUAUUUAGCUCAGAAGAAUAAUCCCUAUAUUAGCCCUCUCGAGUAUAAGUUGUAGACAGGAUUUAGCUCAGACGAGUAAUCCUGAUACAGUUCAGUAAGCAUUCUGAAUGGUAGUGUACUUGCAUAUGUUGCACAUUACCAAAGCUAUGAAUAAAUGAUUUGAUAUGUGACUCGAGAGUGUACUCUCUGGUUUAGUACCCUAUGGGUACCUACAAUCAUGAAUUGACGAUUUAUAGACUUGUACACAUUGAGUGUACUAUUUGAUUAUUCAUCGAUAUUUCCAAUAAUUCAACGGAUGAAAUUCUUGACAUGAGAAAGUGAUGAGAUAAAAAGUAUGAUAUCUUGAAUGCUUCUAAAUUGGUUGAUGAAAUGUACAUGAUGAGCUCAUCCAUGUUUAUUGAUAUACAUGAUGCCUAUGAAACUAACUUGUUGAUUAAGUGCAUUUGUAUAGGUAACUAUGCCAAGUUGAUGAAUAACAUGUUAUAAUAUGUUUGGAUGUUAAUAAAUUAGAUGGGUAAGUUUAAUUCUUGUUAUAUGAACUUACUAAGCAUAAAAUGCUUACUAGGUUUAUUUUCCUCUGUUAUAUAGUGCUCGAAAGCUCGCGAAGGUUGGAGUUUGGUUGGAGCAUCAUCACACUAUGCACUCGCUCAUUUUGGUAUUAAUGGAAAUCUCAUUUUGGGUAUAAUGGCAUGUAUAGGCUAUUUUGUCAAUAUUGGCAUGUAAAUGGUUAAAUGUAAUCUAGCCGUUAGAAUGGCUAGCAAUAAUAUGUUUUGGUUUAAUUAAGAGGUUUAUCAUGAUGUUGUCUCAUAUGCUCUGUAUGAUUGAUUAAAUUAUGUUAACAUAUAUGUUUACAUAAAGGUAAGAAUAUAAAUGUGAAUGCAUGAUACAAUAUACCAAGUUAAAAUAUGGAAAUUGCUUAGUUAUGAUGCUUGGAUUGGUUAGGAUACAAUUAUAAAGUUCUGUGUAGGUUGUUGGUAAAUUUGGGUGAGAAAGUAAAGAAGUAAAGCUAGGAAAUGGCUUUAUUUUAUCCACACGGGUAGACACAAAGGCGUGUGUCUUGACCGUGUGUGACACACGGCCUGGUACAUGGUCGUAUGGUUAGGCCGUGUGUCCCCUGCACCUUAAAUUCGAGAAACAGAAUGCCCAGUAUUGAGCACACGGGUAGAGACACGGGACACAAGCGUGUGACUUGGCUAUGUGAAAACUGCUUCUUCAUGUUUUGCAAGUCAAAAAGUUAACGGGUUAGUGACACGGCCGUGUGACCUAUGUCACACACCACACAACCUAGGACAUGGGUGUGUCACUUGGCCGUGGGCGUGUGACCCCUGUACAUGACAAUUUUUAAAAUUUUACAAAAAAUUUUAUAAGUUCUCGAUUUGGUCCCAACUCGAUUCUAAUGAUUACUUUGGGCCUCGAGGGCCCAUUCAAAGGAUGUUAUAAUGAAUUACGAAAAAUGUAUAAUAAUUGAUUUGAAAUAUAUGGAAAUAUUCUAUAAUCAUCGGUAAUGCUCCGUAACCCUGUUCUGGUGACGGAUACGGGUUAGGGGUGUUACAAGUAUUGAUAUUUUAGAAAAUAUCGAUACGUAAAAAAAAUGUAUUGAUACUUAAUAGGGUUUGUAAAAAACAAGAUGUCAUUUUGUUAUCGCUUUUAAGAAGGGAAUUGAUAAUUCAUAAAAUAUCGGUACUUAGCUAAAGAGGUAUUGAUACUUUUUGGCCUGAAGCUAUUUUGACUUGUUUGAAAAUUAUUUUAACUUGAUAAAAUGAUAAACACUUACUUAGUCAAAUUUCUUUUAACUUGAUUUUAGAAUUGCUUCAAAAAAAUUUCUAAGAGUUCAAAGUAGAUAUUCAAAAUUUUUAUCACUUAGACUUCAAUUUUAAACAAAUCAUUUUGUUAAUUUUGUUCAAUCUUAUAUUUUAUUCAAAAACACUUCAAUUUCUUAUAUCAAAGUAUUUUAGCAAAUAAAGCUUGGUUUAACACUAUCUCAAUACUUAAAAAAGUGUCGGCCCAAAAGUGUAGUCUUAGGACUAUCUUGUUGUAGUGUCUUGACGAUGUUGUGGAUAGCUCGGUUCAAGUUGAGGGUGCUUCUAAUAAUGCUGAUCUUUCUUCUAUUGUUCCAUCCGAUAGGAAUCCUUCUUCUAUUAGUGUAGCUACUGAUACUGUUAUCUUUACUUCAAUAUGAGAUGAGACAAUAUAGAUUAAGUAGGUCAUGUUUAGUCUUUCUGUAAAACUUUGGUAUUUAAUGCAAACUUUAGCCCUUAUUUGGAUUCCGUGUUUAUGUUAUGCUUCGUUGCAUUUCUUUAUCAACUUAUUGUAUUGAUCUUGUGUAACUUUAUGAAGCUUUUAUUUUUACUACUUGGAAGAUGUAGGAAAUUUUAUUCUUUCCUUAUUUGUUUUAUUGUGCUUUUAGAUUAACUUAGUGAUAAGUGCCCUUGGAGGGUUAAGUCCUUCAGAAGGCUAGUAGUUUUAUUUGCUACUAAUUUAAUGAGCAGUAUCCUUGGAGGGUUUAUGCAAAAUUAGUAGAGCAGAGGAUUGGUUGCACUGUCAUUUUUAGUUACGAUAUGACACCCCACACUCGUUCCGGACAGCAAAUUCAAAUAUAAGACAUUACAUCCGUUGCUAAACAACUUAAACAAAUAAAAACGUGACAUCGAACAUCGAUUCUUUUCACUUCGAAAUGGGUUGUCGUGACAUUGGACUUUGAAUAUAAUUUCUUAGGUUCGAAGUUGGAUGUCGCGACAUUGAUGGCCCUUUUGACCGUCAAAGUUGGAUGUUGCGACAUCCUAGGGUAGUCUACUGACUCCUCGACCUAAAACAAUGUCUUGCACACUUAAUCAACUUGUUAGUCUUUCCCUUAGGCCCAAUUGGCCCAAUAGGUCACAAAACAUACUAAAGUGCUUGUAACACCCCAAAUCCGGCCUAGACGUUAUGGCAGUAUCUGGCAAUGUCACACGAUAGUGUUUUUGAAACCUCGUUGUUAUGAUGAAAACAUUCCAUGUUAUAAUCUUUAGUAAACCUUUGUUAGAACUUAGGAAGUCGUCUUUAUUCGUUUAAGACAUUUGUUUGAGACAUCCCUCGUUGCAAAAAUUUUAAUAAAACAGUCUAAGUGCUCAUGCGUUUAGAAAAUACUUUAACUUUUUGAAAACCAAAUUUCUUACGACCAACAGGUAUAAAUCCAAUAAAUAAAUAAAAACUCAAAUUUAAAACCAAAGACCCAGAGGGUCUUUAAAUUACAACUCAAAUAAUCAAUAAUAAUCAAAUCAUAAAUCGUAAAUUGAAAACCAUGAAGUCCAAAAAUUACUGUGGUCACCGCUAAGUCCUCCAUCGCACCAAUCCGUCAAGUCUAGGGAUUACCUAUGCAUAUUAAACAAAAAGGAUGAGUUUACGUAAACUUAGUGUGUAAUCCCGCAGAAACAAACAAAUAAUCAGUAUUCACAGUGCACAGUUGAACAGUCUUGGGCCUAAGCCCUUUUCAGUAUCAGUGACAGUUUGGGACUCAGCCCAUCUCAGUACAAUGUCAAAACUGCAGUAGGACCUUAGCCCAUCACAAUAUCAGUAGCAGUAACAGUUAUGCAGUAGCAAAAUCCUACCUAACCAGCCUCUAUACACCAUUUUCGUCUAACCCUACACUCCAUGUGGGGAUAUAAAUAACCCACCCAUCCCUACACUCCAAAUAGUACCGAAUGCGGCACAAAACAGUAGUUUGCAGCUGAGCUGCCAGUAAAUUAGGCUUAAAGCCUUUCAGUACACUUCCUCCGAAUAACAGCUCCCAACCCAAUGCAAUGCAACAUACCAUGGAUGAUAUGCUAUUAUGCAAUUUCAGUACAUAUAUUCAGUUCAAAUAUUAAUAUGCUCAGUACAUAUAUCAUUCAGUCAAUUUCACACAUUUAGGGGUCUAAGUAGCGCUUACGGACCUUACAGUAGGUUCACAGUCGACUAGGGCGACCCGUGCAACCUUAGAAACAUUUCGGUAAAAAUGGGCCCACACGCCCGUGUGAGCCCAUUUGGCCCACUCGAACCCAAUUGGCCUUGGCCGUGUGAUCCAUUUUUAAUGUAACCCAUGCUAGCUAAAAUAUUCAUAUAUGUUUUCACUAUUUACUUAUAUGCUCAUUUAAAGUUGUCUACUUGAGUCAUUGUCACUAAAUUAUUUAUAUCUUGAGCUACAGAAUUCCAAAUUAAGAUCCACUUGAUGUUUUCAAAACUAGACGCAAAUACAUUUCUACCAUAAAAUUUUCAAAUUUUAUCACUUAUCAAAUAAGUACAGUAAAAUCUUCAAAAUUAUCCCUAUUCUAUUAUUUGACUGCUUCAACCUUUCCUUACUAAAAAUUAUUUAUCUCUUAGUACAAAACUUGGAUGAUGUUUCCAUUUGUUUCUCUUGAAAGUAGACUCAUUAAGGAUUUAAAUGUAUAAAUUUAAGCCCCUAAUUAAUUUUUUGCAAUUUUUGAUGAUUUUCCAAAUUCAAAAUAGGAGAACCCUAAAUCAUUCUGACCUCGUCUCACAAAAUUCAUUAUAUCUCCUAAUUUACAAUUCCAUUGUUUACACUGUUUCUUCCGUGAAAAACUAGACUCAAUAAAAUUUAAUUUCAUAUUUUAUUCAACCUCUAAAUCAAUUUUCACUAUUUUUGAAGAUUUUUCAAAGUUAGACUACUGCUGCUUUCCAAAACUAUUUUAGUGCAAAAUGUUGAUUUCCAAGGUUAUAACACCCUUAUUUCCUUUCUCUACAAUUUUUUUCGCAUCAUUUUCUCUUAUUUCUCUUAUUUCUCGAUAGCAAGUAAUUUUAGCUUUUCGUCGAAUCCCGUUUUUUGUGUUUCGGGUUCACACCUAGUUUCGUUUGAUGCUAAAACAAUCCACAAGCACUCCAAAGCCUAUAAUUGAACAAAUAACACUAAUUUAAUCUCGCAUAACCUGAUCCCAAAUUGAACUCGUAUCGAGGUUUUAACCCAUAAGCGACUUAACCUUACCUUCAACCGAUGAACAGUAAUUCCCACACAAACUAAGACUCUGACUGGUGAUUACGAGCCCUUGAAUCCUCCCCUAAUUGGCAUAAACAAAACACUUCCGAAGAAAGUUAACAAAUAGAGACAAAUCACUUAUCUAAAACUUACCGAACAAUCGCAGACAAACGUGGAGUGACACGAGGCAAAGUGGGAAAAAAAUAAGAAGAUGAAGGGUGAAAGAGAGCAGAAAUUCGACAGCAAUGAAGAGAAAAACAGCAAGAGGGUGGAGGGAUUUUGGGGAAAGUAAAAAAAAGAAAAAAAAUUAAAAGAAUAUUUGAUAAGCACCCCAAUCCCUUAUUUCUCUCCAUCAAACUCCCCACUAAAUCCACUACUCAGAUUUUUAGUCCAUCUCAAACUCUCUUGGACAUACGAGCAAAAAUAAUGCCCAUGCUAAGAUUCAAACAUAGGACCUCUUUCACACCAACACUCUACUUAUCCAUCAAACCAGCAAGCCCAUUCUGUUAAUUAUUUGUCAACUUUUACUUAAAAGCCUACCGACCAAAGAUAGGGCUUACUCAUAAAAAUACCAAAAUUUGCCCAAGUCCUGCCUUGAACUUGGAACUUCCCAAACACACCCAAAACACUUCACCACUGAAGCAGAUACACAGUUGUGUCACACAUUCACAAUACUUAAAAUUAAAAUUUUGGGGCGUUACAAUGCUUGUUUUAUUGAAUUAAACUAUAACCUUACUAACUUCAUAAAAUGCAUAAAAAACUAAUGCAUCACUUGAUUACAAACUCAUAUUCAAGCUUAAUUUGCCACAGUGAGUUGUGGUCAAUCAAUUGUUAAUAUGAAAAUUAUUUUUUUAGAACAACCAAUUUCUCUCAACCGUAUUUUGAAGCAGUGGUGGAUCCUGGGACAAAGUUUGGAGGGGAGGCUAGUAAAAUUUUUAGGAAUUAUAAUUUUUUUUUGCCAUAACUAUCUAAUACUCAUACGUGUUUAUGCUUAUAAUAUAAUUUUUGUAACUAGUAUAAAAAUAAAUUUUUAAAAUGGGAUUUGAGUGUAAUUACGUAUGUAAUCAUUUUAACUCUCACCCUAUGUAAUCAUUUUAACUCUCACCCUCCCCUAAGAAUUAGAAAGUGUAAUUGAGUGCUCUAAUUACAGCCAAUUCGGUGGGACUCACCAAUCAAUGGUUACCCAAACAUGUCAUCUUUGUGUAAUUACUAGCAAUUACACCCAAAUUCAAUUACUAGGUGGUUUUCCAAACAUUACCUUAAUAUAUUACUAUUGGUUCUUUCUCACUUUUGUUUUAUUUUAUUUUCUUCACUUUUAAAAUGUUAUUUUAUUAUCUUAAUUAUUUUUCAAAAUUAAUAGAAUUUUAUUAUAAAUUAGGAUAGUUCUCAUUUAAUUAACAAAUUUUUAUAUAUUAAAAUUAUAAAAAUACAUUACUUAGUAAAUUAAAAAAAUAAACAAAUACAUAGUUUCAUUAAGAGUACUUUUGUAUUUUCUCCAUUAUGUGGUAUUUUCCCUAUAAAUACAUAGUUUUAGAUUUAUACCUAGAGAUAGCCACCUUAGUAUUAUUUUGCUUUAGAGUUUUCUUUUCUCCAUGAAUUUCUAAAUCAUCUUUUCUAGUCAAAGGAUUUUGAAGUUUGAUUCUAAUAGUUUGUAAGAUCUAAUUGCUCUUCAUCUAUUCUUUGUUCUUUAGUGUUUGCAUGUGUUCUAUUUUAAUCACAAAUAUUCAAGUUUGUUGGAUAUUGGUACCAUAUUCAAUUGCUUAGAACAUAGUGACAAAUAACAUUGUAAUCACUGAAUUUUGUCCGGGAUUAAUUUCGUAUUUUUUUCAAAAAAAAAGAAUUUUUUAAAAAAAAUUAUUACAUUUUGACCCCUAAACUUUUCUAAAAUUAUAUUUUGACCCCUAAACUUUCUCAAAAUUUGACCCCGAAACUUCCUCAAAAUUACACUUUGGCCCCAAAACUUUUGCUGCAUUUACGAUUUAGUCCUUCUAGUAGCCACCAAUGCAAGUUGCACCUACAACGGCGGCGGCCGGCCUAGGGCAUAGCCCCCUCCCCCUCCCCACUUGCUACCUGCAAAAAGAACAAGAAAAUCAGCUAUAAAAAGGGCUUAAAACCCCAAAAAUUGGAACCCCCACUCAUGAAAAAAUUCAAGAAAAAAUAAAGAAAAAGAGAGCUUUUUUUUCAAAAAGAGGAGGAGGAGAAAUCGGCCACUGGAGAACCACUUGCGGAGGCGACUGCAGCAGCACGAGCAGCGAUGUCGACGGGACGAAGGAGGCCGAACGGAGAAGAAGAAGAAAAAAGAAGAAAAAAGAGAAAGAAAGAAGGAAGAAGAAGAAGAAGAAGAAGAAGAAAGAAAAAGAAAAAAGAAAAAGAAAAAAGAAAAAGAAAAAAAAUAAAAAUAAAAAUAAAAAAUAAUAUUUUUUUGAACAGUCGGGUCGACCCGACCAGACCCGACCCACGGGCCGACCCGCGACCGACCCAUCAGCAGUAGGCCAGCCCAAUUCCGAAGGCAGCCCAAAAAGAAAGGAAAAAAAAGGAGCAGAAAAAAAGCAGGCCAAGCAGCCCAAUCCAGCAGGCCCAACAGAUCCAACAGCAGGCCCAAUCAGUGCAGGCCCAGAAGGCCAUCUGCAGCAGGCCUGUGGCAUGCCCAUAAUCGGCAGCAGCCCAGUCCCUGCAGUAGCCCAGCAGCCCAGCAGAAAAAAAAAGAAAAAAAAGAGGGGCCCAAGUCGUGUGACCCGUUCAAUUUAGUUCAUAUUUUCGAGCUUUUAGGUAAUUUUCUUUUUUUUCAUUUUUAAUUUAAUUUGUGUACUUUUAUAAUGUCUCGUAUUUUAUAUUAUGUUUUUAAUAUUUUCUUUAUUUUUAUUUUAAUUUUACAAAACAUCAUUAUAUUUAUUAUAUUUAUUUAUUUUAAUUUUAAAUAAUUUUAAUAAAUAAGGCAACGAAUCGAUUUAACAUUAAGCCAUUGAUUUCAUCGCUAUGUUGGGUGAAUAUUACCGGUUUGUGUUAAAUAGGAGACGCCCUUUUAAAAAUUGAAAAUAUUCAAAAAUUCUCGUGUUUUAAUAAAAUCAAGAUUAAAUAUUAAGUUGAGUCGAUUUGACACUAAUUCGAUAAUUUCAUCGCUAUGUUGAGUGAAUAUCACCUGUUCGUGUUAAAUACAAUACAUCUUUUUUAAAAAAAAAAAUCGAAAAAUUCGUGUUUCAAAAAAUUCUCUUGUUUCAAAAAUUUUCGUGUUUUCAAAAAUUGUUGUGUUUUAAAAAUUUUCAUGUUUUUAAAAUUCUUGUAUUUGAAAAGUUUCCGUGUUUCAAAAAUUUUCGUGUUUCUAAAAUUCUCGUGUUUCAAAAAAAAUCCCGUGUUUUCAAAAAAAAUGUUGUGUUUCAAAAUUCUUGCGUUUUUAAAACAAGAAAUUCCUGUGUUUCAAUUGGAUCACGAUUAAAUAUUAAAUUGAACUUGUAUUUUUGAAAAUUAAGACAACAUGCGCUUAACAAGAUACCAAUUUUGGGCGUUACGAGGGUGCUAAUACCUUCCACGUGCGUAACCGACUCCCGAACUCUAAUUUUCUUUGAAUUUUAACGUAGACCUAAAAUUGACUUUUUUUUAGAAAAUUUGAAAAAUAAUUUUUCUUUUAAAAAGAGAGUUUAUUAGGUGUCCGAUCACACCUAGAAAAAAUAUCGGUGGCGACUCCUUUUUUUAAAUAAAAUCGAGACUCUGUUUUCAAAUUUUCAAUAAUCACUUCAAUUAGCGCCAAUGUACAAAAUAUUUAGGUCGCUACGAACAUGAUUACAUAUAAACUAUGUAUGCAAUUCAUGUUAUGUGGAUACCCGAUUUAAUCUAAAUGAACCCCGUUGGUGUGUGUUUGUUGGUCAGAAAUAAGUUUUAGUCAUUCUUAAUACUACCGAUAAUUAAGCUAAAUCCUAGGCACGAAGUUAUAGGACAUCUUGGUUAUCGAAAGGUAAUGAGAGAUUGUUUAUAGGGUUCUUAAUGCUAGGUGCGACAUGGGCAACUAUAACUAAUUUAUUAAAAACACUAAAAUUAUAUUUGGAUCAUUGAUCAAACUCACUAAUCAAAAUUGAGAUUUUACCUUGGUUAGACUCUCAUUAUAUUGAUUUUGCUAUAUUUUAUUUUGCAAUCUUUUUUUACAAAGUUUUAAUUUUAAUUUUAAAAAUCCUUAUUUUUAUUUUACUUGUUUUAUUAAAGAAUUAGAACAAUCACUAGUCUUUGUGGAUACGACUCUACUCACAGUCAUCUACAAAUUUAUUUAUUUUAUUAAGAAUUUAUUUUUAUAGGUCACAACAACCAUACAACUUUUGACACCAUUGUUGGGGAUUGGUGUCCAUAAUUUUAUUUCCUUUUAAAUUCAAAUAAGAGUUUUCAAGAAGAGUGAAUAAGGUAAAUAUUUCUUUUUCCUAAUAAUCAUUGAGACCAAACGAUAACAUUAAUGAUGAACUUGAUAUUUGUGGGUGUCGAAAUAUCCCUAAAAAAAUGUAUUUCAAAAAUUAAUUUUCCAGGAAACACAUUAUAAAUAAUAAAAUAUCUAAUAACAAAGUAAAAAAAAAAUCGAAGUUUUGGUUCCCCUAUAAUCGAGGGCACAGUUUGCCUUUAACGUGGAUGAUGAGGAAAGUCUUGACGAUGUUGUGGAUAGCUCGGUUCAAGUUUAGGGUGCUUCUAAUAAUGCUGAUCUUUCUUCUACUGUUCCAUCGACUGGGAAUCCUUCUUCUAUUAGUGUAGCUGCUGAUACAGUUACCUCUACUUCAAUAAGAGAUGAGACAAUACAGAUUGACUAGGUCAUGUUUAGUCUUUUUGUAAAACUUUGGUAUUUAAUGCAAACUUUAGCCCUUAUUUGGAUUCCGUGUUUAUGUUAUGCAUCCUAGCAUUUCUUUAUCAACUUAUUGUAUUGAUCUUGUGUAGCUUUAUCAAGCUUUUAUUUUUACUACUUGGAAGACGUAGGGAAUUUUAUUCUUUCCUUAUUUGUUUAUUGUGCUUUUAGAUUAACUUAGUGAGAAGUACCCUUGGCUAAGUCUUUCAGAAGGCUAUUAAUUUAACGAGCAGUAUCCUUGGAGGGUCUGUGCUAAAUUAAUAGAGCAGAGGAUUUGUUUCACUACCUUUCUUAGUUGCAACGUGACACCUCACAUUCGAUUUGGAUGGCAAAUUUAUAUAUAAAACAUUAUAUCCGUUGUCAAAGCAACUCAAACAAACAAAUUGCUGAUGUCAAAGCCAAAUCAAGAAGCAUAGCACAUAAUUCAUAAUUUUCAAAACGCUAAUAAUUAAUUUGUAACUUUUUUUAAUAUAGUUAAUUUAGUGACUAAUGUCGUAAUUUGUCUCACUUAAAAAGAGCCCACCACUUGACUUGACGCAGAGGUCAAGAGAUAUCUCUAAUAAUGGGAAGCAAUAUUUGAUGUUUAUGGUUGAUAUUGCUCUAUGUAAGGGUGUUCAAAUGAUUAAUUGAUCAGUUAACUAAAUCGAAUUAGUAUUUGAUUGAAUUAAUCUAACUUUUUAAUCCUUUAAUUGUUAAUUAAAUCAAUUUAUUUCAAAAAACAUUAACCGAACAAAAAUAUUUCGGUUAAUUCGAUUUGUUAACCAAAAUUUAUAUUUUUUUUGUUUAAAACAAAUAUAAAACAUAUAAAAAAAUUUGAUAAUGUUCAUUUGACCGAAUUAACCUAAUUAAUCAAAUUAGUAAUAGCCUAAUACAUAUGACAUAUAAUAUUAUUUAUUAAGUUUGGUUAAUUCGAUUAAUUACUCGAUUUCGAACCGAAUUAACCAUUAACUGAAAUUUCAAAAAUCAUUUAACCGAUUUCGGACCAAACUAGAUUAGUUAACUGAUCAAUUAACCGAAUUAAAUUAAUCUGAUCAAUUAAUUUAAUUUUAACAGAAGCUUAAACACCAAAAACCAAGUCUUUGUGGAAUUAAAGUUUUGUUGUUAAGACUCACUGGAUUUUUCACAACCACUAUAAUUAGAUUAGAACUAUCUCUCCGCGUAUGCUCAAGUUUAAAAUUUUUUAAUUAAAUUUUAAUUAUCUAUUUUUUAAUUAUUAUAAUAUUAACAUAGAAAUUAAAAUUGUGAUUAUUGUUCAUAGUAGAAUAUAAAGUCUUAAAUUAUGAUGAUAACAUCAUGGAGAAAAUAUUUUAAUUUAAAAAAUGUAUAAAAUUUAUAUAUUAUCUCUUUUACAAUUAUAUAAAAAAUUAUAUUAAUAUAUAAAAAUAAUAAAUUAAAAAAAUUCUGUUUUAAUCGUUUGCCAUUAGAUAUCUAGUGAACUGAUGCCAUCCACUAAUUUGACUCUCAAAAAAUGGAAGUUUGGGAAAGCUAAAGGUUGUUAAAUUAGACAAAAAGAAACAAGAAGCCAUGCCAAUAAUUCCGUUAACAAUUUAACCGGACCAAAGUAGAACUAAACGAUAACAUUAAUGUUGAAAUUGAAAGUUUUUUGUAGUUCAAUGACAAAACAAAAAUACGCUAAUAAUUGAGCCACUCAUUGUGUAAUUUAGCAUUAAUUUAUUUUUGGAAGAAAUUGUAUUUAUGUGAUAAUAAUAAAUUUCAAAAAAAUAAAUUAUUUCUUUUGUCAAAAAUUUGUAAUUAUAAUAAUUUAAAUAUAUAUAUAAAAAAGUAUCCAACAAAUAUAUCAAAUUAUUGCAAUAAAAGGAUGAAGAAAUCAUAAUAUAACAAUACACCAAUUAGAAAUAACUUCAUUUCAAAUAUAAAUGAAAUUUAAUAAUGAAACAAAUUCUAUUAAAGACAAGGACUAAACUAAAAAAAUUAAAACCAAUUAUAGACUAAGAUAUGAAUAUAUAAAUAGUGAAAAGUGUAAUCAUAAACUUUUAAAAUAAAAAUAUUCUAGAAAGCAAUUAUUUCUAAAAAGUAAAAAUCAUUAACUCUUCCACCUUCCGCCCUCUUUUAUUUAUUAUAUUUUUAUAUUGAAUAUACUAUAUUUUUUUACUCUUAGUCUUUACUUGUUGAAAAGGUUACAAAGUUAUCAUAAAUUUCCUAAAAUCUUAUGGCACUUUUCCAAAGAUCCAAUACAGAUUGAUACAAUAGCUGAAUUAUACCAUUAAUUAUUAAAUUAUAGAUAAUCAAACAAGAUUAUAAUUUAGUCAUUAAUAUUUUCAAAAUUAUUUUUAUGGUCACCUGAUUAUUAAGUGGCACUUUUUUGGUUGGUAUGAUAACAAUUUUAUUCUUUGAUUUUUCUAUUAAUUUGGCCCUGGUGCUAAAUAAAAAUUAUAAAUAAAUAAAUAAAUAAUUUCGAAAACAGUAGUCAUCAAAUUGUAACAUUUUUAAUUUAAUGACUAAAACAAAAACUUACCUAUAAUUAAUUUAAUGACUAAUUUCAUAAUUUACCCUUUAUUUUUUGAAAGGAAAUCUUACUUAAAAAGAUACCACCACUUGACUUACACAUAAGUCAAGAAAGGAAAGCAAUAUUUGAUGUUUACUGUUGAUAUUGUUGUAUGAAUGCCAAAAUCCAUGUAUAGACUUAUUUCGAGUGUUUGAAUUUUCCACCAAAAACAAAGUCGCUGUUGAAUUAAAAUUUUGGUGCUAAGACCCAUUGUAUUUUUCACAACCACUAUAAUUAGACGAUAAUUAUCUCUUCACGUAUUCUCGAGUUUAAAAUUUUUUAAUUAAAUGUUAUUUAUUUUUUAUAAAAUAAAUAGUCAGAGAUAAUAAAGAACAAUGAAUAUGAGAGAACAAAAGAGAGUGUGUAUUUUAUUGAUCAAUCAGAAUAUCUACAAACUUUCUCCAAAAUCUGUAACACCUCAAACCUGGCCUAAACGUUAUGGCCGAAUCCGGAGAUGUCACAAAGAAUGGUUUUGAAAACGGAGUUGUCUCGCCAAAUCAUUCACAUUUCAUACUUCACACGCAUUCCCAAUUUUACUGAAAACAUCAUUUAAUUAGUUUGUUUGCUAAAAUGUAUUACAGCAGAAACCUGAAAACAAUCGUUAUGUUUUUAGAAAUGCAGCCGCAUUUUUAGGAAAACAUUUGUUUGCGUAAAAGCUGUCGUUUUCAAUAAAACAUUUCGUCAAAGCAUGCAUACCAUUAACAAUCAAAACCAAAGCCAAAGGUUAAAAAGUCCCAAACAGUCCAGAGAGUCCCAGAAUUUACAAACUCUCAAUGAAACCAAAAUUUAAUAUAAAAUCAUAAAUUAAUAUUUGAAAACAGUUUACGAACGACUGGUCACCACUGAGUCUCCUGCCGCACCGAUCCGCCUAAGUCUGUGGAUUACCUGACAUAAUAGACAAGUAGAUGUGAGUUUACGUAAACUCAGUGUGUAACCCAGCAGAAUUAAGCAUGCAAUCAUACAGAAUCAUAUACAUAAACAGAAACAAAUACAAUACAGAUUCGGGCCCAGGCCCAUUUCAGAUACAGUAAACAGAAUCAGAUAAUCAGAAUCCUAUCCCCAUCCUCUACACACCAUCUCCGACCAUCCCAACACACUAUGUGGGGUUAAAAACACCCACCCAUCCCUACACACUAGGUUGUUCCAUUACAACACGUAUCAGAUAUAGUGCAGCCAAGCUGCCAGAUAAUAGGCGAUGAUCGCCAAACAGAACACUUCCUCCAUCAAUACAAAACCCACCUCACAAUCAUAUACAGGACAAAUACAAAAUAACAUACUAGACAUGCUCAACAUGUUAUGUACGGAUAUCAGAAUAAUCAGAUAUGCAUGAUAUUAUCAUACUCAGAACAAAUCAUCAGUCCAUCAAAUCUACAGUUUUAGGGUUAGGCUAGCCCUUACUGACCCUACGGUAGGCCCACAGUUGAUUGAGACGACCCGUGCAACCCUAGGAUAAAUUUUAAAAAUUUGGGUCCACAUGCCCGUGUGGCUUGCCCGUGUAGGCCUACACGCCCAGAUUGGCCCUUACUAUAUGGCUUGCCUGUGUGGCCCACACGACCACACUCGAGCCACCGCACGGUCGUGUUCUCGCACAUGGCCUACCACACGCUCGUGUGGCGUCGAUAGAACUAUUUUUUGGCUUUUGUUCAAACCUCUUUUUUUGCAUUUCGGGUAUACACCUAGGAUCGAUUUGGUGCAAAAUCACACUCGAGCCUUCCAGAACCUAAAAUCAAAAUUUCCAAAUUUUGAAUUUAGUAACACCAACAAAUCUCCACCAAGACAAUUUCACAACGAAACCUUACAACAUUAAUCAACGCACGCGAAUACUUACCGCUAACAAACAACAACCUUGAAAACUUAAAUCGUCGCAGGAACCCCAACCGAUCCUUGACCUUCGCCUAAAUUGAGAGUAACAAAACAAAUCCUUUCGUUAAACACUUAGCCAAAAAACGUUAAGAUUCUAACAAUACAAAACUUACAAAAAGAAUGCAGUCAAACGUUGCACAAAAAAAACGAGACCGAUUCAGAAAAGAAAUAAAACAGAAGUGGGAAAUAGAGAGACAAUUUUUCUACAAAGAGGAGAACAAAAAGAAUGUCAGUUUUUUUUGGAAAUCGAAAAUUUUGAAAAAAAAAUAAAAUAGAAUUAUCCCAAAUCCCCCCCUUUUUCUCUUGCUAACCCACUAACAUCCAACAUCCUCAGACAUGCAGUUCAACCGAAACUCCCUCCGACAACCGAGCAAAAAUUAAUUACCCAUGCUAACGCAAAAAUUUGAACACAAGACCUCAAACACACCACUCCCUUACCACCUGAACCAACAAGCUCAAUCUAAUUUAAAUUUACAGGCAAUAAAAUAUAUGCCCCCUUACCAAGGAUAAGGCUUAGAUUCAAAAAUAACCAAAAUUUGCUAAAGGUAAGGCUUGAACUUGAGACCUCUCACACAUACCUAGAACACUUAACCACUAAAGCAAACAAAUAUUUGUCAAAAACUUACAAAAACAGAAAUAAGAAAAUCAGGGCAUUACAAAAUCUCUAUUUAUAGGUAUAAAAAGUAUAAAUGAAGUAGAGAUCUCCUAAUGACUAUUAGAAUUUAAAGUACAUCAAAACUUAUCUUGAUCUUAAUGGACAUCCAUAUAAUAAUAUAUUCAUAACAUUUAUUUAUUUUUAAAAAUUAUUAUAAUAUUAACAUAGAAAUUAAAUUUGUGAUUAUUGUUUAUAAUAUAAUAUAAAUGAUAACAUCAUGGAGAAAAAUAUUUUAAUUUAAAAAUUGUAUAAAAUUUAUAUAUUAUCUCUUCAAUAAUUUAAAUUAUAAUGAUAAUUUUUAUAUAUUAAAUUUAAUAUAUUUAAUCUUCCUUUAAAAGAAAUAAAUUACUUGUUAAGUUAUUGCAUUUAUUCUAUGAAUUAAUUUUAAAUUUUAUUUGUCAAUCUUCACAAAAUUAUUAGAUACUUUGAGCAAUUUAGAAAAUCAUUUAAAAAUAGAAAAAUUCCAUUGAAGAAUGAUACUUUUGAUUAUUGAAAGUAUCUGCUGAUUAUCGGACGCAUGAUGUCGAAACCAUUUUUUGGAAUCGACUUUUAUUUUAAAAAAUGAAAAAUGGGAGUCGCCACCAAUCCUUUUUUUAUGAGGUGUAAUCGGGUCACAUCGUAAUUUAAUCGUUUUAAUAAAGGGUUUAAUUUAUUAAAACAACGAUUUUUUGGUCUAGAAACUUUGAGAAAUGAGUUCGGGAGUCGGUUACGCACGAGGAAGGAUUAACACCCUCACAACGCCCAAAAUUGGUACCUAGUUGAUUAAUUAAUGUCUUAAUGUCGAAAAUUGAAAACUUGAAAAGAGUUUAAAAUACAAUCCCUCUUUGUAUUAAUAUCAUGAUUACUUAAAAAAUCUUAAAUAAAUCGAAAAGUAUGUUAAAGACCCUCUCAUCUCGAGGUAACAAAAUGUCACAUCCCGUAAAUUAGGACACGACACUUCAAAUUUUUGAGAAUGAAUUUGCCUUUAUUUUUUAUUUGAAUCUCACAUGUUUUAAUUUUAAAAAGAUAUUAGGUUAUUUAGACCCAACGAGAAAAAAAUCGAAACCCUGUAAGUUAGGGCACGACUUUCUCAAGUUUCCAAAUACAGAAUAUUGUAUUAUUUUAAAAAUUUUGAAUAAUAACAAGUGUAAUAUUUAAACGAUGUGUAUUUUUUAUUUGGAUACAAUACAUCAAUGGACAGACAUAUCUAAACUUAAUGUAUAGUAGUGAUACAUGAAAUAAUAUAAAAUGACUAUAUUGAUAGAAUAUUGGAAUGAUAAAUAAUAGGUAAAUAAAUGAAUACUAUAACAAUAAUAGUAUAACCUUAAUAAUAAUAAUAAUAAUAAUAUUAACAAUCAGAUCAUAGUGAUAAUAAAUAAAAUAAUUUAAAAUAAAUAAGAACAUGGAAGAUGCAUGUUAGAAACUAAAGGUGCGUUUGGUUCGUUGUAUUGGAUUAGAGGUGUAUUGGAUUAGAGGUGUAAUAGCAAACCAACUGUUUGGUUGAAUGUAAUGGAAUAGAGGCGUAAUAGUAAUCUUGUGUUUGGUUGAAUGGAAUAGAGGUGUAAUAGCAUAAUGGAAAAAACUAAAAUGACUAGAAUACCCUUAGCAUAAAUUUGUUUUGGUAAAUGAUUAUUGUUAUUGUUAUUUAAAUUUUAAUAAGAUUAUUAUUAUCAGUAAUAAAUAUUUUAAUCAUAUUUAAACAUAAUUAUUAUUAAAUAUAUUUUAAUUAAAAUAUAUAAUUUAAUAAAAUUCUUAUAAUUAGCAGAUAUUUGUUUUGGUAAAUUAUUAUUGUUAUUGUUAUUGUUAUUUAAAUUUUAAUAAGAUUAUUAUUAUCAAUAAUAAAUAAUUUAAUCAUAUUUAAACAUAAUUAUUAUUAAAUAUAUUAUAAUUAAAAUAUAUAAUUUAAUAAAAUUCUUAAUAAUUAAUAUUCUUAUAUGAAUUUACUCAAAUCAUAAUAUAUGAUACUGUAAAAAUAUAAAUUAACAUAAUUAUUAUUAAAUAUAUUAUAAUUAAAAUAUAUAAUUUAAUAAAAUUCUUAAUAAUUAAUAUUCUUAUAUGAAUUUACUCAAAUCAUAAUAUAUGAUACUGUAAAAUAUAAAUUAACAUAAUUAUUAUUAAAUAUAUUAUAAUUAAAAUAUAUAAUUUAAUAAAAUUCUUAAUAAUUAAUAUUCUUAUAUGAAUUUACUCAAAUCAUAAUAUAUGAUACUGUAAAAUAUAAAUUAACAUAAUUAUUAUUAAAUAUAUUAUAAUUAAAAUAUAUAAUUUAAUAAAAUUCUUAAUAAUUAAUAUUCUUAUAUGAAUUUACUCAAAUCAUAAUAUAUGAUACUAUAAAUGAAAAUUUGAAAUAAUUAAUAUUAAAUAUAUUUUAAUUAAAAUAUAUGAUUUAAAAUAAUUUAAAAUAAUUAUAACUAAUAAAUUAUAUUUUAUGAAUUUGUAUAAUUUAAAAUAAUAAUUAUUACAUAUAAUUUAAUAAUUAAUAUUAAAUUUCAUAAAAUUCUUGAUAAUAAAUUUUCUUAUAUGAAUUUAUACAAUUUAAAAUAAUUAAUAUUAAAUAUAAUUUAAUAGUCAUAUAUAGUUUCAUAAAAUUCUUAAUAAUAAAAUGUUCUUAUAUGAAUUUACUAAAAUCAAUAUAUAACUUGAGAAUUAUAUUCUGCAUAAACAUAAUUAACUUAUAUUAAGAAAAAGUUAGAUGAAAAUGAAAUUGUACAUCAUAAUCCAUAUGUUAUAUAGUUUUACAACAUCAAAAAGUUUGAACAUUGAUAUUUAAUGGUGAGAAAGAAAUCUUCUGACCCAUUCCAAUCGGGCAACAGAAGGUAAACUAAAGAAAACGAUCAUUUGAGUUGGAUGAUCGGGAAUUUUACUCUAAGCAUCAUACCGCUGAUCGUCGGUUAAACCUUCAAUUGACCAUAAGGCUGAAUAUAAAUUUGAAGCUUUCUUUUCCAUCUUUUGAUGUUCUUCUGACUUCUGCUGAACUACCACCUCGGAUGCAAUACUCCUACUGAUUUGAUCGCCAACGGCCUGAAUUUUUCCCCCCAACAAAAUGGCAGCCUCCUCAAAUGAAGAAUACACAUUAUCACGAGCAUCAGAUUUCUUCUUUCUCUUGUUUGAAGAUGAGGAACCCCCUUGGUCUCUAUCUCCUCGCGGAUCCGUACCAGAAACAUCCAUGUGGUCUAAAGAGACGUCAGCUUCGCAGUCAUAGAAUGUGUUUCUCUCUUCAUUCAUAUCUGUAGUACGUUCAUCCUCAGCAUGUAUUUCUUCAAGAACAUCAGCAGCUGUUUGAGCGUCUUUCCCAGUCGCCCGAUCUCUUGCGUAUAUGGCAGUAAGCUGGUUGUAGUAAGGGAAAGAACGAUGUCUGAACUGAGAGGCUUCUUUGUGACUCUAAAAAAAACAAGGAAAUCAUAUUAGUUAUAAGUUUUGUAAAAAAACAAAUAAAUACUUGAAAUACAUUUUACCUUAACAUAGGAUUCCCAAACUGCAUCUUCAGCAACAACGAGCUGCCUAUGCUCGUCCCAACCAAAGCCGCUGUUGUUUUGACCAUUAAGCAUGUCGUAGACGACUGACCAUUCCCUUUUUAGGCACCUAAUCCGAGAUUCAAUAUUUGGUCUCGCCUUCAACAUUGCUCUUGGUAAAGCCUUUUCUAGCAUUUUCUCUAGCUCGUUCAAAUAACCGACUUUGAACCCGGUAUCAGCAUUAAAUGUUCCUACAUUGUGCAAAUCCACCAUGCAAGAAACCAAGGCUGCAUCCUCUUCUGGAACCCAUUUUAUUUUGCUUCCUCGAGAAGCUUGAGAAGAAGCACCCGUUGGUGGAACACCUGACAUAUUGUUCUUAAGAAAAAAAAAACAAAUUAACAUUAUUUACUAUUUUGAAUAUCAUGAAUCAAAAGGUGAACAAUUUAUAAUAUUAUAUCGGUAGUUCAAUACUAAAUUUAAAUUUAUAACACAUGCUGAAUGAAAAGAUAAUUAAAUUAUAAUUCAACAAAGUUUAGUACAAUACAGAAUUUUAAUCAAAGACCACCAAAGUUUCAUAAACUAGAUACAUAAAAUAACAUCAACAAAUCAAUUCAAACUCAAUUUGUCCCUAAACCUAACUAAUUUCUAGAUGCUUGCCAUUCAUCGAACAUUUGGUUGGCUAGUUCCAUCCUCCAAGUUGCCCAAGCAUCCGAUGGAUGAAUAUUUGUGAUAUUCAGCUCAUCGUCAUCCACAACAUUAGUAGGUAAUCCUUCUCCCACCUCCGCUUCAAUGGGAUCAAUACUCAUAUGGGUUCGAAUAAAAUUAUGGAGCAAACAACAUGCAAUAAUAAUUCUAUUGUUAGAAUACUAAUUUAAUUCUAAGUCAACUAAAUGUUGUACAAUCUAUAUAUAAAACUCAGUCUAAUACCUUAAACCAUUUCCACCUUGUGUCAGAAGAAUCGGCUGUAAUUGGCUCCGGCUUUUUAAAUAAGACAUCUUGUAAGCGUAUGACAGCAUUUAAAACACUAUGAAAUGCUCUGCUUGCAGUUUCCCUGGACCUUCUAAAGUGAUGCUUGAUAACUCGAUUUUUAAGGUGAUGGGAGAUGAUAUGUAAAAACAUUGCUACUUGCUCAUCAAGAAGCAUGAACCUCGACGACUUCAAUCCCCCUAUCGAUUCUAACAUCUCACAUAGUUUAAAAAAUGCAGUUCUAUUCAUCCUAACUUGUUCAAUACAAGUCUCGUCACUAGCAUAUACAAGCCUCUUCACAUAAUCCCGUUGUGCAUAAAAAUCUACGGUAUAGGACCUAAUCCUUGGUCUAUAAGUAUGUAGGCUAAGGCUGGCACCCAUUCUAAAUAAGAACCAAAUCGCGAUUCUACAGAUUUCCAACCAAAUUGUCAAUGCAGCACCGAUUCUUUUACGCCUCACACUUUGUGCAAUUAAGGGCAGACGAGCCAUUACUGCACCAUAUUAAAAUUAGAACUCAGUAUCAAUCGCCUCACACUUUAGAGAUGCAAAUUUAUUAAAAUAAAUAUCGUAUAAGAUAUCUUUUUCAAUUAAUAAAAUAGAUAAUUCAUUCAAUUUUUGUUGAGAUAUUGUUAAUCUUCAGUAAGAUUUUAUCAAUUUUAAUUUUUAGAGCAUUUUCUCCGUUGAUGCAACAAAAACAUGAGUUAUUAACAUUAUACGCAUUUGAAAAAGGAAUAAACUCUUUAUGAAUAAUUAUGUCAAUUGAGUGUCAUUUUAUAAUUUGAUAAUUUAUUUGAAAAUAAUAUUAUAAUAAUUUGAAUUAAAUAAGGAAUUUGAAUAUUAUUAAUUUAAUAACAAUUAUAUAAGCAUCGAAAUUGGAACUUGAUUGAUUGUUUAUAUAAGUACCGAAUUAUAUUUUAAUUAAAAUAUGCAGAUUUAAUCUUAAAUUUGGAUAUUAUAUAAGCAUCGAAAUUGGAACUUGAUUGAUUGUUUAUAUAAGUACCGAAUUAUAUUUUAAUUAAAAUAUGCCAAAUAUAUAUUAUUAUCAUUACCAAAUUUCUACUUGGGACUUGGGUGAUUACUUUUCUUUACAAUUAACUCUCUUCAACUUUUCAAUCUUUUAUUUUAUUUUAUUUUAUUUUAUUUUAUUAACAUUGUAGCCUUAAAACAACUACCUAUUUUAUAAUCGCUUUAAUCAACACGUAGUUGAGGUUCGGGAUUCGAGUUUUGAUUUAUUUUAACACAUGGGUUCUUCUUAAGGGUAAGCAGGAAAAUUCGAAAAACCAAAAAUUAACUUGAACUAAUGUGUUUGGACGGUUUAUGAAAUGCUAGUUUUAAAAUGUGAAACCCAAAUCAUUUCUAUUUUUAUUUAUUAUAUAAUUAAUUUUAAUAUUUUAUGAUAUAAAAAUAAAAUUAUUAUAUUUACAGUAGUGAAAAUAAUUUAAAAGUUUUUGAAAGAUUAUUAUUUUCUAGAAACAUUUAUGAAAAUGUUUUUGAAAUUUUGUCAAAUAAUAUUCAAAAAGCCAUAAAUAAAGCUCUUUUUGUUAAAAUAAAUCUAAAAGCUCAAAACAAAAAUAUUAUAAGUAAUAUAAUAGAUAGUUGAAAAAAUUCAAAAGACUCAAUUAAAUCAAACCAAUAGAACCCUAAUUUUCCCCAAAUUUAUUAUAAGUAAUCAGUAAUCGAGUUAUUUUGCAUUGAAGUUGAUUUAAAAAAACUAUGAAAAUUUUAAAAAAUAAAAACUUUUUUAAAGAAACAUAAUACAAUCUUAAUUACAAUACAAAAUAAUACACGUUAGAAGCAUUAGCCUUUCAAAUUUUCAAAAAUACAGAAUACAUUCAAAAUUAUUAAUAAAUGGUCGGGUAUUACGUUCCUAAUGGAAAGACUCAAAUUUAAACUUUAGAGACGACAUUAUUAAAAGAGAAAAGCACAAACUCUAAACAUAAAAAAAUAUAUAUAAUACAUUUAAAACUUAAACCGAAAUAAAUAUUAACUAAAAAUUCGCACAUGAAUGACAUAGGAUGAGACUCUAACAUAAAAUUUUAAAGAUUUUUAAAACUUCAACCAUACAAGAUACUGUUUAAUUUAAAGAAUUUAAAAAUAACAGUUGAAAGAAAAAGAUUACAUGUUUUUCCCAUCCCGUCAAAUCAAAUUAACUUUUUUUUUCUAUAAUUUUAUAGUAGUAGCAUAAUUUAUUGAAUCCACUCAUGAACAAGCAUGAUAAAAGAAUGCGAAAAAUUCAGCAAAAUCAUGCAAAUAACAUCAUUACGCAACUACCUUUAGAUUCAAGUAAAUUGGACAUUCAUGAUGACUUGGAUAAUAAAAUUACUAUAAUGAGAAAGGGCAAUGCUCAGAAAGCCUUCAAAGUCGAUACAUAUAUGAGAUGGAGAGUAGGUUAAAGAGUUACAUGCAAAUAAGACAUUACCAGAAUUAUAUUCUAUCCAAUAAUUGAAGCGGAGUGGGUUGAAGGAUGUUUUAUUAGAUGGGGCUAUCAAAGUAGGCUUUCUUAUUUCUUCUAAGGGAGCUUAUAAUGUUAGAACCAUGGAAGAAUGAUCGAAAUGACAAUAGGUAAUUAUUUUGGUAACUUGGAGUGCUGCUGGUUUUAUGUUCUAGUAAUGUAAUUUUUUAUGGUAGAGUUAACAAUCUUGCCAGUAUCAUAUUAGAGAGAAUUAAGUUAAAAGGCUCAUAGUUCUUCAAUACUAAUCUCAGUAACAGUAAAAAAAAUCAAAUAAUUUAAUUGCAAAAAAACUUACAGUGACUCAGUGAAUACAAGAGGCUUAGUUAUGGGUGGAGCAAGCAAGCCAAGGGACUAAGGGAGUAGUGCUAGUGGCCGGAGGCGAAGCAAGCAAGGGAGGUUGGGACUGAGAGGUGAAAAUAAAAAUACAAAUUCAAUAAUAAAAAAAGAAGAAGAAAAAGUAAAGCAAUAUGUUUGAAGAAGUAAAACAACAUGCCUAUAACAUAACGAAUAAGAAACACAUAAAUAACAUAACCCAACAAAGAAGAAAAAGCUAAAUAGGAAUAUUUCAUGAUGUGUAAUAGGAGAUGACUAGCACUUCGAAUUUAAAGGAAUUUAUGUUAUUUGGUUUCAUAGUUUAGGGAUUCAUCAGCUGACAGUUGGUCUAGAUCAUUGGUCCAGAUACAACUUCACGAAUGAGUUUCUAUUUGGUUUCAAUGAUUUUUAACUCGUCUUCAUUGUCUUGCUCUGCUUAGCUUUGUUACGGAAAAAAGGUUUCAUUUAACUAGAAACUCAUGGUGUCAGGGUUUAUUCCAAGAAAUCCACUAAUUACUUCUUCAACUAUGUUUAGAAAAAAUUAUAAAUAAGGACAUACAUUCUUAGUAAAAAUACAAUUUACUUAUCCAGUUCAGCUAGUAAUAUACACAUGACUAGAAAGCAAGAGGGCAAAGAAAUUAAGUAAAUUAACCUCAAAAAAUGUACUCUUACAGGAAUCGUAGCUUUUGAAGCUUGCCCAGAGUAGAUGGAAUGUGUCCGGUUAAAGUAUUCAAGUAAAGAUCCAAGCUCACUAAGUUGGUCAAAUUUCCAAGAUCCUCUGGGAUUAUACCAGAUAUGUUAUUACUAUAAAGCUCCCUGUCAUAAAAAAAUGGUAAUCUUCAGCAAAAGAAGUUUAAUAGAAGCACAUAAACCAUGCAUGUAUCUAUGAAAAUGCAACCAAAUCCAAUGGAAAGAUGACAACAGAUGCAAACCAUUGUGUAAUGACAAAAGCAUAGAACAUCAUUGUUUACAACUAUUUCUACUAGUAUACCUGAAUAACUCAGACAUUCUGGUCAGUUUUGGUUACUAGGAUGACAAAAGCAUGCUGGUGUUUUGUUUUUCCUUUAUGUAUGUCUCAAUAUUCUAACAAUGAGAGGUAGCAUGUAAGAAAUGAGUUAUCUAUUUUGGGGUCAACCAAAAAUAGACUAGGCCUACACUAUUGACUUACAAAUUCUGCAAAGCCGGAAGCUGUCCAAGCUGUGGAACCAAAUGACCAAACAGAUUUGCAUUCCCGAGGUCCCUAAAUUGAGAAGGAAGAAAGCGUUUACUAAAUGCUUAUCAGGAAUGAGUUUCUAUUUGGUUUCAAUGAUUUUUAACUUGUUUUCAUUGUCUUGCUCUGCUUUGCUUUGUUACGGAAAAAAGGUUGCAUUUAACUAGAAACUCAUGGUGUCAUGGUUUAUUCCAAGAAAUCCACUAAUUACUUCUUCAACUAUGUUUGUAGGUACCACUGAAAACACAUGAAAAGAAGUCUAUCUUAAAGUUUUUCUCAACAAUGAAAGUUAAAAAGGAACAAGAAUCAAACAUGGAACAAAGUGUGUGCGAUGAAUAUGUCAAAAAAAAUUUGCUGAAUAACUUAAAGGAGGAACCUAAAAGUACAGAUGAUAGACUUGCAUCCUUAACAGAUAAAAUCGUUCACCUCUUUUAGUAAGCAAUUCACCAUUCAAGUGCUUUCUUUUACACAACAAAUCAAUAAGAACAACAGAAGAACACAUGCAACCCCAAAUCCCCCUUAAAAACGCUUCUUUUCCUUUGAUUAAUUAAUGCUUUUAACAAUUUAAACCCAAAAUGAAACAACUUCCAAUUCCCUGUUAGAACGAACCAACAAAGCCUAUAUACUUAAUCAUGAAGUAAAGAAAAAAAAAAGAAAUCACCCACUAAUAAAAAACAUAAAGGUCUUUUUUUUAAAUGGUGCAAUACAAAACCAAAAGAGCUAAAAACCUCAGUAAAUGAAUGAUAUUAAGUUAUUAACAUACAAGGAAAAUGAUCAUAGUUUAUAUGAAGAAAAAAUACCUGAAACUAGGUUAAAACUUCUGGGUCUGUUACAGAAAACAAAGAAAGAAAGGAGAAGCCUUUGUAAAUUUUUACUUAGAAAGAGAAAAACAGAAGCAGCUCUCUUCUUACCUUUCUCUAUGGCAUGCUCGAGAAGAAUUUGGGGCUACUGGCCGAAGGCGAAGCAAGCAAUGAAGGAGAUAAAGGAGAGACAAACCCAGGAAACAGAGGGCAAAUUAGGGCGUGAAAACUAAAACGGAUGUAAACUGAAGAGAAGGCAAGGAUUAGAAAACAGAGAAUUCUGAGGAUUAGGGGCGUAACGUAUUAGGGGUGUAUUAGGCAAUACAUUGAACCAAACACCUACUUAAGAGGGGCUUAAGUGGGGCCCACGGAUUAGGGGUGUUUUGGCUAAUCCAAUACACCAAACCAAACAUAGUGUAAAUGACAUGAAAAUGCCAAAAAUAAUAAAAGAAAAAAUGAAGCAAUAAGAGCACACCAAAAAGUAAAAAUAAGAUAACAAUGACGAUAAUAAAUUAAAAAUGUGACAAUAAAAGCAUGUGUACAAUCCAAUUUACGAGUAUGUGUAAAAAAUAAUAAUAAUAAUAAAUAUAUGAUAAAUAUAUGGGUACUAAUAAUAAUAAUAAAUAAAAUAAUAAUCAUGAUAACAAAUGCACAAAAAGAAAAUAAAAAAUAAAAAAGCUAAAAGAAAAAAGAAAAAAAUCACGAUAAAGGAAAAUAAAAUAAAAAACAGUUUUAAAUAUUAAAAAAUGGUAAAAAAAACUAAUAAAUAAGUAAAUAAGCAAGUAAAUAAAUAAAUAAAGGACUCAAUCGCAACUUAAAUAGAAUUAAAAGUAUAAAUCAAGAAAAAUACAUAAAUAAAAUACCAAAAUGAAAAGCGUGAAAACAAACGAGGACCAAAUGAGAAAUUAUCCCAAUCCUCUGAACAUGCGUCCCUUCUCCAUGAGAUUAGCGAGCCAGGGACUAAAUUGAAAUGCGUGAAAACUUCAGUGGCCAAAUCUAUAAAAAAAAGAAGUAAAAAAGGGACUAUAUUGAAACGUGAUGUAAAAGCGGAAGGAUUGACUACGCAAAUAUGCCAAUUUUCAAAAACAAGCGGAUCCCAAGGGUUAAUGGAUCGGGAAAUUGGGUCGGCCCAAAACGACGACGUUUUGGGCAUCAGAAGCCAAUCCCAAAGCGACGUCGUUUUGGGGGGGCUUAUUUAAGUUAAUUUUUUUCAAAAAAUUUCAUUUCUCUCUUGCUUUAUAAAAAACUGCUUUCAACUCUUUUUUUUUCUCUGAAAUUUCCCUAGGGCCGGCCAUCCGGUCCAGUGGCCUCUCGUCGACCACCGGUCACCGGUGACAAUGCCGCCGUCCAUGGUGGUCGAAACCCCUAAAAAAUCCCUUUUUGGCCCUUUGUUUAAAAAAAACUUAGGUUUUAGAUCUAAAGGCAAAUGCCUAAAAAAUAGAAAAAAAGAACAAAAAGAAAUUCGGCCUCUGCCCUUUUUUUGCCUAUUUGCCCUAUCGUGUUCCCUUCUUGACGAAGGCCGAACGGUGCCCUAAGGACCUACGACAAGCGUGACGCGAGUAGACAGGUAAUAGAUUUUAUUUUUUUUAUUAUUUUCCUAUUUUAAGAAUAAAAAAAAAAGUGAGUCACCCAUUUUUUAAUCUGAUUUUCUUUUUCAAAAAAAGUCCCUUGAUACAAUCUGUUUUAUGGCUUUUAUAGCCAUCACAUACAUUUUUCUAUAUUUUUACUGAUUCUACUAUUCUUGCUUGGUUGUCUUUCGUCCUUUUUCACUUUUUUUACAGGCAUCGACGCGCGGUCAACAAUGGGGAGAAAAUGGCGCCCUUGCUAUUUUUUUGAAAUGGCAGCAGGGGCAUCAGACCUCGGGACGAGGUGCCUCGAGCGGCGUGCAUACGAAAGGGGGUGCGAGCUAGAGGCUAGGGUUUUUGUUUUUUUUCUAAAAUAGUUUAGGCUAUUGGGUCUAGGGCCAUAGGGUUUUUUUUAAUUUUGGGCCAUUUGGGCUUGUAACAUAUUGGGUUAUAUUUGUUGUAAAUGAACAGUUUUUUAUUUUGGACUUUAUUAUUUUUGGUUUAAAUUUUUGUAAUUUGGGCCUAGGCAAAAUUGGGUCAUUACAACUGCCCCUUUUUGCUCGUUGACAUGUAACGUGAAUAGAGCAAAGGCCUUAAAAGGGUCAACUUUGCCUGGUCUUGCCGAAUCUCAACUUCUUUGGUACUUCUCUUUUUUAAGUGGUUUCAUCCUAUCCCACAGCAACUUCAGGGGUAUAGGAAUUGUAGUUUCAAUAUACUCCACUACAACGUCAAGGAGAUAAGAUUUGUAGCUUGUAGCUUUAGUCUAUUCCACUGCAACUUCAGAGAGAUAAGACCUGCUAUGGUAGAUUUAAUCUGACCCACUGCAACUUCAGAGGUAUAGGACUUAUCGUUUCAAUCUACUCCACUGCAACUUCAGGGAGAUAAGAUUAGUAGCUUCAAUCUGCUCCACUGCAACUUCAGGGAGAUAAGAUUUGUAGCUUCAAUAUGCUCUACUGCAAUUUCAGAGAGAUAAGAUUUGCUAUCUUCGAUCCACUCCGCUGGAAUUUCAGAGAGAUAAGAUUUGUAGCUUGUAGUUUUAGUUUAUUCUACUACAACUUCAGGGAGAUAAGACCUACUAUGGUAGAUUUAAUCUGACCCACUACAACUUCAGAGGUAUCGGACUUAUCAUUUCAAUCUACUCCACUGCAACUUCAGGGAGAUAAGAUUAUUAGCUUCAAUCUGCUCUACUGCAACUUUAGAGAGAUAAGAUUUGCUAUUUUCAAUCCACUCCACUGCAAUUUCAAGGAGAUAAGAUCUGUAACUUCAAUCUGCUCCACUACAACUUCAGGGAGAUAAGAUUUGUAAUUUGUAGCUUUAAUCAAUUCCAUUGCAACUUCAGGGAAAUAAGAUUCGCUAUCUUCAGUCUGCUCCACUGCAACUUUAGGGAGAUAAGAUUUGUGGCUUUAAUCUGCUCCACUACAACUUCAGAGAGAUAAGAUUCACCAUGAUGACUUCAAUCCAUCCCACUGUAACUUCAGGGGUAUAAGAUUUGUGGCUUUAAUCUGCUCCACUGCAACUUCAGAGAGAUAAGAUUUGCCAUGAUAACUUCAAUUCAUUUCACUACAACUUCAGGGGUAUAGGAUUUGCGGCUUUAAUCUACUCCACUACAACUUCAGGAAGAUAAAAUUCACCAUGAUAACUUCAAUCCGUCCUACUGCAACUUCAGGGGUAUAGGAUUUGUGAUUUCACUGAUCUAUUACACCGUUCUCUAGGGAACAUAACCUGUAGAAUCCAUUUCAAGGGCCUAUAUUUAUGCCAAGUAAUUAGGAUGUUAUGGUCAGAAUGAAUCAAAUGCUCCUAACUAGAUGUGUAUGAAUGAUAUUUGCAUGAGUGCAGAAUGUUAUUUUUCGAGAAUGAUCCCCUUUUAAUGCUUAGGUUGUCAUUGCGCGUUGUUCAUCAAGGUUCUAUCACUGAUGUGUUUCCAUGCCUUCUUGUUUAGCUGGUAUCUUUGACAGAAAAUCCGAAGAAAUAGUCACAAUUUAGACUAUUCUUUCUCAAAUGUUUCCAACCCUUAAGUUUGGUUAGUUCUAACUAGUAGUCCUAUUUCAAGUUCCUGUACUAUUUAGAAGCCUUUCAGAGAAAUAUGCAAAACUCAUUUUACUUGAAUAUUAUUAGUCCAUUAAUCGUUAUUUCAAUGUAAAAAUGCUUGAAAAAGAUUGUAACAAUAGACAAGAUUGAAAUUUAUUGGGAGCAAGGUUCGAAAUGAAUGGAUUAACCAAAAUAGCAAACGUUGCUAAAAUACAAAAUAAGUAAGAUGAAAUUAGGUACCCCAAAUAUCGCAGCAUGAGCUUCUUUGCACAAACUUCUUGAGAACCAUUUUGAGCUUGAUAUGUGUUUAGGAGAUCCAGAGUACUUUGUUGAUGCCCCAAUACGUAACGUUCCUCCUCCUUGUUAAUUUUGAGAGGACAAGACUACCGCAUGCCCCAUCUUCGAUCAAAAUUUGAGCUGUCCUUUUUCGGGUUUUCAACUCAAAACCUCUUUGGUCUCAAGGUGCCUUUUGUGGGUUUUAGCCUUGGCCUCUCCUAUUUGUUUCUUUCUUUUUUUUUAGGUGAAAUACCUCUUGAUUGAAUCUGACUUCACAGGGUUAGGCAGGUUUUUUGCCAUCCAUUUCGGUCAGAAUCAGCGCUCCUCCAGAAAAUGUCUUUUUUUACCACAUAAGGUCAUUCCCAACUUGGCAUCCACUUUCCUCUGAAGUCCUUUUGUAUGGGAAGGAUCUUUUUCAAUACUAAGUCUCCCUCAUGGAAUUCUCUGGGGUGAACAUUUUUGUUGUAAGCUCGCAUCAUUCGUUUUUGGUACAUCUGAUCAUGACGGAUAGCUUUCAACCUCUUAAGUUCAACUGAUCAUAUCGAGAUUGGACUCAUUCUGCUUCAUCUAACUUCAACUCUGAUAAAACUCGGAGGGAAGGAAUCUCGACUUCAAUCGGGUCGGCCCAAAACGAUGCCGUUUUGGGCGUCAGAAGCUAAGCCCAAAACAACGUCGUUUUGGGGAGCUUAUUUAAGUUUUUUUUUUUUCAAAAAAUUUCAUUUCUCUCUUACUUUUAAAAAACUACUUUCAACUCUUUUUUUUCUCUAAAAUUUCCCUAGGACCGGCCAUAGGGUUCGGUGACCUCCCGUUGUCGACCACCAGUCGUUGGCGACGGUGCAGCAGUCCACUGUGGCAGGAACCCCAAAAAAUCCCUUUUUGGCCCUUUUUUUUAAAAAAAAAAACCCUAGGUUUUAGAUCUAAAGGCAAAAGCCUAAAAAAUAGAAAAAAAAAAAGAAUGAAAAGAAAUUCGGCCUCUACCCUUUUUCUGCUUAUUUGCCCUCUCAUGUUCCCUCCUUGACGAAGCCCGAACAGUGCCCUAAGGACCUACGACAGGCGUGGCGCGAGUAGACAGGUAAUGGAUUUUAUUUUUUAUUAUUUUCCUAUUUUACGAAUAAAAAAUAAAAAAAAGUGAGUCGCCCUUUUUUUUAAUCUGAUUUUCUUUUUCAAAAAAAGUCCAUUGAUGCAAUCUGUUUUAUGGUUUUUAUAGCCAUCACAUACAUUUUUUUAUAUUUUUACUGCUUCUACUGUUCUUGCUUGGCUGUCUCUCGUCCUUUUUCACUCUUUUUGCAGGCAUCGACGCGCGGUCAACAGCGAGGAGAGAAGGGCGCCCUUGCCAUUUUGGUGAAAUGGCGACAGGGGCGUCAGACCUUGGGACGAGGUGCAUUGGGCGACGUGCACACGAAAGGGGGGUGCGAGCUGGAGGCUAGGCUUUCUGUUUCUUUCUGAAACAGUUUAGGCUAUUGGGUCUAGGGCCAUUAGGGUUUUUUUAAAUUUUGUGUCAUUAGGGCAUACGAAAUGGAUAGUUUUUUAUUUUGGACUUUAUUAUUUUUGGUUUAAAUUUUUGUAAUUUGGGUCCAGGAAAAAUUAGAUCAUUACACAUGAUAUUUUAAAAACUUCUCUUAAAAGAGUCUGACCCCUCAACAAUGUUAUAGAGCAAUAAUUUGAAAUAGUCAAGAAACUUGUAGGAAGGGUAUAGCAAGAGGGUUGGAGGGUUGACGCCAGAAGUCAAGAGAUAUCUCCAUAAUGGUCACUUGUGUUGAGUGGUCUGCUUUUCUUCUAAGGGGUGAUUGAAUUUUCUACAUUGAAAACGAAGGUAGAGGACAAUUGCUUUUUUGUCACUAUUGCUACAAAUGCCAUUGAAUUUCCACAAGAAAUUUAUCCCAUAUUUAGUUAAGGGAACCUCACUUGACUUGACGCACAAGUCAAGAUAUAUCUCUGAAAUGUAAGUAUUAUACACUUUUAUUUUUCCUAUUAUAUCAAAUAAUUUUUUUUAUAUUUAUGUCAUGUAAUUAUAUUAUGCGGUAAAACGUAAAAUUCUAAUGAAUAAUGACUUUCGAUAUUGCCUAACGUGUCAUCAUGUCUAUGCUAUUUUUGUAUUAUCCUUGUUUUCAAGGCAAUAUAUAUUUAUAUAAAUUUUUUAAAUUUUGUUUUAGGUAGAUUUUUACAUGUUUUUUAUUCAUGUCAUGUUCAUUUUUUUAAUUUUUUUCAUAUUUUAUUUAUUGAAUGUUGGGCUUAAAAUAUUAUAAACGUUCCUAAUUAUAUAUUAAUUUUACAUUAAGUUUUAACAGAUAAAUUUAGCAUUAUUAUAUUAUAUUAUACUAAAUUUCUUAGGUCAAAAUUAUCUUUGAUUUUUUAUCCAAUUAGAUAUUCCUACACAUUUUUUUAUUUCUAAUAACAAAUUUAAAAUUAUCUAUAUCUAUCUAUAGUACAAACUAGCUCUUAAGAGAGUUUUAAGAGUAAAUGAGUUGAUAAUAGUGUUUUUCAAUUUUAUCUAUAUAUUAAUAUUUUUAGCUCUUAAAAAUCUAAAUUAUAUUUAAUAUUUAUUUACAACUCUAAAUAUCAAAGCUUGAUUAGAUAUAGGUUAUUUGAACUUUUCAUUUUAAAUAAAUUUGAGGAAAUUAAAAAUGGAAAUUUUAAUUAAUUUUUUUAAAAAAAUAACAUGAUUUUGAUUCAUUUCAAUGUAUAAUAAUUUUAAACUAACGUUUUUUCUUCAGUAAAUUUCACUUUAAUCCCUUUCUUUACUUCUUUUAAAGUUAUUUUUAUUUUUUGCCCUUUAUUUUUCUUCUCAUUUAUAAAGUCUUUAAUCUUAUAUGUUUCGAGUAUCAAAGUGUAAAUAAAUAUAAAUAUUAAAAAAAUACCUAAAUUUUAAAAUAAAAAUAAUUAAUAAUAAAUAUUUAGCUUUUGUAGUACAGAUGUAUAAUUCAGACAAUUUUAAUAUAACAAAUAAUCAAGUAACUGGGAUUUAAUAUUUAAUUAAAAAUAUUCAUCCAAAAAUUGUAAAUCGCAUAACAUUAAAACUCUUUAAAUAAUAUGUCACAUACAUGAUCCCUUUUUUUUUUUUUGUAAAUAUACAUGAUCUGUUUUUAUUUAUAAAACUUCCUUUUACCUCAUUUUUCUUCAUUAAUGUCUAGAAAUUUGAAGGGAGUCCUGUACCGAUUACAUUUGAAACCUAUCAAGAAUGAGCUUUUGAUUGUUAUAUUAGAUGUUUUCCUAUUAGUUUAAGAUCCCCAAUAAUUAAGCAUGCUUUCUUAAUAAUUGGAAAAUAUUUAUUUAAAAUAUUACUUUUGAAAGUAUUUCUGUGAAGUGUGUCUCAUAUUUUCGGUCAAACUAAAUGGCAAAGCAGGGGCAGCGUCGCGACAUUCGAAACUAAAUCGAAGCAGGGCCGAUGUCAUGAUGAGGGGACCUACGAUGUCGCGACGAUGCGACGAGACAACCACGUCUCUUGACAACUCUAUGGAUUUUCUUUCUUCCCGUUGAACUUUGAUUCUCGGUUCUCUUUUCCUAAUUUAACUCUAACUAUUCUAGGGAUAUUUUUGUAAUACCCUAUAUGUUACACCCUUAACCAGUCUCUAUCGUCAGAUUAAGGUUACAAAUAUUACCAAGCAAAACAGAACAUUUAACUUCACAACAGAAACAAUUAUAUUAAUUAAAUGUAAUCAUGGUAAAAAUACAAUUAUAGGUCUUAACUCGAGUUUACAGGACCCAAAAAACAGUUUGGGAACAUUUAGAGAUCAAUUCGAAACAAAUCAAAAAAAUUUGAAAAAACAUGAAAAUUUUAGAAACAGGGAUCACACGAUCGUGUGACAUAGCCCAAAUUGUGUGGACAUUCGAAUUCUGAACACACAGUCGUUUCCCAACCCGUAUGAGUAUUCGGAAUAAGGCUACACCAACAUGUUACAAUUAAGUCCUGUGUCAAACCAUGUGUGCAUUCGAUACUUUUGUCACACGACCUGUGAUGAAAACAAUAAUUAUACACGGAUGUGUAGGGUGACCGAAAAUUCAUAUACAGACUUAUUUUGAAUGUUGUAAUUUUCCACCAAAAACAAAGUCGCUGUGGAAUUAAAAUUUUGGUCCUAAGGCCCGCUGGAUUUUUCACAACCACUACUAUUAGACUAGAAUUAUGUCUCCACGUAUGAUCGGGUUUAAAAAAAUUAUUAAAAAAAUUAUUUAUUUCUAAAAUUAUUAUAAUAUUAACAUAGAAACUAAUUUUGUGAUUAUUGUUUAUAAAGAAUAUAAAGUAUUAAAUUAUAAUGAUAUCAUCAUGAAGAAAAAUAUUUUAAUUUAUAAAAAGUAUAAAAUUUAUAUAUUAUCUUUUGAAUAAUUUAAAUUAGAGAUAAAUCUCGAAAUUAUACAUGAACUUUGAUUUAAUGUGAAAUUGUAUACAUAAACUUUAAUUUGAUUUAAUAAUUUACAAGAAUUUGAUCAAAAUAAAAUUUCAUGUAUAAAAUUGUAUAAAAUCAAAGUUCAUAUAUACAAUUGCACAUUAAACCAUAGUUCAUGUAUAGUUUUAAGAUUUAUCCAUUUAAAUCAUAAUGAUAAGUUUUAUAUAUUAAAUUAAUAUAUUUAAUCUUCCUUUAAACGGAACAUGCUACUUGUUGAGUUAUUAUAUUUAUUCUGCGAUUUAAUUUUAAAUUUUAUUUGUCAAUCUUCAUAUAAUUAUUAGAAGAAGGAAUUUAUGACCAUAAAAAAUAAAGAUAUAUUUAUCAACUAAAUAAUAAAAAAAUAUUAAAAAAAUAAAAAAAUUCCUACAGAAGGACAAUAUCUUUAGUUAUUAAAGGGAUCUGUUGAUAAUCAAAGGAUAUUUUAAAAACUUUUCUUAAAAGAGUGGGAUCAUCAAAUGCUGAUAGAGCAAUAAUUUGAAGCAGUCAAUAAACUUGUAGAAAGGGUAUAGCAAGAGGUUUGAAGCAGGCAAUAAACUUGUAGAAAGGGUAUAGCAAGAGGAUGGAAGCUUGACGCCAAAAGUUGUGUUGAGUGUUCUGGGGUGAUUGAAUUUUCUACAUUGAAAACGAAGCUAGAGGACAAUUGUUUUCUUGUCAAUAUUGCUACAAAUGCCAUUGAAUUUCCCACAACAAAUUUUCUACAAAUGCUUUUCAAUUUUGAAUCAAGUUGGUUUAUGAUUGGAAUUACUUGCUGCAAUAAGUUAGUUAUUUCAUUUUUUUAUUUAAUACCAAAAUUAAAUAAGUUUUUAUUAUUAUUCUCAUUAAAAACCCGUUAAAGUUUCAGUUUUUCUAUUUAAUAUUGCAACUUUAAUUCUAUUGAAUGUUUAGGUUACUCUUUGUUUUUCAUUAAUACUUUUGGUUUUUUUUUUAAAUAUAAAAAGCUAUUAUAUAUUAGUUAUUACUUAUUAAGAUAUCAACAUUGUUAGAGCAAAAAAAAUCUGUGUGAUGGUAAAAAAAUAUAUACAUAUUCUUUUUGGUGAAUUAUAAUAACAAAGUAAAAUCUGAACAACUAACGCAACUAGUGCGACUUGAAUCCAGGUCAUAUAUGAGGUGUAGUUAAAUGAGAAAGACAUUGUAUAUAAUAAAAUAGAUGUGAAAAAAAAAUUGUUUCAUUAAUUAUUAAUAAAAUAAAAAUAUGAUUCAUUUGCAUUUGGUAAAAUUUAAUUAAACAAUAAAAUGUUUUUUUUAUUCUCAUAGAAGUAUAUUUCAUUGAAUAAUUUAAUUGCUUUUAUUGAAAUUAUCGUGGUAUAUACGAAUGUUGCUUAGAAUUUUUUUUUUGUAACAAAUAUUUUUCAUUGUCAUAUAUUGCAUAUGAUAUAAAGGCAAUAUUUGAAUGGAGCAUUGGUUAGUUUUUCACAGUGAAUCCUCCACAAUAUUCCUUUGUUUGAAGUUGCGGAAACAUGUCUCGUGUUUUUAUAAGAUACAUGCAUUUAAUUGGUUUCAAACAAUUCUCCUUCAGUAUUACAAAAAAUUAUGGAUAAAAGUAACUCUUUUAUAAAAUAGCUGCCGAUGUUGACGGAGAACUUCAUACUCCAAUUGCAAUGCAAAAGGCAAAGGUAAUGAGAAUUGUAAGCUACCAACCCGCCUAAACCUUAGAUUCGAAUUCGAAAGAUUAUAUUGGCUACUAAAAUGACUCAAUAAGGUAGCGGAAUUUAUAAAAUAGUCGUUUUAAAACAUUUGUUUAUCUUUAGAGGAAGUUUUGUCUAUUUUCAAAAAAAAAACUUAGCGUUUUAUUUCCCUUCUUACGAAAUAAUAAAGUUAAUCCAAAACUAAUUGAUUUAUAAAUUAGCUACUCGUUUAAAAAUUCAUUUUCCAACAAUGCAGCAGAAAAGUGAUACUAACAUAGUUUUAAUGAAAACCAUGUUUUAUGCAUUAUAAAAUAAAAUAAAAACUCAAGUUUUAAUAGCCUAAAAAUACCAUGCAUGCCCUAAAUAAACUCAAAACUAACUCUUGUGCCACAGUUUAAAAGUUCUCAAAAAAUAGGAACUAUAUUAAAUAAUAUUAGGUAAAAAAAUAUUUAUAUAUCUUUAAUCCAAGACUAGCCCUCCGAUUUCCCGAUUUUACUUCCUAACCUGAUGGAUUAUCUGUAAAUAUGUAAAUUAAAAAGGAGUGAGCUAUGAAGCUCAGUGUGAGUUCAGUCAUAAGAAAACUGGAACAAAACUGUAGGCAAAGCACAUCGGUUAGCAAUUCUGAGAAUAAUCACAAUCAUAAAGCAUUUCAAAUUAACAGUUUUUCAUAUCAUCACUUCACUAUUUCAUAAAUCACAAUUUUAUAUGCACAUGCUAAUGAAUGACAAUAUAAUUUCAAUUUGUUUGAAAAUAUCACUCUAGGUUGCGGAUGAACCAUCGUUGAUUUGCAGAUAAACUGCCACUUGUUUCUGGAUACGCGAUGUAAUUGCAGAAGCCUUUUUCAAUCAAUGAGAACAAAGCCCCGGGUCCGGAUGGCUUUAAUUUAUGCUUUUUUUUUUAAAUGUUGGGAGGUUCUUCGAGAGGAUUUGUUUGAGAUGAUGGCAAAGUUCUUUAAAUCUGGAAAAUUGGAGAAAAAGUAUAAACUCGUAUUUUAUUGCAUUAAUUCCCAAGAACGAUAAUCCGCAUGAUAUUUCCAAAUUCAGACCAAUCUGUUUGGUGAGCUCGCUGUACAAAAUUAUUGCUAAGGUUCUAUUGAGAAGAUUACGAAUUUUAUUGGGGAUGUGGUCAGUGAUACGCAAUGUGCCUUCAUUUGAGGUAGACAUAUUUUCGAUGGAAUUUUAAUCGCAAAUGAAUUGAUACAUUCGGUCAAGAAAAAGGAUGGCUCCGGGGUUAUUUGUUUUUUAAGUUGGAUUUUUCUAAGGCAUACAUUUGUGUGAAGUGGGAUUUCUUAGAAUUGAUAUUGUUGAAGAUGGGUUUCGGCUAGGAUGGACGGGAUGGAUGGUGGAGUGUGUGUCAACAACGAGGGCUGCAGUGCUAAUUAAUGGUGCAGUUACAAAUGAGAUCAGAAUAUUCAGAGGUCUCCGGAAAGGGGAUUCUUUAUCUUCAUUUUUAUUCAUUCUUGUGACGGAAGUUCUGCAUCUGAUGUUGGUGGAAGCGGAGUAGUUGAGGGUAAUUGAACGGAUAAAAGACGUUAUUCAUGGGCAGUCUGUUUCACAUCUUCAAUUUGUAGAUGACACCAUUUUAUUUUUGAGGGCUGAUGUAACAGCUCAAUUUUCAGUAGUGUUAGAACAGUGAUUUGAGAUCACUAAAUUCGAUGAAAAAGUUAGAAAAAUUGAUUAAUUAAUAAUUAUAAGUUAAGUGUGAUUUUAGAAAUAUUUUUAAAUUAGUGAAUUUUGUGAUUUAAAAGAAAUUAUUAGGUAAAUUGGGUCAAAAACGAGGUAUCGAGACCUCGAUAUUAUAAACUGAGCUGUAAAUAUUUUUAUAAAUAUUUACGGAGUGUCAUUAGGGUAGUAUUAAAGUUUCGUUAAGAAAUUUUAACGUUUCGAUGGUUAAUUGAUUAAAAAGAACAAAAUUGAAAAAAAAAUGUAUUCCCGAGACUCCGUUUCGUAACUCGAAUUCAUAAAUAUUUAUUAUAAAUGUUGACACCAUUUUUUUAUCGAAAACGGGGUCGACUUGGGUUUUGAAAAAAAUGAAAAUGGGAGUCGCCACCGAUCCUUUUUGAUGAGGUGUGAUCGAGUCAUCUUAAAAAAAAGGGUUGUUUUUAAUAAAUAAUUUGAUUUUAUUAAAACAACGGUUUUGGUCCACGAAAUUUAGAAAACGGGUUCGGGAGUCGGUUACGUACAAGGAAGGAUUAGCACCCUCGUAACGCCCAGAAAUUGGUACCUAGUUGAUUAACUAAUGUCUUGAUAUCGAAAAUUGAAAACUUGAAAAAAUUAAAAAUAUGAUCCUUGUAUUAAAAUGAUUUUUUUUUAAAAAAAGGGGCAUAUUUCACGUUUAAUCGAGAAAGAAAGCAUCAUAUCCAGUAAGUUAGGACACAAUGUCUCGAAUUCCCGACACGUAAAAAUGCCAAAAUUUUACUCAUUUAAAAGACAUUUUAGCCAUCUUGAGUUUAAAAAUAAGAUCACGACCAGUAAGUUAGGACGUGUCUCUUUUUUAAAUCCCGAGAUAGUUUGAAAUUUGAGUUCGAAAAUUUUGUGCAUUUAGAUUUAUUGUAAAAAUCGAAACCCAGUAAGUUAGGGUACGAUUUUCUCAAAUCUAAACACGAAAUGCCAUUUUUUUAAAACAAAACUUUCUAUAUCGGGUAAAAUAAAACACGUAAUUGUAGCAAGGAAUAUGAAAGCAAGUUACAUUUUAUUAUGCAUAGCAAAACCAUAAUGAAUAUGAAAGUAUAAAAAAUAUAAAAAUAUGAGCAAUAGCAACGAUAUAAAAGGCCAAAUUUACAACAUAAACAAUAGCAAAGCAUAAAAACGAAUAAAACUAAAACAUUCAUUCAAAAUAAUAAUGAAAAUGAAAUAAAUAAAGAGUAAAUACAAUAAAAAAAACAAAGAGAUAUAUAUAUGUGUAUAUAGGUAUGUAGAUAGUUUUAAGCUAUAAAGUAUAAAAAUAUGUGCAUAUGUGAAUUAUAAAAUAUAUAAAGACCAUAUAUAGGACACGUAUUUAAAAAUAUAAAGAAUAUGUAAGUGUAUAUAUAUUUAUGAAACAAGAUAUGUAUAUAGAUAUAUAGAUAUGUAUAUAAAUUCAAAUAUAAAGAUAUAAAUCUAUUUAUAAAAAUACAUACAUAGAUAUGUAUAAUAAUAUGAAGAUACAUAUGUAGGUAUAAGUAAAAUAUAUAUGUAAAAAAAAGGAAAUAUAAUAUAUACACAUAAAAAUAUACACGUUUUAAUAUGAAAAAUAUAUAUGAAUAGGUAUAUAAAUAUUCGUGAAAGUAAUAUUAAUACUAACAAUAAUAGUAAUAAUAACCAUAAUAAAAAUAAUAGUAAACUAAUAAUAAUAUUUAAAAUAAUAAUAAUAAUAAAUUGCUAAAAUAUGGGCUAAAUCAAAAUAAAAAUAAAAUGUAGGGCGAAAUUGAAAGAAAAAUAAAAUAAAAGGGACCAAAUCAAAAAGCGCGCCAAAAGGGAAGGGUCAAAUGGGUAAAUAACCCAACCGCCUCAAAACGCGGCGUAGCAGUUGGCCAGAUUGAAAUAAAAUUAAAAUUAUAGGGCUAGAUUAAAAAUAAAAGGAAAUAGCGAAAAGGACCGAAUUGAAACACGCGAAUCCUUUGGGUCGGGUCGGGUCGACGCGUGGAUUCCCCAUUACUCAAAACGGCGCCGUUUCAAAAUUAAUAUAAAUACUAAAAAAAACAGUCUUAAAAUCAUUUUUCAAAAAAAAAACAGAGAGAAACUCUCUCUCAUUUUCUCCCUCAGGCUCCGGUGCCGGUCAUCGGCCGAUCUAGGCCUCCGACGUGCCUCCGCCUUAGCACCGCCACAUGCGGUGGCCGGCGAUUCCAAAAUCGGAUCUUUUUUAUCCUCUUUUGAAGCCAGGCGUGUCCUCGGCACAAAUCUAGGGCCAAACCUCAAAAAGGAGUCCGAAGCCUGAAAAACGAGGGGAGACCGCUCGUCUUCUCCCUUCCGGCGCGGCGCAGGUAAGUUUUUUGUUCUUUUUGCUUGUUAUUUUGUGUAGAAGAUAAAAAUAAAAAACAAAGAAUAAAAAAAGGAAUAGAUUUGGACACCAAAAGAGUCACAUUUUUCUCUUGUUUUUGUUUUUUUUUUUUUUUUUGCUAAUCUCUGUUUUGUUACAAAAAUCGCUAGAAGAGCAAACAAAGUUACAUUUUUGGUUGGCUUUUAUAGCCGAUUUUCUACUACCUGCGUUCUUUGUUUGCUUGUUCUCUUCUUUGCAGGUAAUGGCGCAAGUGGGGGUGGCGACGUGACCGGGGCGGUGGCGACGUGACGUGGCUGCAGUGGCAGAAGACCAAAAGUCAGAGGGGGGCAGUGCCUAGGUGCGACGCUAGGGUUUCCUUUCUAAAACCCUAGGCAAAUUUUUUUAUUAUUGGGCCUCGGGUUAGUGGGUUGUUGGGUCUAGUUUAGUUGGGUAUUGGGUUGCUGCUUUGGGCUUUGGUUUGUAAUUGGGUUAGGCUGUUGGGUUUAUUUUUGGGUUUGUUAUUGGGCUAUUCAGGUUUGGGUUGGUUAUUGGGCUGAGGUUUGCUGGGUUAUAAUUGUUUUUGUUUAGUUUAGGGUUAAUUGGGUUUUGGGCUAAAAAUUGGGCUUGUACAAUAAAUAUUUAUGAAGUUAGUUGUGUAGUUAAUUAGGUUUUAAUUAAGUGAAUUUGUCUAAAUUGAGGUUAAUUAUGAAAAAGGAUUAAAUUACAAUAGAGAUAAAAGUUUAAUUAUAGAUUAAAGAAAAGUUAAAAGGACCAAAUAGGCAAUUAUACCUUUUUCUAAAGUUGAGUCUAGGGGUGGGCAAAACUCGAUUCAACUCGAAAAAAUCAAAAAAAAAUUCGAAUUUAGAAAUAAAUGAAUCGAGUUAUUCGAAUCAACUCGAAUUUUUUUUUCAAAUUUUGAGUUCCAAUCGAGUUGAGUUUUCGAAUUCGAAUAACUCGAAUAAUUCGAAUAAUUCGAAUAUCAAACUAUAAUAUUUUAUAUUUUUACCCCAAACUCCCAAACCUUUUUACUUUUCCCUCAAACUUUUACUCCUUCCCACUUUCCCCCCAAAACUUUUACUCCCCUCCCCUCCCAACCCCCCAAUCUACCCAAAAUCCAUUUCCCACCAAAAUUUUACUCUCCCAUUUACUUUUUCUCAAAAUUUUACUCCCAAAAACCCUCAAGACCUUUUAUUUUCCCCCAAAAUUUUUACUCCCUCCCACUUUUCCCCUAAAACUUUUAUUUCCUUCCCAUCCCACCUCCCACCUCCCAUCUACCCCAAACCCUACCCCCUCCAAUUUUUUUUUUAAUAUUUUCCCUCCAAAAUUUUACUCCCCCUAUUUACUUUCCCUCAAACUUUUAUUCCCCAAAACUUUUUAUUUUCCCCCUAAACUUUUACUUCUGACACUUUACUCUCAAAUAAAAAAUCAAAAUUAUCUAAAAAAAAUCACUAAAUAUAAAUAGUAAUAAUUUUAUUUAUAUCUACUAUUUAUAUUAUUAAAUUAAAUUUCACAUUUUAUAUUAUUUAUAUUAUUGAAUUGUUUAGUCAUAUUGAAUAUUUAUAUUAAAAUUGAAUUAUUAAUUAUACCAUAAAAUAUUCGUGUUAAAAUUUUAUAUUGGUAUCAAUUUCACAUUUUAUUUUUAAAAUAACUUUUAUUAAAAAAUCAUAUUUUUACAUUGAAUAUAUUUUUUAAUUCCAAAAUACAUAGUGAUAAGAAUCUGAAGAUAAUUGAAACAACUAAGUAAGCAAAGAAGCUAACCAAUAUAUAAAAAAUUAAUAAAUAAAUUAUGAGGUGAUGAAAGUUAAUAAAAAAUUUGAUUAAGGUGGACAAAUUUUAUUACGAUGGGCGACAGGGGUUACAAGAACCCAAAAUUAUUUUUUAAAAUUUAACUCGAACAAAUAUAUUCGAUUUGAUUCGAUUCGAAUUCCAUCUCACUUGACUCGAUUCGAGAAAAUUUCAAAUAAAGUUAGGAUGGUAAAAUGAGAUUUCAAAUUUUGAUUAACUCGAAAAUUUUUUAUUCGAUUCGAUUCGAUCGAAUCCCACCCCUAGUUGAGUCAGCACAUGCAUGACAAAAAUCUUAGAUUUUUUUUAAAGUAUGUUAUUAUUUUAUUAUAUUGUAAAUUAUAUUAAUUAUAUUAUAUUAUUAUAUUUUAAAUAAACAAAUUUGUUGACAAAUGUAUGGUGCAUAUGAUGACAUGUGGAAAAAUGAAAUACAUAUAUUAGUAAUUAUUACAUAUUUACUUAUUAUUUAAGUAAAUAAUUUUAUAUUAUUAUUUUAUUUUUAUUAUAUUAAACUAAUUAAAUAAAAGAAAUAAAAGAUAGAAAAGAGAAUAGAAACAGAAUAGGCAAACGAAACAGAGAAGGAAAGAAGGAAAGAAAAAAAAGAAAGAAAGAAAAGGGAAAAUUGAGGUUUUGAGGUUCCAAGCUCAAUUGGUAAGUCAAAUUAAGUCUUUUUCUUAUACUUUUUGAGUUUUUUAGAGUUCUAGAACAAAAUAUUUCAUGGUUUAUGUUGAAAUUUUGGAAGUUAUUAUAUUUCUAGACAUUGAUUAUAUUGAAUAAAUGAAAGCAUUAGGGGUUAAAUUGAUUGAAAUUCAAGUUAGAAGUUAGUAAAUGAUUUAAUUGUAAAAUAAAGUGUAAGUUUUGAAUAGUAGGGACUAAAUUGAAAGAAUCCCGAAAUUAGGGAUUUAUGGUGAAAUUGAAGAGCUAAAUUGAAUUAUAGUAAGAAUUAAGAGAGAAUAUGGAGUUAGAAUGGGAAAAUAAAAUUAGUAUUGAUAAGGGAUUAAAUUAGAAUUUGGGUAAAGUUUAGGUAUAAAUGGAAAUAUUUUAAUGAAAUUGUGUAUUAAUGAUUUUUAAUUGUUUAAUUAUGUAGCUAAUGUCGUGCAAGAGUCAUUGUCCGAGAAAGGAAAGGAGAAGGUGGACAGUGAUUGACUCGAGAGAAAUUUCGGUUAGUAUUACCAUAAUUCGAAUUUAAUUAUUAAUUGAUAAAAUUUAAAUUAAUAUACAUGAUAAGCAAAUUGGGGUAAGUAUCACGAUUGAAUUGAAUGAUAAAUACAUAUUGGUAUUGAAUUUAUUAAUAGUAAUUGUUGAAUUUUGAAUAUGUUUAGUAAAUAAAAAAAUAAGGUGAAUAUCGAUAUUGAAUUGUAUGUGAAUUGAAUGGAAAUUACUAGUGAUAUGAUUUGAAUUAAAAGAAUUAAUGUGGUAUUGAAAUGUAUAUUGAAUGAAAAAUAAUUAGGGAUUUGAAUUUGAUUGGAAAAUGAAUUAAAAUAUGAAUUGAACAAAAGUGAAUUAAAUUAUGAUUAUGUGUGAAUAUGUGUAUUGUGAAUUGAUAUGUGAAUUGGAAAUCGAGAUAUGAGAUUUGAAGAUAUGUGAAUAUGUGAAUAGUGUAUUGAUUGAAAAGUGGUUUGAAUGAAAUUAGAUUGAAUUGUGAUUAUAUGUGAGUAAUUGAGAUGAAUAUUGAAUUAAGAAAGUGAAAUUGAAAUGUGAUUAUUGAAUAGAAAAUGAAAUGGUUUGAAUUGAAUUAUUGAAUUGAACUGGAAUAUUGAAAUUGGUGAUUGAUAUGGAUUUUAUUAGAAUUGAAUUGAGAAAAUGGAAAUUAAUAUGUGAGACUGAUACUGAAUUGAAUUAUGGAAUACUAAAGUAAUGAAUUACUGCAAUACUGUGAAACUGAUUGAAAUAAGGAAUUUUAAUUGAUACUGAACUAAGAUGGAAAUUGUACUAAAAAGUAAAUUAAAUACCCUAUUAACUAGUCGGGCUAGUCGGAUAUAGUUGGCAUGCCAUAGGAUAUGAAAGAGUACGGGUUUUUGCCGGCUUACUGAUCAGGCACUUAUUUGCCGACUACUGUUACUGUUACUGAUUCGAUACUUUGUGUGUCGAAUAUUGUUACCGUUACUGUUACAGAUUCAGCACUUUGUGUGUUGAAUACUAUUACUGUUACUGUCACUGUUACCGCUACCGUUAUUGUUUACUGAUUAGGUACUCUGUACUGUUUUAGGCACUAUGUGAUGUAUUGGUGUGCUGGUUGGAAUCCGUGUAUCCGCCAAAGUCCAAGUCAAGUUAAUAGGGGUAAAUGAAUAAUUUUGUUAAUAUAAAUUUUAUUAAAUGAUCUUGAAUAUGAAUCGAAAAGAGAUAUUAAAUUGAGAUAUAGAAAAUGAAAUGUAUGAACCAUAGGUUCAAGAAAUAGAUAAUGAUAUAGUUCAUGAAAUGGUUUUGGUAGUAUGAGAUGAUGUAAAAAUAUAAGUAAAGAAAAGUAAACUGAAAUAGCUAUUGUUGAGAAAUGAGAAGUGAAAAUAAAAUGAUUUGAAAUAGUGAAAUUAUAUGUGAAUUUAAUUGAAUACAAGUUAUUGAAAUUUAUUUAUGGAUUUAAUGUAUAAAUUGAUUGUUAAAAGAUUAUAAGUAUAAAAUUGAUUAUAACUGAACGAAUCGAAUUGAAAGAUAGUUAUAAUUAGUUAUUAUUAUUGAAACAUGUUGGUCUAAAUUUUAAUUUGAUUAUUAAAAUAUUGAAAGUAUAAAUUGAAUGUAUACAAUUUAUCGAUUAAUGUUAUUAAUUUGAAUUAUGGUAAUACCACUGAGUAUUCCCAUACUCAGCGUACAGUUGUUUCCGCGCGCAGGUUAGUAGAAAACCAGUGUUUGGUCCAGCAUCCAGAGCAAUCCCGACCUCAAAGAAAUUUUAGUGAUGUACCUUUGUUUUGAUAAUGUGGCAUGGACCUAGGUGAUGUAUAGGUUAAGUAUAAGAGUUUUGUGAUUACGGUUGUAGAAUGAUGUUUAAAUUGGUUAUAAGUAUGAAAUGGAACUAAUAUGACAUAUUUGAUACAAGUAUGUUAUAUCUGUUAUUUAUUUGUGAACUAGUUAUAAGUUAUCCGAUAUAUUCGGUAAUGCUUUGUAACCCUAUUCCGGUGAUGAUUUAGGGUUAAGGGGUGUUACAGCAGAUGAGGUUGUGGUAAGAAUUUCUAAGUACAUUCUUCGCUGUUUUGAAAUUUUUUCUGGAUUAAGUAUAAAUUUUCGGGAGUCUUGCAUAGUGGGUUUUGGUACUGAAUAGGAGUUUUUGUUCUAAAUGGCUGCUAUUUGUAAAUGCAAGAUAGGGAAAUUAUCAUUCAAUUUUUUGGGUAUAUCUUUAGAUGCUGAUCCAAGGAAGAUAUCUUCUUUGAAUGGUUUUGUGGAAAGAGUAGAGAGGAAAUUAUCGGGCUGGAAAAGUAAGUCUCUCUCUUGGGCAGGCAAAACUGUGCUUAUUAAUGCUGUGUUAUCCUCUCUACCUAUCUAUUUUAUGUCAAUUUUUUAAACACCUAUUGCAGUGAUUAAUAAGAUAGACAAAUUUAGACAAAAUUUUUUAUGGGGAAGUUCUUAGAACAAAAUGGCAGCAAACAUGAGCAAACACAAACAGCAAGCAAAAGAAAAGAAAACUGAUGAGCAAAAUUAUAACUGAAAGAAGAAGUUAUCCAUUUCAUUCACAAAUUUGAAAAUAUAUUAAAGUUACAGACUAAUUAGUCAAUUACCUAAACUUGUAACUGCUCCCACUAAUUUGUCUAAUUGAUAACUUAAGUAAUACAAAAGCAAAACUGAAAAAAGUCAGCUAUUACAUCCAUUAGUUUCAAAUCAAAAAUUUACCAACUUUAGAUAUCAAGUUACAUGCUAACUUGAUCACAUUACAAAAGAACAAAAUCAAACAAAGGAAGUAGACUGCUUCUGGUUCUGUCUCGAUGCUGGCAUGCUAGCUGAUUUGCUGCUGCUACUGCUCUUGGUUACUCGUUGCAUUGCAGUCCAUUGCUUAACACUCCUCCUUGGACUAUAGGCAACAAACACCAAUUGAAUCUCUCAAGAUUUUGAACCUUGCUGCACCAAGAGGUUUUGUCAAAAUGUCAGCCAAUUGAUCUUGUGAGCUGCAAUGAAUGAGACCAACUUCUUUGGAUUGUACAGCCUCUCGAACAAAAUGAAACUUAAGUUUAAAAUGUUUGGUUUUGCCAUGAAAAACUAGAUUCUUGGCUAUGGCAACUACUGAUUAGUUAUCCACCAUGAUUUCAGUAGGUUCAAGUUGUUCUUCAUUUAAAUCACAUAGCAACUUUCUAAGCAAAAUGGCUUGGCUUACUGCUGCUGUAGCUGCUAUGUAUUCAACCUCAGCUGUUGGCUGAGCAACUGUUUGCUGCUUCUUCGAGCUCCAGCAGAAAACUCCUGAGCCAAGUGUAAAGAAAUAGCCCGAGGUACUUCUCAUAUCAUCAACAGAUCCAGCCCAAUCACUAUCUGAGUAACCAAUCAGCUUAAGCUUACUUUCUUUCUUGAACAUAACCCCAAACUUCAAAGUUCCUUUGACAUACCUGAGUAUCCUCUUAGCUGCCUUGAAAUGAGUUGUAUUGCAGCAGUGCAUGAAUCUCGACAAUAGACUAACUGCAUGCAUAAGGUCAGGUCUGGUUGCUGUUAGGUUGAGCAAGCAACCAAUUAAGCUUAUGUACUCCCUUUCAUCAACUCUUUCUUGACUUCCAAAGCUAAUCAGUUUCUCCCCUUGAGCCAAUGGUGUGCUCACUGAUUUACAGUUUGUCAUAUGAAAAUUGUUGAGAAUUUUUAAGGCAAAGGCAUGCUGGCUGAUAAAAAUGCCUUGAUCAGACUGGCUUACUUCCAUACCAAGGAAGUAUGUCAUGAUUCCUAAAUCAGUUAUAUCAAAUACUUCUUGCAUUCUUACUUUGAACUCUUGAAUCAAAUCAACCUUGCUUCCAGUCACUAACAGAUCAUCUACAUAGAUUGAAACAAUCAGUAAAGUUUCAUCUUGACACUUUUUCACAUAAAGUGUAGGCUCACUCAAACUUUUCUAAAAAUUGAGCCUAAACAGGUAAGAAUUAAUCCUGUCAUACCAGUCUCGAGGUGGCUGUUUCAGCCCAUAAAGUGCUUUCUUCAACCUACAAACUUUGGCCACAUUACAUCUUUGUCCUAUUUUCCUUGGACCUUAAAACCAUCAUGUUGUUCAACAUAUAUCUCUUCUUUAAGAAGUCCAUUCAAGAAGGCUGACUUAACAUCAAGCUGAUGCAUUCUCCAUUGCUUCUGUGUAACCAAGGCAAACAGAAGCUUAAUGGUGUCUAGCCUUGCUACUGGAGCACAUGUCUCCGCAAAAUCUAUGCCAAACUGCUAGAUAUACCCUUUCACCACAAUCAUUGCCUUGUGUUUGUUUAAAGAGUCAUCAGCAUUGAAUUUAGCUCUAAAAACCCACUUGACACCUUGAUCUUCUUCUGGUCAGGUCUAUCCACCAGAUCCCAAGUGUCAUUUUUGUGGAUCAUAUCAAUCUCAGCUUCCAUGGCUUGCUUCCAAUGCUUAUUUCUUACAGCUUCUUCAAAGCUAGAAGGCUCAACUAUGGCCACAUUACAUCUUUGAUAGAUGUCAGCAAUGGACCUGGUCCCUCUUACAGGAGAAUCAUCUACAUUUGCAUUACUGGACUCAUUUUCUGUUAAUUCCAAACUGCUGUCAAUCUGAUCUUCUUCAAACUGACUUGUGUCUGAACCAUCCAAGCUCCAAAAUUUAUCUUCAUUAAAUUUGACAUCCCUACUCAUCAAAAUUUUCUUGGUUGAGGGAUCAAAUAUUCUGUAGCCCUUUUUGGUCCCACUGUAGCCAACAAAUAUCCCUAGAACUGAUCUUUUCUCAAGCUUAGUUCUUCUUUCAGCAGGUACAAGGACAUAACACACACAUCCAAACACCUUUAAAUGGGAAACAGUUGGUUUAAGACCAUACCAUACUUUAAAAAGAGUUUUAUCCUUCACAGCAUGUGUUGGCAGCCUAUUAAACAGGUACACAGAGGUGUUGACACCUUCAACCCAAAAUGUGCUUGGAAGUUUGCUUUGAAAUAGCAAACACCUAACCAUGUCCAUCACUGCUCUAUUCUUCCUCUCACACACCCCAUUUUGCUGAGAAGUAUACACAGUGGUCAAUUAAUGAUGGAUCCCAGCUUGCUCACAUAGCUUCUGAAAUCUUUCAAACAAAUAUUUAGUUCCAUUAUCUGUCCUCAAAACUUUAAUCCUGCAGCCUGUUUGAUUCUCUACCAAAGCUUUGAAUUUUGCAAAAGCUUCAAAUGCCUCAUACUUGUGCUUUAUGAAAUAAACCUAGGAAAAUCUGGUCAAAUCAUCUAUAAACAAUAUAAAAUACUUACCGCCAUUUAAUGAAGGGGUCUUCAUUGGUCCACAGACAUCAGAGUACACUAAUUCAAGCUUUUCUCGAGCCCUCCAUGCUUGGUUUACUAGAAAAGGCAGUCUAGCCUGCUUACCAAGCUGGCACACUUCACAAACAGACUCUUUUGAAUCAACCGUGGUCAUGUCCUCUGCCAAAUUCAACUUGUGCAGCAAAUCGAGUGACCUGAAAUUUACAUGGCCUAAUCUUCUAUGCCAUAGGCUAGUAUUGUCAGUUAAGCUUGUAUAAGCUUUUCUCUCAAGCUAACUUACAUCAAGCAUAAAACACUUGUCUGCCAUUGGUGCUGAGACAAUUUCUAUACCAUGAACAUCAUUAAUAACACAAGAACCAUUCUUGAAAACUAGUGAGUAGCCUUUUUCAACCAACUGACCUACACUAAGUAGGUUCUGAUCUAUAUCAGGUACAUAAAGCACAUCUGAGAUAACUUUGUUACCUGAAUCAGUGUUGAUCACCACAUCACCUCUGCCUUUGGCUUCAAUCAGAUUCCCAUUGCCUAUCCUGACCUUCGAGGUAAAACUUCUGUCAAGGCCUUUGAACAAACUUCCAUCAGCUGCCAUGUGAUGUGAGCAGCCACUGUCAACAAGCCAACUAGAUUUUACAUUGCUUGUGGUUGCAAAUCAUGAGGCAGUAAAAACAUGCUCCUCCUGAGCUUAAAGAUCCUCAGCAGUUUUAGCUUGUACUUACUGCUGAGCAUGAGCCUUCUCUUUGCCUUUGCAAAUUUUCUCAUGAUGGUCAUACUAUUUGCAACUCUUGCACUGAAUAUCUAGUCUAUUCCAGCAGUACUUUUCCAAAUGGUUUGUUUUCUUACAGUGAAUGCAUGGUGGAAACCUCCUUCUCCCUGCAUCUUUUCUUGAUUUCUCCCUUCUUUCAAAUCAAGGCUUCUUUGCUUUCUGACUUGAGUUAGAGCCUUCUUUGACUUUUGCUUGAAAGGCUCCUUCAGGAUGCUCUUCCUGCCUACUAGCCCUUCUCUGCUCAAGUGCAUAAAGUGAGUUUACCAACUCAGCCAAAGAAAUGGUUGUGAGGUCCGUAAUAUCCCGAAAAUUACUAUUGUAAUACCCCGAAAAUUACUACAGUAAGAAAGUAGGUAUCAUUGAUAGUAAAAUAAGGAAAUAAAGUGACAAAAAGGGAAAUUUUGAGUUAUAGCAACAUUGGGAAUUAUAUUAUGACAUAUUAAUUCAAGAAAGGAUUAAAUCGCAAAAGUGAGAAAAGUUUUGUUGCCCAAGAGUAAAUACUCAAAAUUUGAGGGAUUAAAGUGUAAAUAUGAAAAAGUUGAAGGACCAGUAGUGUAAAUAUUUUAAGAGUGGAAUAAUCUAGAAACUAAAGAAAAUGGAUGAAUUAGGACCAAAUUAAAAAGGUGAAGAACUUUGAGGGACUAAAUUACAAUUUUACCAAAUUAAAUGAUGACUCAAUGAUGGAAUUUCAAAAGAUUAUAAAGGGCAAAAUGGUCAAAUAUAUAUAGAGAGAGAGAGAGAAUUCUAGAAGGUAAUAAUAAUGUUUGUGAUAUUUUUAAUUAAUUAAUUAAUUAAAUGUUAUUUAAUUAAUAUUUUAUUAAGAUUUUUAGUAUUAUUUUAUUGUUAAAUGAUUAAUAUAAAAGGGAGGAAAGAUGAUGAAAAAAAAUCAUCAUCUUUCCAUGCACCCAACGUUAGAAGAGAAGAGAAGAAAGAAAGUUUUACUUUCUUUACAAUUUGGUCCUUUCACCAAAAAUUUACUAUUUUCACCUAGAAAUCAAAAGAAUUUCCAUAGCUUCCAAGAGAGAAAAAUAAUAAGGAGACAAUGGGGAGCUAGAAUGUCAAGUUAGAUUCAAGAAAUAGAAGCUGGAGGAGAGAGAAAAUCAAGUUAAAGAUUGAAAUCAAUAGCACAAGGUAAGAACAUCAAGAUUUCAAUAUAUUUUUAAGUUUGUUAUUAUUGAAAAAAGCAUGGAAAUGAUGUUAUAGUAGAUUUUUCUUAAAUAAAGUCUUAUGUUCUUGAUAUAUUAGUGAAGGGAAAUAAGUAAAAAUGAUGGGAAAUAUUAUAGAGAAAGGGAAUUAUGGAGUUAUAAACUUAGUAAUCAACAUCUUGCACUAAAACAGUUUUGGAUAGCAGCAGUAGGUUAAAUUUGAAAAAUUACCAUAAAUUAUGGAAAUCGAAUUAGAGGAUGAAAAAACAUGGAAUUAAAUCUUAUUAAGUAUAGUUUCUCAUAGAAGAAAUGUUGUGAGACAAGGUCAGAAUGAAUUAGGGUUCCCCUAUUCUGACUUUGGAAAAUCAUCAAAAAUUGAAUAAAAAUAAUUAGAGGCUUAAAUUUAUAUUUUUAAAAUCCUUAAUGAGUCUAUUUUCAAGAGAAACAAAUGGUAACAUCAUCUGAAUCCUGUACAAGGAGAUAAUUAAUUUUUAGUGAAGAAUGGUCGGAACUGUCAGACAGCAGAAUAGGGAUGACUUUAAAGAAUAAACUGUACUUAUUGGCUAAACCAAAAAUUCUGAAAAUAUUAUGGUAAGAAUAUAUGUGAGUCUAAUUUUAUAUAAAUUUAGCAGGUCUUAAUUUGGAGUUCCGUAGUUUAAGAUAUAAAUGAUUUAGUGACUAUGACUCAAGUGGACAGCUUUGAAUGAAAAAUAAAUAAAUAGUGAAAUUAUAGAUAAUGUUACAUAUAAGCAUGUUAUAUACAUUAAGGAUGUGGAAUGGAGAGGAGGAGGAGGAAAAUAAAUGAUUAUUCAACUAGCAUGAGUUCUCAUUAAAAAUGGUCAAUUUGCAUGUUUUAGGUUCAAGGACUAAAUUGAAUAAAAGUAAUAUUUUAAGGGUAAAUUAGUAAAGAUGUCAAAAAGUAAUUAAAUAGCAUGAAAUGAAUUGUUUUAUUAUUUAAAUUAAUAAAUUGAAUGAAAUAUUAAUUUAUAUCAAGAUUGCGUGGAAAUUCGAGAAAAAUGAAAAAUUACCAAAAUGUCCUUGAAUUUUGGUAUUUCUGUAAUUUAGCCUGGUAAGUUCGUGUAACUUGAAUUUUAUUCUUAGAUGAUUGAAAUAUAUAUAUUGGAUUGAGAAAUUGAUUUGAAUUGUGAACAAGAGAAAUUGUGAAUUGAAUGAAAUAGAAAUGAAUCUUUGAAUUACAUGAGUAAAUAUUGGGUCUCGUAGGCCCUGUUUAUUAAGAAUAUAAAAUUUUGAGGAUACGUUGUAAAGAAUUAUAAAAGCACGUUAAUAAUUUGAGAGUUUUAAUUCGAAUAAAAUUUUGUAACUCGGUUUAAUACGUAUGCAAAUUUAUGUCUUCUAGUAAUGCCUCGUACCCUAUUCCAAUGUCGAAUACGGGUAAGAGGUGUUACAAUGUGACAUCGCCAAAUUCGACCAUAACGUUUAGACCGGGUUUGGGGUGUUACACCUCGAGUCCUCUAAUGAGGAGAUUUUUUACUCAAACCUCUCAGGGAGAGUGGUAAUAACUUUCUCAACAACCCUGCUGUCACUAAAAUCUUCUCCAAUGAGUCUGAUAUUGUUAAUAGUAGCCAUGAUCCUAUCAGAAUAUUGCUUGAUAGUCUCUGACUCCUUCAUUUUCAAAUUCUCAAAUUCCCUUCUAAAGUUGAUUACUUGUUGCUAUCUUGUCUUGUCUGAUCCCAAGAACUCCUUUUUCAGCCUAUCCCAUGCUUGUUUGGGUGAAUCACAGGCCAUAAUCCGAGUGAAGAUCACAUCAGACACCCCAUUCUGCAGGCAAGCCAUGGCUUUGUGCUUCUUGGCUCGCUCCUCACUAUGCUGCCUCAUCUGUGCAAUAGUUGGAUUUGCCCUCAAUGGAGGUGGUUCAACAUCACUUUCAACUACACUCCACAAAUCAUGUGCUUGGAGGUAAGUUUUCAUUUUAACUACCCAAAUGUGGUAGUUCUCUCCAGCAAACACUGGUGGUGGAGGAGGUGUAAAGCUCAUGUUGCUAAAACAAGUUUGACAAAAUUGAUUUCUUUUUAAGUUUGUUUUAAACAGAAAGGCUUAAACAACAACAGAGGUCCUCAAAGACAAUAGGCUCUGAUUACCAUUUGUUAGAACAAAAUGGCAGCAAACAUGAGCAAACACAAUCAACGAGUAAAAAAAAAGAAAACUGAUGAGCGAAAUUAUAACUGAAAGAAAAAGUUAUCCAUUUCAUUCAUAAAUUUGAAAAUAUAUUGAAGUUACAAACUGAUUAGUCAGUUACCUAAACUUGUAACUGCUCCCACUAAUUUGUCUAAUUGAUAACUUAAGUAAUACAAAAGCAAAGCUAAAAAAAGUCAGCUAUUACAAAUCUAAAAUUUACCAACUUUAGAUAUCAAGUUACAUGCUAACUUGAUCACAUUACAAAAGAACAAAAUCAAACAAAGGAAGUAGACUACUUCUAGUUCUGUCUCGAUGCUGGCAUGCUAGCUGAUCUGCUGCUGCUACUGCUCUUGGUUACUUGUUGCAUUGCAGUCCAUUGCUUAACAGAAGUGUAGGUGGUCAGAGGAAAAUGGUGAAGGUAAAAUGGAAACAGAUUUGUUUACCAAAGGAUAAGGGGGCGCGAGAGUGAUGGAUAUCAGGGCUAAAAAUAAGUCUAUCAUGACCAAAUGGUGUUAGAGAUUCACGGUGGAUAGAGAAGCUUUGUGGAUAAAAAUUAUUGUUGUAAAGUAUGGUUCCCCUGUGCAACAUUGGCAUUUUAGAACGAGCAAUUUGAAAGAUAUGUCGGUAGUUUGGAGGGGUAUUGUGGAGAAUGCGGAAGAUUUAAAAGUGACUAAAUGGAUGGGGAAUGAGUCUUUUCGUUGGUUUGUGGGGAAUGGCAAUUCGAUAUUAUUUUGGGACGAUAUUUCGUAUGGUGAUAGUCCUCUGAGAGUGUAAUUUCCAAGGCUGUUUUGUUUAGUCUUGAAUAAGAAAGGACUAGUAAAAGAUUUUUUUGAUGUCGAAUGGGUUUAACGAGGUUAAUUGGGCUGAUUUCUUUUCUCGUCCGUUAAUGGAUAGGGAGAUUAAUAUGAUUACUCGUUUAAAGAAAGCUGUUAGCAGUAUUGUUUUGUUACCUGAGGAGGAAGAUCGAUUAAUCUGGAUUCAUGAUAACAAAUGGGUGUUUUCGAUGAGGAAAUUAAUAGAAUUAUUGAUCAGUGAAUGUGUGGUAGACAUAAGUUUCACUUUUGAUAAAAUCUGAAAGUUAAAAGAUGCCUCCUAGAGUGAGAAAUUUCCUUUGGGUGGUUUCAAUUGAUCGUCUUCCUACUAAGGACUUCCUCAUUAGAAGAGGUGUGAAGAUUAGUCAAAUGGAGAUUGGUUGCCCUUAGUGCUACAGUGAACCGGAGACAGCAGUGCACCUUUUCUUCCAUUGUAAAUUCAUUGUGGGUUUUUGGAGAAAAUUUUUGAAUGGUGGGAGGUGAAAUGGAGGCCAAUUGAUGGAUUCUCUACUUUUUUUUCUCAUUUUGUAAUAAUGUCUCUUAUACAGGAGUGGUUAAAAGUUUAUGGAUGAUCUCAGUGUCAGCGGCUUGCUGGUCGAUGCGGUUAGUGAGGAAUGAGUUGGUGUUCGUUAGAAAGUAGCCUACAAUGUCUAGCUUGGUUUUUCUUUCAAAGAUUCGGGCUUUGAUGUGGAUCAGAUCGGUGCAUGAAGAAUUAAAAGUGGAUGAGAAAAUUUAGUGGGUCUGUCCAUAUAGAAGCUGGAGUGAUAUUAAAAAAUCUAGAUUGAAUGGUAGGUUUUGGUGCCCUCCGAGUCUUGGUUGGGUAAAAUUUAAUGUUUGUAGUGUGGAGAUUGAGGAUGAAGUUGGGUGUGGAGGGGUGUUAAGAGAUUCAGACGGGAUGGCAAGGGCAUUAUCUUCUGGUCUGUUUGCAGCGAAAGACUCCCUUACUGUGGAGGUGGGGGCGAUUAGCUUGGCUUUGGAUGUGUUCUUAGCAAUGGGGUGGAAAGGUAAAUGCUCUUUAAUCAUCGAGGUUGGAUCCAUUGAGGUGUUUAAUUGGGUAGAAAACAAAGGUUUGAGACUGUGGUUGUUGUUUUCUUUCUUUAAAAAAGUUGAAAUUAGGUUGUCUAGAAUUGGAAAUAUUUCCUUUUUGAAAGCAGAUAAGCACGGCAAUAAGAUGGCAUUUGUGCUGGCGGUUUCUAGUCUGAAAAGGCCGGGAAUGUUUAAGGCAUGAUGGUGAUUUUAGGUGUGAUGUUGUUGUGUGUUUAUAGGUGUAUUUGUAAAUUGUUUAGUGGUUUAAUGGGGUGUUUUGUGUAGGUUUUAUUCUGGUUUGAGGAUUGUUUAACAGAUGGGGUUUGUUUGGGUUUUUGUAGGUUUGCUUGCUGUAAUCUGUCUGUGUUUGGAUUAUUGUUUCUUGGGUUUGGGUCUUCUUGUAUCUGUUGUAUGUUUAGCUUUUUUAUAGCUUUGAAAGCUGUUGCACCUUGAUUAUGCGAAAAAAAAAUAGCAGACCAAAUGAUAGAGUGACCUCAUUUUUCUUCCUUUAUGUCUUAUAUUGUGUAUGAUAUAAAGUCAAUAUUUGAAUGGAGCAUUGGUUAGUUUUUCGCAAUGAAUCCUGGACAAUAUUCCUUUGUUUGAAGUUGUGGAAAUACAUAUAUAUUGUAAGCUUUUGGUUUGUGGGAAUGCCGCCACUUUGUUGUCAAGAUUUGCUGCCCAACUUUCGCAUUUUGUAUGUGUGAUAGUGGGUUUUUUUAUCUAAAUAAUACAAAAAAUAAAAUUAAUAACUGAAAUGGUAUGCUCAUAAGAUUAUUUACUAAAAUGGUAUGGUUUUACUAGUGUCUGCUUGUCAAAUUGGCGGCACUAGACUGAAAUGUAAUGAUCUGAAGUAUUUAAGGACUUGAUAUGCAAAUUUUUCAUUUUGAGUGGCUGCUAAAAAAGGUGAAGGGUGCCACCUAACAGUGUGGCAGCACCAAACCUUAAAUGUGGCUAAUUGUCUUGUAAGCCCUCCUUAUUUAUUAUUUUAUUUUUAUUCCCCUUCAACUCACUAUAUUGUAUUUAAACAAGCCCUUAACCUAAUUUUGUAGUUAAAUAAGCCCUUAACUUAUUAUUUUUACUCAUAAAAUCCCUUUAUUUUAAUGUUAAAGUAAAUAUAUUUUACCCAAAGUAAAGCUAUUUAAAAAAAUAUAAACUAAUUCACAUUUUAUGUUGAUGUGAAUUUUAUGAUAAUAGAUUAUUAAAAUAAAAAAAUAAAAUUUUAAAAUUUCUUAAGAGUGCUUAUAUACAUGAUAUUCUUAACUACUGUUUGAAAUUUUUUAUUAUUUUUUAGAUUUUAUGUUGAUGUUAAAGUGUAUAUAAUUUUUAUUGCAUCAACAAAAAAUUAAGAUAAGAGCUUGAAAUUUAAAAUAUAUUUACUUUAAUAUUAAAAUGAAGGGCUGAGUAAAAAUUAUUUUUCCAAUAAGAUGAUGGGUAGAGAUAUUGUCAAUAUUAUUGGAUUAAAAAUUAAAUGAGGAUGUGAGAAUAAAGUAAAAGAUACAAAUUAGACGAAAAGUUAUUUGUUUACAUUUUUAAUUAAAAUAAUAUUAAUAUGUCAUGGACCAACGUGUCGAAUAUGCCUCAAUUGAGCAAUAAUAGAUAAUACAAAACUAACGAAAUAAAUAAAUAUAUCUACCUAAAUUACAUUUGAAGUUUUAUUCCAAAUAUUGUUUAGGUAAAAAUAUUUUUAAAUGAUUUUUUGAGAAAUCUCUUAAAUUUCUAUAUAAUUAAAAGUGAAAUAAAAGUAAAAAAAUUAAAAUUAAAAUAUUUUUUUUCAGAACAUGAAUAUUAAAUCAUAUCUAAUUACCUAAAUGAGAAAAUUAUAAAUUCAUUUAUUUCAAAUAAAUAAUUUUAAAAAAUCAAAUUUAUGAAAAAUUAAACCAAAAUUUCUUAUAUAAAUCAUUUACUUUAUUUUUUUUAAUAAUUCUCAUAUAAAUAAAAAUACAAGGAAAUAACUUACAUUAGAAUUAUCUUAAAAACUAAAGUUUUUAGGCACCAAUAAAAUUUUGCCACAUCAUUAAAUUUUUAAGACAUAAAAUUAUUAUUGUUAUUAUACACUCAUCCAUAGAAAAAUUAUUUUAUGGACCAUUCCCACUACAUUAUUUAUGGCCCAUUUCGAAUUAUUUAAUAACAUUUCAUCAAUUUUUCCAUGUGGUUAACACAUAAUAUUUGUAAUUUUUUUACCUUUGAACCCCAAACCUAAAACUAUGAUCAUUAAAUCUAGAAUCUCAAACUUUAAAUCUAAAAUCUUAAAUCCAAAAUCCUAAACUUGAACACUGAACUCGUAACCCCAAACCUUGAACACUAAAUCUAAACUUGAAUCCAAACCCUUAACCCUUAACCCUUGAACCAAAAUCUCGAACCUCAAAUCCGUAACUUUGAACCCUUAAACCUUGAGCCUAUCUUGAAACCCAAACCCGAACCUUAAACCUUAAAUCUUGAAUCUAAACCUUGAACCUUGGGGUUCAGGGUUUAAAAUUUAAGGUUCACGAUUUGGGUUCAAGGCUCGAAAUUCAUGGUAAAAUAAUUACCAAAACUAUGUGUCAAUAACAUAGAAAAAUUGCACAAAAUUACUAUUUUUAAAAAAAAUUGGCUGCAAAAAAUAAAAAAAUAUAUUAACUUAUGGAAAAAAGCAAAAUGAUUAAAUUUUGAAAAAGAAAAAAAUGAUUGUUUAUAAUUUAAAAAAUUAUUUAUUUUAAGUAAUUUAAUUAAAGUUAAAUUAAGUUUGAGAAGAUAUUAGAUAUAGAUGACUGUAUAAUAAUACUUUAUUAUCUUUAAAAUUUAAUGACGUGAUACUAAUUUAUUUGUGCCUAAAAAUAAUACUUUUUAAGAUAAUCUUAAUAUAAGUUAUUCCCAAAAUACAACUCCUAUUCCUAUACAAUAAUUAUGUGGUUACCAUAAUUAGGGAGAAAAAUCAAUGCAGUGGGGCCUAACUUUUGGAGUAAGAGAGGAUUUCAAGUUGUGUAUAAAUUCCAAGGCUUUGGUUGAUUGAAAUGCAGGAAGAUAUCAAGUGAGUGGUUUGUUGAUUUAGAGAAGAUGGAGGCUAAAUCGUUGUGGGUAUUACUCACUACACUUCUGUUCAUCAUACAAGGGUGGCGACAGACUGAGGGUUGCUUGGAGCAGGAGAGAAUUGCUCUCUUCCAACUCAAAUCCUUCUUCAAUCGCCUUUACAAAUUGGAAAACUGGGCGGAUGUGAAGGGUUCAAAUUGUUGCCAAUGGGAAAGAGUUGAGUGCAACAUCACUAGUAAACGAGUAACAGGCCUUGAUCUUUAUUUCACACGUUAUUGGGAUAACCGUGAAAGAAGAUCAGAUUUAUCUGGGUAUCUCAAUGUCUCUUUAUUUCUUCCAUUUGAGGAAUUGAAGAGCCUUAAUUUGAGUGAAAAUAAUAUCGCAGAUCUUGUAGAUAACCAAGGUUCGUUGCUUUUCUCUCUCUCUCAUUUCCGAUUAAUCCUUGAAAUUUAAUUUAACGUUUAAUAAUUAAUUUGUUUCUUUUAUUUUUCUAAACUAAGACACUCAUGACCAAUAACUUUCUCUUGCAUGCAGUAUCUUUAUCAUCUGUUUUCAACAACUUAGAAAUCCUUGUCUUAUCCGGCAAUAACUUCAAUGACAGUGUGUUAUCAAGUAAGCUUCCAUCUCUCAAUUUCUAUCUAUAUCUAGCAAUUAAUUGUAAGCUUAUACAAAAAAAAAAUGAAAUGAAAGUGAUAGGGUUCGAUCAUACCAACUUACAAUUGAUUGCUACAUUCUCUAUUAAUUUAUUUUAAAUUUCUUUUAAUUAACAGACAACAGGUUGAAAUAAACAAAUUGUUUCCCUUAUUUGCAUACAUUUAAACAAGUUAAAGCAUGUAUGUACUUAUUAUAAAACUUGCAAUUACUUGUCUCUAAUAUUUAAAGAUUACAGAUUUUUUAUAUAAUUAAUAGGAAUAACUUACAUAUGGUCCUAAAAAUUAAAGUUUUUAGGCACCAAUAAAAUUUUGUCACCAUUAAAUUUUAAAUGUAUGAAAUUAUUAUUAUACACUUAUCCAUAGAGAAAUUAUUUUAUGAACCUUUCUCACUUCAACAAUUUUUUUCAUGCUAUUGACACAUAAUUUUGAUAAUUUUUUUACCCUAAACUUUAAACCUAAAACCCGUAACCCUGAAUCUUUAAACCAUGAAUCUCAAACUCAUAACCUGUAUCCUUCGCUAUUUGAAGGACUGGGUGAAUGGGAAAGAGUUGAAUGCAACAUCACUAGUGAAAGAGAAAUAGGGCUCCGUCUUUUUUCCAUAUGGGUAUCUCAAUAUCUCUUUUUUUCUUCCAUUUGAGAAAUUGAGAAGUCUUGAUUUGAGUGGAAAUAAAAUUACAGGCUCGUUACUUUUCAUCUUUUCAAUCACCAAUUAAUUCCUGAAAUUUUAUUUAACGUUUUAUAGUAACUCGUUUAUUUAUUUUUCUAAAUUAAGACACUCAUGAUCAUUAAUUUUCUCUUACAUGCUGUAUAUUGAAAGUUGGAAAUAUAUUCUUCUUUUAAAAUUAAAUAUCCUACAUUACUUUUUUUUAAUGUGAAUAAGCCUCCAUAUGUGUUGAUAUAUUUCAUUGCUCUUUGAUAGAAUUGAAGAGUUUGACAAAGUUGAAGACAUUAGAUUUAAGCGACAAUAGAAUCAUAAGCCUCCGCCACUUUGAAGGUAUAUCUGAAUUUGAUAUUCUAUAUGCAUUCAAUUAAGUUUUAAGGCGUUAGACUUAUAAAGGCCUUCAUCUGUGUUGAUAUAUUCCGUUGCUUUUGAAUAGAAUUGAAGAGUUUGACAAACUUGAAAACGUUAGAUUUAAGUUAGAAUAGAACCGAAAGCCUCGAGCACUUUCAAGAUAUAUUUAAAUUUGAUCUUCUUUAUACAAUCAAUAAACCUUCAAACCGUUAACCCAAAUAAAUUGUCCUUUGAAUUGCAUGACAUAAAUCUUUUACAGGUGAGAAAGUGCAACCGAUGAUGAAUUUAGAAGUGCUUGAUUUGUCUGGUAAUCUCUUGAAGAACAAUGAUCUAACAUAUCUAAAGGGGUUAUCAAGUUUAAAGUCCUUGAACAUUGGAGGAAACCAAUUGGAAGGGUCAAUAGAUAUUAGAGGUAUGUAAAAUUUCAUAAAAUAAAAAUAAUAAGCUAUAUGUAAAUUACAAUUUCAUCAACUUUUUUAACUGUUAAAAAAAAUUAUAUCCAAAUGUAUUGGUUCAUGUGGGAUUUAACUUUUUAGGUAGUAAAAUGAAAGUAUAUUUUAGCCCUCAAUUUAAUUUUUCGUCACUUUUAAUCUUUAAAUUUGUAUUUUUUGUCAAAUCACCUAAAAUAGAUGGAAAAGUUAGACAUUUGUUAAUUUUGCUAAUGUGGCAUACAUGUGGAUUGCCACAUAGAUGACACAUCAAUAUUUAAUUUAUUUUUUAAAAUUUAAGUAUUUUUUAUUUUAUUCUAUUUUUUAUUUUUUAUUUUUAAAAUAUUUUUUGAAAUUUUAAAUUUAAAAAAUUAAUUAAAUAUUGAUGUGUCAUCUACAUAACAAUUCACCUGCAUGCAAAAGUAAAAAAUUAAAUAGAGUUCUAAAAUAACAUUUUUUAUAAAGUUGUAGAGUCAAAUGAAUUAUUAUUUUUAAAAUGUAUUUGAUGACAUUUUUAAUCGAGGAAACUAGUUGAAUUUCAUGAACCAAAAUUAUUGAUUUUUGUGAUAUGACUUAAUUUGACUAACAAAAGAGAUAUUUGAUUGAUUUGAAUAGUAUUGAAUAAUCUGACAAAGCUAAAGCUGUUGGAUUUGAGUGACAAUAAAAUUGAGAGCCUCCAAUCUUCCCAUGGUAUGUGUUGAUAUGUUUUACUUUAUCAUAUUCUUAUAUAUAAAUACCAAUAUCUCAUUUAAUAUUCCAUUAGUAAUAAAUUUGUUUAUCUCAAUGCUUUGUAGAUGGUGAGAGGCCACUUAAUUUGUCCAAUUUUGAAGAGCUUUAUUUGGAUUCCAACUCCUUCACAAAUAGUUUAUUGGCACAGCUUAAUGGUUUUUCUAAUCUAAAGUCAUUGAGUAUACGCGGUAACCAGCUUAACGGAUCAAUAAAUAUUAAAGGUAGAAUUACUUAAUAUAUUUAAUCUUCUUUUAAACGAGACAAAUUACUUGUUGAGUUAUUGCAUUCAUUCUAUGUGAUUUAAUUUUAAAUUUUAUUUAUCAAUCUUCAUAGAAUUAUUAGAUGCAUUGAGCAACUUAGAGCCAUUGAGAAAAAUAUUUUAAUUUUAAAAAAUGUAUAAAUUUUAUAUAUUAUCUCUUAAAUCAUUUAAAUUAUAAUGAUAAUUUUUAUAUAUUAAAAUUAAUAUAUUAUCUCUUUUAAAAUUAUAUUAAUAUAUUAAAAAUAAUUUAUAAAAUAAAAAAUUGUCUAUUUAAUAUAUAAAGUAAAAUAUAUAUACCAAAAUAAUAGUAUUUCAAUUUCAAAUUUUUUUUGUUAUCAAUUCUUUUAAGAUUUUUUUAGUAUUAAAUUAAAAAGUUGUAUUUUAAUCAAUACAUACAAUCAACCUAAGGGAAAGAAACUAGUUAAUAUAUAUGACCAGCUUUGUAGAUGUGAGAAUUAAUUAUUUCUAAUAGUAACAUCUAUAAAUUAUAUAGUACAAUCUUUACUAAAUUAGUAAUUAAUUCUAUUUUCUAAGUGAAAUAAUAAAUAACAAAUUUUAGUUAAUACAUUAUUGUAAUAAUUUUAUAUAAAAUAUAUUAAUCAUAUUUUAUUAAAAGAAAAUAUUUUUUAAUAAAUGAAUUUCGUUAAAGAUACAAUCUGAAUCUCGUUAAUUAAUAUUUUUAUUAAUAUAUUAUAAUUUUUUAAUUUAAAAUUUUUUAAAAAUUCAAAUAUGAUUUAAAUAUUAAAUCUUGUUAUAAAUAUAUCACAAUCACUUAUCUAUAACAUUCAAUAUUUUGACAGACGAAUGGAGUUGUUAUAUGGAAGUUGAAUAUAACUAAAUUUCUGUGAUGAUUACUUUAUUCGACUGACAAAAAAUGCAUUGGAUUGAUUUGGAUAGUAUUGAAUAAUCUGACAAGGCUAAAGACGUUGGAUUUGAGUGACAAUAAAAUUGAGAGCCUUCAAUCUCCCCAUGGUAUGUGUUGAUAUGUUUUACUUUAUCAUAUUCUUAUAUAUAAAUACCAAUAUCUCAUUUAAUAUUCCAUUAGUAAUAAAUGUGUUUAUCUAAAUGCUUUGUAGAUGGUGAGAGGCCACUUAAUUUGACCAAUUUAGAAGAGCUUUAUUUGGAUUCCAACUCCUUCGCAAACAGUUUAUUGGCACAGCUUAGUGGAUUUUCUAAUCUAAAGUCAUUGAAUAUAAGGAAUAAUCAACUUAAAGGAUCAAUAAAUAUUAAAGGUGAAAUUUCUUAAUAUAUUUAAACUUCUUUUAAAUGAAACAAAUUACUUGUUGAGUUAUUACAUUUAUUUUGUGUGAUUUAAUUAAAUUCUAUUUGUCAAUCUUCACAGACCUAAAUGCUUUGAGCAACUUAGAGAAGCUAGACAUGAGCAAUAAUGAGGUGAAAGAAUUUGUGCCCACAAAGAAUAAAGGUAUAUGUAUCAACUAAAGAAAAUCUUAAUAAUUAUUUGUCGUUAGAUAUCUAGUGAAUUGAUGCCAACCACUAAUUUGACUCUCAGAAAAUGAAAGUUUGGAGAAGCUAAAGGUUGCUACAUUAAACAAUGUGUUCAUCAAUGGGACUGUUUCUCUAAUGCAACUUCUGGAGACAUUCUCAUCUGUUAAUACCUUAUAUUUGAGAGACAAUCACUUCAAUGACACCAUAUCUACUCAAGGUAUAAUAUAUAUGUGCGUGAAUAUAUAGUUUUAAAAAUAUUAUUUACUUAACAUCAAUCAUCUAAAUAACUCUUAUAAAUUUGUAAAGAUCAAUUGCAUGUGUCGAGCAAAAUAGAGGAAUUGGUGUUGGAUGGUUCAUAUAUCAACAACAACAUUCUUCAAGGCAUUGGUGUAUUGGCGUCUCUUAAAAUUUUAUCUUUGCGUGGUUGUGGGUUGUCUGGGACAUUAUCUACUCAAGGUAAAUUAAUAAUUAUGACAUAAUUAUUUAGGCAAUCUCUUGAUUAGUUAUUUUUUAUCCUCUUAGAUAACUAGAAUAACUUGCACAAAUUUUUUUUAAAGGGUGGUGCGAUUUAUGGAAGCUUGAGGUGUUGGAUCUUGGUGAAAAUGCUAUUGAGGGAACACUCCCUCCAUGUUUGGCUAACUUGUCAUCUCUUGAUUAUUUGGAUAUUUCUGAUAAUCAAUUCACCGGGAAAGGUGCCUCCACUGCUCUAGCCAAUCUCACUUUGCUUAGAUUCAUUUCUCUUUCACAAAACCUAUUCGAAGUUCCAUCAAUUUUCAUAUCAUUUGCCAACCACUCACACCUCAAAUUCCUCUUUAGUGAUCAAAACAAGUUAGUCAAAGAACCUACCAUUCAAACAUGGGUCCCAAAGUUCCAACUAAAAGUCUUCCGUUUGUGGAAUUGUGCAACAAAGGAACUCCACAUUGAAAUUCCAAAAUUCCUCUAUUACCAAAAUGACUUGAGUUUUAUUGAUCUUUCAGAUAAUAAUUUUGGAGGGAAUCCUUUUUGGUUGUUAGAGAACAAUACAAGAAUGGGAGCAUUUUUAAUGAAGGGUAACUCUUUUAUGGGCCAUUUCAAUAUCCCAUCUCAUCUGAAUCCAAACAUGUCCAUUGUUGAUAUAUCUGACAACAAAAUACAAGGUCCAAUUCCAGCAAACAUUUGUUCAGUCUUUCCACAACUAGCUAGGUUAAACCUAUCAAGCAAUUUCCUUCAAGGUAAUAUUCCUCCUUGUUUGGGUAAUUUGAAGACUAUGUUGAUGAUAGAUCUGUCACAUAAUCAGCUAUAUGGAGGAAUACCAGAAAUGUCAGCUCAAAGUGACUCAUUGAUGUUUCUUAGGCUAUCAAAUAAUCAUCUAAGUGGGAAGAUAAGCCCAACGAUCUUUUGUUCAUCUUCAUUACAAUUCUUAUAUUUAGAUGGCAAUAAAUUUGAUGGAAAUAUACCUAGCAUUGAUAUCUCAACUUUCCCUUAUUACUCCCUUAUUGAUAUAGAUUUAAGUAACAACAAUUUGUCUGGAGAGCUACCAAGAUGGAUAUGGAAUGUGUCAAAUUUACAAACAUUGGCAGUAUCCAACAACCAGCUCAAAGGUCUCAUUCCGAUGGAAUUGUGCUAUUUGGUUUCUCUUGAAUUUUUGGACCUUUCAAAAAAUAAUUUUUUUGGGCCAAUACCAUCUUGCUUCCAUGCACAAUCUAUCAAACAUCUCCAUUUGAGCAGAAAUAGAUUAAGUGGUACCUUGACAAAUGCAUUCUUUAAUAGCUCUUCCUUGGUUACUUUAGAUCUUAGUGAAAACCAGUUGACUGGUGAAAUUCCAUACAAGAUUGGAACUCUUUCGGCUUUGAGUGUUCUCCUUCUAAAAGCCAAUUAUUUUGUCGGAGAAAUUCCCAUUGACAUAUGUAAAUUGUAUUCAUUAAAUAUCAUUGAUCUUUCUCAAAACAAGCUUUCUGGUCUGAUACCUUCUUGUUUGAGUCAUUUAACUUUUGAGCCAAGUGGUGGAAAAUCUUUUACAUUGGAUUCUACAGAAGUAUUAGGUUUAGUAGGAAUUGUGGAUUUUGGAGAUUUCUUGAGGGGAGCUAAUUACUUUGGAAUUACUGAAUUUGAAUUAUUCAAUUUUAGAGUUGAAGAACCAUUCAAUCUACAUGCCUCUAUUCAUGAACAACGGGAAGAAAAGGUGGAUUAUACAACAAAGAGAGUAUCUUACACAUACAAAGGAAACAUUCUUGAGUACAUGUCUGGAAUUGAUUUAUCAUGUAAUAGAUUAACAGGUGAAAUUCCCAGGGAGAUUGGAAAUUUGAGUGAAAUCCGAUCACUGAACUUGUCACACAAUAAUUUGACUGGACAUAUACCGUCAACGUUCUCAAAGCUCAAGCAAAUUGAGAGUUUGGACCUGUCUCACAACAACUUAAUUGGAAGAAUCCCUGUUCUAUUGAUGGAGUUGUACGCCUUAGCAGUCUUCAAUGUGUCAUACAACAACUUGUCAGGGAGUAUUCCGUCUCCGAAAGCUCAAUUUGGAACCUUCGACGAAAGCAGUUACGUGGCGAAUCCUUUCCUCUGCGGGUCUCCCCUACAUAAAAAUUGUAAUGAC